rnacentral:lncRNA from 1 species
GCCGUUCGGUAUAGCACUAUUUUAGAAAUUUAAAUUUAUUUCCAGUUAGAAAACUAUUCGCUGGAAUAGCCACCAUCGUAAACCUAACUGGUUGCCGGCGAACGGCGUAAAACACCGGGCAUCUUCUUCUUCAUCGUAUUCUCCCUUCAUCUUUUGAGGUAAGCUUGUGAUUAUGAGUUUCUUCUCUGACUUAGCUUGUAAUUAUAGAUUUUGAUUUUUUUUUUUAAAUUCGUAUUGUAGCCAUUAUUGUCAAUUUUUGUCCCGCCAGCAAUAUUUUUUUAUUCCUACAAGUUGAAGCCCCUGUGUUCUUGUUCCAUUGGUGAGUUUGCUCACUCAAAUUAAUUUUGUUCUGCGGAAUUUACAAAGUUCAAAUGGAUUCAUUUGAAUUACUAUUGAAUUUAGCUUUAAUUCCAACAUCCAUUCUAAUGUUUUGCUAUUAGAUUUAGUUUAAUUUUAUGUUUAAAGCAUCUACAAUGAAUAGCGGAGCUUGGGUUUUAGUUUCAUUUUCUGGAUAACUUGUUUUAGUUUAUCUUGUAUGCUCACCAAGUGCUUGUUAUAUUGUCUGAUAAGUUAUAUACAUUGCUGAUUCUAUAUUAAUAAUGUUACGUUCUAUUUUCAGAAAUUAUAAUACAAAAGUUUUUACAAUGGCGUGCAUCUACAAACUGAAUUGACUUGUAGAAUAAGAGCUUGCAGUAAAUGAAAGUUCAUAUUGUGUAAGAGCAUGGAGAUGUAAAGCAUCAUUACCAUAUCUACAAAGUGCUUUCAUUAUGGUCAGAUGCUCUUCUUGAACUUUGAAAGGUGCCUCGUUCAAGUCCUAGCUAUAACUACUAGCUUUGAUUAAUUAAGUUCCAAUACUAGCUGAAACAGAUUUAUUUAAUUAAUUAAUUGUGUAUAUACUAAUUAUAUUGAAAGUAUAUGAAACUUUUUUUUUUUUUAAACAUGAAUGACUUCUAAAUGACUUAAAAACCUAAAGGAUGUGUGAAAUAAUGCUCAUUUCACUUGAAUGAGCCUAUUAAUACUUUCUAUGAUUGUCAAUAUUGGCUUAAGCAUUUCAGUUAAGUGGUUUACCUAACAGAGAAAAAAAUUUAAUAGAAAACUUCAGAGUUCUAACAGAAAUAUAGUUCACUCUGCAGAUAUAGUUAUUUUACGGUAUACAAAUUAAGUUGUCCUAAUCUCAAUGUCCUGUGACCGAUUUUAUUUUAUAUAGUCAUUAAUUUUUGCCAUGGUUUUUUGUGUUUAUGAGUAUGAAAUAGUGGGAUUUGGUGUACCUUAGCAUCUUUUGAAAAUUCUCUUUAAGUAUGGCCAACAGAAAUAUACAUAUAAUCAAGUUUCUUAAUUGUGUAUAUUAGUUUUGGGUACGAAUGUUCCUAUUCUAGUUCUAGACAAAGCUUCUUUGUUUUGGUCUUCAGAUUUCCAGUAGGUUAAGUUAAUCAACUAUCAUAACUGGCUAGCUACUUAUUGUCUGCCUUGGCGCCAUUACCCAGGCCAUUAUAUUGCAUAGCAUAAGGAAUAGUGAUUAGGUGAUUAUUAGUGAUUUGUUGAGCUUAUUAUUGACCAAACAAACAUAUUCGCCUUUGCCCACAACCUAGUUUGAUUAGUUUUAGACCACAAAGAGCCUUGAUCUAUUCAUUGGCUUUAUUAUUUUUAUUUGGUUUUUCUUUCAACAAUAUUUUUGAUUUCUUAUAAAAAUAUUCAUUGGUUUUUAAACACCUAGUCAUUGGCUAUAUGAAGCAAAUUAAAACUGAGGCUUUGGAUCAAUUUCUUCUAACAAGAUACAAAUGAGCAUAACCUUUCUCCUCUAAGUAAUUUUUUUUAAUAUCCUUGAUUUGUAAGGAUCUGGAGGCCUGAAAUCCUCUAGAUUUUUUUUAACACUGUCAAUGUCCUUUUUAUUCUGAAAAGGAAAUAAAAGGUUUUAUCUUUCAUACCCUAAUAGUAGGCUGGCCUUGUCUUAACAUGGCUUCUUGAGGAUUUGCAAGAUUCAUAGUUCCCCCAACACACGCCCCCCAAAAAAAAAGAAGAAAAAGAAAGAAAAAAGAAAAAAGGAAGAUUUUGCAAGAUUCACCACCAGUUUUUUUUUUUAAUUUAUUAAUUGUGUGUACGUACUAGUUAUAUGUUGAAAGAAUAGGCAGAAGUAUUUCAACAUGAAUGACAUAAAACUUAUUGCUCAGUAAACAUAAUCUGCAUCAGUGGGAAAAUGUAUUUAUCGUUUGUAUUUUUUAUGGUUUUGCUUAAGAAAUGAUAUGUGAAAUAAUGCUACAUUGUAUCAGGAAUAAAUUGAAGAGAUUUAUGAUAUUUAUGUGUUAUUCAAAUUUCAGAUUCAAUUUUAAACUUUUGAUACGUGCAUUGAAAGCUUAGACUUGUUUAAGAAAUUAUUAAUAGACACAUGUUGUAUUAGUGUCAUCUUUGGAUGAUAGUGAGGAUCAUAUGUCUAUUAAUAAUUCUUGAAUUGUCCAGGCUUGGACAGUUUGGGAAUGCAUAGUUCUCUCUGGUAGCUAGUAGCUGAAGUUUUCUUCCCACGUAAAAAUGGCUUUUUCGGUAGCUGCUCCUCGUGUUCUCUGGGUACGUACUAGGUGAAUGGGUGUCAUGUGUUGUUUUGGCAUAACGCAUAAACACUUAUAUAGCUUUGUCGUGAGCUUGGAGAAUUAUAGGGAGAUGGUGCUGAAAUUUUUAUAAACGUAGAAGAAAACUUUAGGUACUUGAGAUUGAAAAAACAUAUGCAUUCUUGAGUGGGAUAUGUAGGAUUUAUCACUUACCUUUGGUAAAUAUGAAGGGAAUGUUGACUCCUUGAAAUAUGCCCAAACCCAUGGAGUAUCUAAAUAAGUCUGAAAACCAAACACUGUUACCUACUAGACGACAAAGCAGAAAAAUUUUCUUGACUCGCUCACCUUUUAAAUAAUUGAAACUCAGCUCAAUACUUGAAUAAGUUUCUGCAGGCACAUCUUCGAAGUUUACCAUUGAAGGCGUUCGGAGCUCUCGCAAGGCAUUCUUCCAUUCAUGGAGACUCUAGUUUCUCAGUGCCCUCAACGCAAUGGGCAAACCUCCAUAUGCCUUAACUACAUUAAUUGCUGUAGACUUGAACUUACAAUUUUCAACAUCAUCACCAUUCAUUAUCUUAAACAAUCUCCAGGCUUCUUGUUCAGUUAGAUUGCCAAUCAAAAAGUUAUCUUUGGAGUCCAUACUUAAAAGCACAUUAUUAUCUCUUGCUGUCAGCAAUAGUCUACAUCCUUUAUGAUUAUUUCCAAAAGGAAUUCCAACCGUCUCCAAAUCAAGAUGUUUCCAGAUAUUAUCUAGAAUCACAAGAAUCUUAUUCUCACUCUUCAAUCGUUCAUACAGCCUACUAGCUCUUCUAUAUUCAGCUUCAUCGGACAACUCCAGACCUAACUUCUCUGCAAUUUCCCCUUGAAUCUUUUUUAUCUCUGGAGUUUAUGAAACCUCUGAUAAAACCACCCCAUAAAACAGCUUUUUUCCCUGGCUUGCCUAGCAAACUCUUUCACCAGUGUGGUCUUUCCAAUGCCGCCUAUGCCGUACACCCCAAUAAUGCUGACAUUCGCCUCCGUCAAUGCAUUUUUAAUAGACUGCAAAGUAGAAAGUCUUGAUUCGAAGGCCUCGUAACCACUGCUAGACUUAAGCCAUAUCUCCUCCGGAAUGGUACGGUGGGAAACAGUAUCAAACUUCUUAACUUCUUCUCCAAGUUCAAUAAUGGCCUUCACCUCCGUCUCUGCUUUCUUGCUAAGCUGAUAGCGACUCUUCCAAUGAGGACUCAAGCCCUUGACACAGCGCUUAUUCGUUGACUCCUCAUCUUCAAUGAAUUUGGCUGCCCGGUCAAUGAUGCCGUUCGCACUUCGCAGUAACCAGCCACUUUUCAACCUUCUCUUCAAUCUCUUCCCCUUUUUCUUUCGCCUCUGAAACCCUGCGCUGAAUGCUCGUAUGUUCAACCUUCAACUUCUCCAUUUCCGCCUUGAUAUUCUCAAAGUUGGCAUUGUAGUUCCAAAUAAACAAGUUGGCGUGCAGUUGGAGGAGCCAAGCAUUUUACAAGUUCCAAGACGAUAGUCACAAUGAUUUCCAGCAUCUCGAAUCCUGACAAAAACGUAGAAGCGAAGAAAGCCAAAGGAAAGUAAAAACAAAGAGACAGCGAUAGGACAAGCAAUUGUGUUUUUCAGAUGAGAUGAAGGAAACAAGAAAAGGGUUUCUAUCACGACGUAAAGAGCUAAAAGAGCUGAUGGGUACAGAAUAAGAAAUGAGACUGAGGAGUGAGCAAAGCUAAAUAAUAACAGAACAAGAACAAUGACGAAUAGAAGAAACAGUAGCAAAGAGCCGUUUAGAUGAUUAGAAUGAAACUAAGCGACUGGAAAUAGUAGAUGGUAGACUAAAGAGAAAGUGAUUGAUUAUUUUAGGAGGCCAAUUAACGUAAUGACAGAUCCGGUUUCGAUGUUUGUAAUUUGAGUAUGAGGUAAAUCGAUUCUUUGUCGAGCCAGUCAAAUACAAAGGCAAAUUAGUAAAACACGAGCCAGCAACUUUUACUCACACAAAAGCCAAUAAUAUAUUGAGAUCACGCAACAUUGCAAUAAAGUUAUCAUCAAGUUGUAGCCUUCUUAUUCAAUCAAUUAUGGCAUUAUCUCUAGCUCUGUAUUUUUCAAAAAAAAAAUUAUUAUUCAAAAGAUGUCUGUCAUUAAUUUUUCAAUGAUUAAAAUUAUAAUUUUUGUUUAAUAUAUAUAACGUAAAAUUUUAAAAGAAUCAGACAUGCAUUAGGGUUAAAAUAAAAAAUAUGGAGGUAGCUUUUAACUAGGUAAUUGGCUCAACUAUGGAUCAGUGUGAGAUCACUAUUUUUCUUAUUAAAAAAAAUUCCAGCCAAACAAUUGUCGCAAAAUCUUAAUAUAAAUUACAAAAAAAGACAAUAUUUUCUAAAAUCAUAGCAAUAAUUUAUAUUUUGAAUACCUGUAAAUAAACCACUUAGAAAGCUUUCGAAACACGAAUAUUGUUGUCGUUUUUAAAGACUUGACAUUUUGGGUAAUCUGAAUUAACAAUGCACAUCACUUGUUUGUCACAAUGUCCAAAUAAAUAAUUUUAAAAAAAAGUUAUUUUCAUUCUUUCUUUUCAGGUAUCCUAAUUCCUUUUGCAGUUUGAUUCCUCUUUUCCUGAAUUUCACACAGCGCACCCACAUUUUUUGACCAUGUGCACCUCCCCCUAUUUCUAUUAAAAAAUCAACUAAUCUAACUGUUUAGGCUGUUAUAAAUUUAAAAGACUAUACUACCCUUAUUUUGAAUGAAUUGGGUAUAUAAGUACUAAAAUACCCUUACAACUAAUAAAAUUUAAAUCAAAAAGUAAAAAUUUAUUAUAAUAUUUUUAAAUUUAUAUGUAUACGAUUUUUUCCCGGAUUACAAACCCAAGAUUAUAAACCUAGUAAAUUACAAAAUCAGAGGCAAAGCAUGAUUCCAAUGUGAAAGAAAAAAAUCAAACACACAUUCAUCAGUACAUUACAAAAUAAAUCCGAUAAUCCCACCAAAACAAAUAAAACCCAAUAGAAAGAAACCCUAAACUAAUGAUACCAAAAUCCCUGAGAGCAAAUUUCAUUGUAAAAUUCUAUUACAAAAUAAAUUCAUACUAAGAAAAUUCAAUAAAAAGAAACCCAAUAAUCAAAAAUCUUAAAACUAAAGAUAUCAAACCCAAAAUUAAAUUAUAGAGGUGGCGAAAGAAAAAGGGUUUUUUUAAUUAUAUAUAUUAUUUUAAUCUUGUGUUAAUUACCAUUCUACCCUUCUUUCCGUUAACAUUAGAUUUGAAAGAAAUGAGGGUGGUGGACAUGGUCUGUAGAUUGGGGGCACAAUGCAAAAUGUCAAAACAAUUGGGGCUAAUGCUAAAUUACACAUUAUUUAAAUUAAAUUAUCCUAAUUGUAUUUUUAUUAAUUAAUUAACAAUUAGUUUCAUUACUAUGAUAGUUUUGUCACUAUGUUUGUUACCAUCUCUCAAAAAAAAAAAAAAUUACUUUUACAUGUCGAAUUGUGUAACAACGAUUUAAUGAAAAAUUAGAAAACAGCACGACAUCUCGUGGCUUAACAUGGUCAUCAUGAAUAUCCCUUAUUAUUAAAAAAUGAACAAACAAACUCUUUUUUAAUACAUGUAGUCCUUUUUUUUAUAUUUCAAAAUAGUUAAACAGAUCCUGAAUUUGUGUGUUCCUCAAUAAAUUUUCAUGAUCAUUUUUUAAAAUAAGGGAUUUUUGUGAUUAUUUUGCCACGUCCAAGGAUGCCGCUGUUCUUGUCACCAAAAAUUAUUCUCAUAAGAGUCAUGAUUAAUUGGACGUCAGCAAUGAGGGCAUGUAAUGAAAAAAAUUUGUUUUGCAUGGGAUCCAAUAAUUUUAAUUACAAUGGUGGUGACAGACCCAGCUGGAAAAUCAACUGAUUUUAGAAUUCUGUUGAAAAUUCUUUAAAUGAUCACUAUAUCUCUAGUUCGAUUAUAUCCUUAAGCUCAUUGAUUCUUUUGUAUUGAUUUUGUUACUUCUUUUCUAAGAAAUAUUAUAAGAACUGCUCAGGCUGUAAGAUUGAUAAGCUUAAAGAGUCGGAACGAGGCUUACCAGUUCGUAAGCUUUUAAUUAUUUGGAUUGCUGUGCUUGCAACUGGUAAAUUUUUCAACUUCAACUCGAUAUAAUGAUUUUGGAGAGAACCAUUUACAGUGAUUUUCAAUUCUUUUGUGAUUUUUUUUUUCAGUUCUGCCAGUCUCAUCUCUCUUUCCCUUCCUUUAUUUUAUGGUGAGUGGAUUAUUAUUGCCUUCAGCGCAGUGGUUAUUAGUGAGAAAAUUUAUAUUUUCCUAUCAAGCUUGGUGAUUUUCUGAGAAAUAUAAGAAAAGACAAGUUUUAUAUGUCAAAUAAUUCAUUGCUUUUUCACAGCAGUCAUUUAUGAUUUCUUUUCAGAUUAGGGAUUUUCACAUUGCAAAAAGGGAGGAAGAUAUUGGAUUCUAUGCUGGUUACGUGGGUGAGUUAUUCUAUGUUUUUUUUUAUCGUAUUUAAUAAAUGACACACAGUAUGGAGUCCGUCUUGGGUACGAAUGUCCACACCUUAUAAAGUGCUGACUCACGCCUUUACAACUCUGGGAAGACAUUCUACCGAGACUUUACAUCACUGUAAACGCACUGUACAAGAGCUUUACAAUACGGACCCGCGUCUUUACAACUUUAAAGGGCCAAGUCUAUGCUUUAAAAAGUACAUAUGUUCGCACCUGGAAACGAUUUACAUAUGUAUGUAUAUAUGUAUAUAUGUAUGUAUGUGUGUGUAUAUAUAUGUAUGUAUGUAUGUGUGUGUGUGUGUGUGUAUGUAUGUACGACCAAUAAAACAGUUCAAAUUCCUCGAGAAGUUAUCCUAACAAGCAUCUUAAUACCUUGAUGAAAUUGAAGGGUCUUAAUACAUGCUUGGCAGAGCUCUAACAUCUGUUUUGUGGGGAAUGGUGGCUGACCGCUGUGGUCGAAAGCCUGUAAUAAUAAUAGGAAGCAUCACAGUGUUAGUGACUUCUAUUUUCAUAUGAUCAAGCUUGAAAUUGAUGAUACUUCGGCAAUUUCUGGAUUUCUUGUCUGUCUUAAAAUGCUCACAGGGUUAUUUUUAACACUCUUUUUGGGCUUAGUGUGAAUUUCUGGAUGGCCAUAGCUACAAGGUUUCUCCUUGGGGCUUUGAAUGGUUUACUUGGACCAAUAAAGGUAUUGAUUGGGGGUAUUUGUUGAUAAUUCCAAUUUAAUUCCUGCAAAUAUUUGUGCUCAAACUUCUCUUACACCACGAGGCAUAUGCAUGUGAAAUAUUGCGCGAUCAGCACCAAACUUAUUACGAAACCAAAAAUGUUACUUGUUUUCUGUACUUGCUUUCGCAUGCAUCACCCCCACAAAACUGCUUGACGAUUGUCCUCAUUUUGAACUUACUAUAGGUUUCAUUCUCCUUGUUUUUCAACUUACUCUGUACCCUUACGUCGAGAGGAUUAUUGGGCCAAUAAUCAUAACACGAAUUGCAGGGGGUAAUAUUUUGAACACCUCAUGCGGCAUUUGGACCAUUUGAUAGUUUGUUUCAAACAUAUCUGUUUAUAAAAUACUUUUCUUCAUGGUUUUGGUCCCAUAACUUUCUAUGUAUGUACAGGUUUUAUCGAUACCGCUUUUGACAAGUUACACUUACAUAGCAAUGCUAUCUGGGUUCAGCCUUGCCUUUUUGAUAAACUGUGCUUCUGUGAUGAAGAAUGUUUUAUCUGUAAGUGGAUAUCCUAAUCAUUGAUCCAUAUACUAAGGUUAUAUUAUCCAUCAGCAAGUAUGUAUAAAAUUAUUUUGUCUUUUUUAUUAGAAUUUUUGUAAUUCUUUUUUACUUUUCCUGAAUUGUAGCAUCAGGUGUCUAUAAUAACUGGAUCGUUCCUUCUGCAAAUCAGAGCAGUGGUAAAUAUAUUUUCUUUUGUUUGUUUAGUACAUUUCCAUGCUUUCAGCUUUUUCAAAUUUUGUAUGUGCCAAAGUUUAAAUUAAUUGGUUGGUUUAUGGUAUAAUAACAGGUAUGAUAAUUUACUAAUGAAAUUUCUCACUAGUUUGUGAAUUACUUGGUGCUAAUUAGCUUAAUCAGCUGCUUAAACUAAAGUGCAGGUAACCAGAUGAUUUUUUUCAUUCUGAAUUCGGUGGAGGCACUUGGAGUAAUAUUGACAUUCAAACCGUUUCUAACUCAACGUGCCCCGUGAGUGGAGAAAAGAUGCAUCUGUUGAAAUAUUCAAAUAUAUAUCAAGCAAAUUAAAGCUUUCAAAAUCUUUCAACAAUUUGAUUGUUUGAUGUGGUUGCCACUUGCCAUAUUUUGUGUUACUUUUCUAAAGGCUUAAAUAUGAAAAUGGUUGUUGGUGCUCACGCCAAUUGAUUGCUGGUAACAUUAAUUGUGCAGUACUUGUCAGAACUACCACAAUUUAUCUUCACAAUGAUGCUAGCUAGAAAGAAAAUUUCAUGUUAAGUAAAAUAUUGAAGCCAUAAAGAGUCUUAUUCCAGAGCCUCAUUAAGUACUAAGUUUUCUGCCAUGCUUUCAAAGUUUACAAAUUCGAAGCUUGGGGAUUCUGUAACAAUGGAGGAUAAAAAUUAUAUAAGAAUAUUUUUUGUACAAUUUUCAUACGACCAGACAGAAGCGAGCAUAAUUUUUUGAUCAUAACUCAGAUCAAAAGACCUUCAAUGAUGUAUAAUAUGCACAUAAAGCUAGCUCAGAACCAGACAUUAAAACUUAUGAUGAAAGGGAAACAUAGAUGUUGAGAUUGAAAACAUAGAGAAAUUUUUUUAAAAAAUCUGAAAUUUUAUUAAUAGAAGUUUGAAUAACAAAAUUAGGGUAUUGGACCCUUUUUAUACAAAUUCUAAAUAUUAUGUAUUUAUCAAAAUAGGCAAACUUGAAAUAUUAUUACAUAAUAACGUUCUCCUAACUGAAAUAAAAAAAAUAAAACAAAUCAUACUUAAAAUCUUAUAUUUAGAGAAAAAAUAUAAAAAUAUUGAAAAUAAUAAGAAAAAUAAGAAAAUAACUUAAACUUUGUAAAAUAACUACGAAAUAAACAGAAUUUCUUGCCGAAUAGAUACCCGCUCAAGUUAUGAUCUAGGAGUGAUAUCCUACUCAUCCUAUGCAACCAUCAGCUGCAUCAACUUCAUUCCAAAAUUAACAAAUAAACCAACUGACGCAUUGCAAAUAAUAAGAUGAAACGAUAAAAUAAACCUAGAGAUCAAACAACACAAGGUAAUAUAUUAAAAAGCCUAUGGGAUCAAAACACAUCGUACUAUGUCGAGAGAGAUGACGACUCCUCCAACAGCAGAAAAUAAAUUCUUUCAUUCAUUAAUUUAAAGUAAAUUUGGUGCUCCAUCUUCUUCUCCGUCACCUAUUACCACCUCUGUCAUUGCCCUGCAUCCAGCUACCUUCAUUGAUACGAGCCGCACUAGACUUUCUGCUGUAGUGGACGGAUGUUACAAUUCCUUGCAAUGGAAAAUCAACAGUUCUGUUAGAUUCCCAAAAGAUAUAGAUGAUCAUGGGAAUAGACUUAAAUGCUUGUAAAAUAGUCGUAGAAUGUCAAGAUAUUUAAAAUGGAGUCCAGUUUGGAGUUGCUUCAAUGAUUAAGUCUGGACAGGAUUAACCAUUUUAUCAGUGCCUACUUCCCCACUUGUUUUUAGCAGUAUCCGGCUUGAUUUAAGAAUCUCUUUGUAUGAACUAUAUUACCCAAAAAAAAAAAAAAUCUUAUUUCAAAUGAUGCACAGGAGAAGAGUUACUUGAAUCUUCAUCAGUAUCCAGACAUUCUACAAUCACAGAGUAAAGAGUUCUAGCAGGAAAAACUGAGAAAACAACGUACUUCUAUAGUUUUUCACAAUAUUUCCAACGUUUUCAAACAAUAUUUCCACAAUAUAGUUUUUCAUAGCGAAGAGUUUUGCUUUGGUGGUCUAAGGAUUUGUUCUAGGCAUAAUGCUCUGAUUAGAUUUUGUUUAUUUUUAAUUUUUUAUCCGAUGAAUGAUUUUCAGCUGGUCUUAAUUAUGUGUUCAUAGGGAAGAGCAUUUGGAAAGAUCAUCAAAAAAAAAAAAAAAAAAAGUUUCCAAAGAAAGAUAGGUGUGAAGCAAACCAAACUAAAUGAACAAACUAAAAUAACAGAACAGCAAUGAUGUUUUCAAGGAAUUAUAAAAUAUGAAGGCUUUUAAUGAAAUUUUAUCAUACAAAGUAUGCAAGGAAUUAUAAAAUUUUAGAAAACAAGGGGAACUCUCAAAAAAAGAAAAAAAGAAAAAAAUACUCAAAUUAAACUAGACUAGAAGACAUUCAAUGAUGCAAAAUCUGUCCACAAAAGUCUGAACGAAUCAUUAAAAUUGCAUUCCAAAUUUAACAGUAAGCCGAUUGACCCAUUCUAAAUAAUUCAUAUGAAAUUGCGAAACAAGCCAUGAGAUCAAAUAAAUGAAAUAAAAAAUAAUUACCAGCUGAGGCUUUCUUCUAAAAUUCACAACUCCCAAGUCAUAAGAAGCCUAUGAAAUUAGUACUGGGUAGAGAUCGCCGACUGCACCGCCAACAGCUGAAAAUAAAAUUCUUAUUCAUCAAUUUAAACUUUUACUUUAUAACAAAUAUCUUAUCUAUAUUUUAUUAAAAAAAAAAAUUGUAAAAUGUUUCCAUGGGAGAUAGAGAGUACUAUGUAUAUCCGUACCUUUUCAGCAUGUAAUUGUUGUAUGGUUGUGUUUAGAUCAUUAUUGGUCCAAAGCAAUCGAUCCUCUGUCUCUCCAUAGCAGACGUUUACUCUUGGAGGCGUGAUUGAUUCUCCUGUAGUGAAAAUCUUCAUCUUGGGACAACCAAUCACCCACAAAUCUUGCAAAGAUGGGAAUUUGAAGGUGUAGUUGGCAGAGCUGAAACUUGUGAAGCUAUCUAAAUCAAACAGUUCCAACGUCUUCAAUUUGCUAAAAACAAUCUCUUCUUUUUCAACUCCAUCUUUGUCAUUUAUUACCACCUCUGUCAUUGCUCUGCAUCCACAUACUUGCACUUUGACGAGUUGCACUAGAGUUUUUGCUGUGGAGGAUGUUACCAAGUGUAUCAAUCCCUUGCAACCGAAAGCCACCAGAGCUGUUAGGUUCUGAAAAGAUACCGAUGAUGAUGGCAAUAGAAUUAACAGACUUUGACAAUGAUGUACUUUUAGAAUUUCAAGAUACUGAAAAAUGGGGCCAAGUUUGGAGUCUUGUUUGCACAGCUGCUUCAGAUGAUAGUGCCGGUUCAGCUGUAAUUUUUUUAUCAUUGCCAACUUCCCCACAUGUUUCUCUAAGCUUCCUUCCUCCGAAAAUACCUCUUCGUUGAAUGAAAAAAAACACAGUAUGAGCAUUUCCAGAUUGUGAAAUCUCUCCAGUACGUUCCAGACUGGAAAACAAGCUGAGUCAUCUCCAGCAAUCUCUAGUUGUUUAAGACUGCCAAAAAGGUGUUGUGGGAAAUCGGCCUGCAAAAUCAUCUUCACAUCUUUUCCACUUAGUGAUAGUUCCUUCAAGUUGGGUACGAUCUGAUCAUCAUCAAUCAUAAUAACUAAUGAGGUCAAUUGAUGAUCUACGGUCACACGCAGUGACUUUAUAGUAUUUGUUUUAUAUUAUAUUUUUUUAAAAAAAUUGAAUUAUUGAUAAAAUUUAUUUUAUAUGUUAAUUUUAGAGGUAAAAAAGAAAUUAGGGAAAAAAGGUUGAUUUAUACUGGCUCGAAAUUAUUUUAUUGCACAAUAAUAAAUUACUAAUUUAUUUUGUAAGUUCUUCUAUAUGGAAAGACUAAGGAUUCUUUUAUAAAUGCUAUACCUAAAACAGUUCAUAUAAUUAUUAAUCUACCACAUUGAUCUCUUAGGUAAUGUUUAUAUAAUUAUGGCAAGGCAUGAUUAAAUUGAUCAUUUGUUUGGUAACAACUUUAUUAAUCGGGUUCUGGCAGAUUUUCUUGGUCACAAAAGCGUCAAGAUGCUGGUUUCCUCCCAGGUAUGAUGAUAUACUAAUGAAAAUUCCCACUAGUUUGUGAGUUGCUUUGUGCUAAUUAGCUUAAUUAGCUGCUUAAAUUAAAGUGCAGAUAACCAGGUGAUUUUUUUCAUUCUGAAUUUGGUGGAGGCACUUGGAGUAAUAUUGACAUUCAAACCGUUUCUAACUCAACGUGCCCCGUGAGUAGAAAAGAUGCUCUGUUGAAAUAUUCAAAUAUCUAUCAAGCAAAUUAAAGCUUUCUAAAUCUAUCAACAAUUUGAUUAUUUGAUGUGGUUGCCACUUGCCAUAUUUUGUGCUACUGUUCUAAAGGCUUAAAUAUGAACAUGGUUUUUGGUGCCCACGCCAAUUGAUUGCUGGUAACAUUAAUUUAUCUUCACAAUGAUGCUAUCUACAAAGAAAUUUUCAUAUCAAGUAAAAUAUUGAAGCCACAAAGAGUCUUAUUCCGGAGCCUUAUUAAGUACUAUGUUUUCUGCCAUGCUUUCAAAGUUUACACAUUCGAAGCUUGGGGAUUCUGUAAUAAUAGAGGACAAAAAUUUUAUAAGAAUAUUAUUUUGUACAAUUUUCAUACAACUGACAAAAGCAAGCAUAAUUUUUUUAUCUUAACUCAGACCAAAAGACCUUCAAUGAUGUAAAAUAUGCACAUAAAGCUAGCUCAGAACCAGACAAUAGAACUUAUGAUGAAACGGAAACAUAAACGUUGAGAUUAAAAACAUCGAGAAACACCCUUUCAAAAAAAAAAAAAAAAAAUCGAGAAACACAGCUUUUGAAAAGUCUGAAAUUUUAUUAAUAGAAGUCUGAAUAACAAAAUUAAGGUUUUGAACCCUUUUUAUACUAAUCCUAAAUAUUACGAAUUUAUUAAAAUAAGCAAACCUGAAAUAUUAUUACAUAAUAAGGUUCUCCUAACUGGAAUAAGAAAAAUAAAAUAAAUCGUAUUUAAAAUCUUAUAUCUAAAAAUAAAAUAUAUAAAAAUCUUGAAAAUAAUAUGGAAAAAUAAGAAAAUAUCUUAAACUUGUAAAAUAACUAUGAAAUAAACAAAAUUUCUGGUUGGACCAUGAGGCCAAUAGGGUGUCAUAGUAUUAGAUUAAUGGUAUAUUAUACGCCCUAGAUAGAUACUAUAGCUCAAUUUAUGAUCUCGGAGUGAUAUCCUACUCAUCCUAUGCAACCAUCGUCUGCAUCAACUUCAUUCCAAAAUAAACAAUAAACGAAUUGACGCAUUGCAAAUAAUUUAGAUGAAACGAUAAAAUAAACCUAGAGAUCAAAUAAAAUGAAAUGAAAAUGAUAGUUACCUCGGACUUUCUUCUUCAAAUUUCGCAGCACUAUGUAAUAAAUUAAAAAGCCUAUGGCAUCAGAACAUAUCGUACUGCGUCAAGAGAGACGACGACUCCUCCAACAGCUGAAAAUAAAUUCUCUCAUUCGUUAAUUUAAAGUAAAAUUUGUAAAUUUAGGUACUUGCUGAAGAAACGUGUUUUCAUUUCUUAAAUAAAGCAUUAUACAUUGAGAGUUAUUUAUAGAUGCAGAGGCUACAUUUUUUCAAAGAUUACAUAUGUGAAUACGGAAGGAAAUGUGUCAAUCCGUUCGGCGCGAAUCAUCCGUUCGGCGCGAAUCUUGUCUUUGACAAGUGCAGAUUACCCCUUUGACAAGUGCAGAUUCUGUCUUUGAAAGCUUCAUUCAAUGUCGUUUUAUUUGAUUUUCAACACUCCCCCUCAAGCUGGUGCAUAGAUGUCUUUCAUACCCAACUUGUCUAGGAAUUUUGUAAAUGCCCUGCUUGAAAUGGCCUUCGUUAAAAUAUCUGCAAGUUGAUCUUCUGAUCGAAUUUUCGGCAGUUCUAAGAUUUUUUCAUCUAAUUUCUCCUUGAUGAAAAAUCUAUCUACCUCCACAUGUUUUGUUCGAUCGUGUUGAACUGGGUUAUGAGCAAUAUCUCGUGCAGCUUUGUUGUCACAGUAUAGUUGUAUUGGUUGUUGUGAUGGAUAGCCCAUAUCGUUUAAGAUAAAACUUAUCCAUAGCCCUUCACAUAUCCCAAGGGCCAUGCCUCGAUAUUCUGCUUCAGCGCUCGAACGGGCAACGACAUGUUGUUUCUUGCUUCUCCAUGUGAUAAGGUUUCCUCCCACAAAGGUAAAGUAUCCUGAAGUAGAGCGUCUAUCACUAACUGACACGGCCCAAUCUGCAUCAGUAUAAACUUCUAUGUUGCUGUAAUCUUCAUUUUUGGAAAGUAAGAUUCCUUUUCCUGGAUUUGUCUUCAGGUACCUCAGGAUCCGCAUUACUGCUUUCAUGUGUUGUUCUCCGGGAUUAUGCAUAAACUGGCUUACAACACUCAAUGCAUAAGCAAGAUCUGGCCUUGUGUGGGACAAGUACAUCAAUCUUCCAAUCAGCCUUUGAUAUCUUCCUUUGUCUACUGGAACUUGGUCUGAAGUAAUACAAAACUUCAGUCCUUCUUCUAUUGGGGUGUCAAUAGGCUGACAAGCUGUCAUUCCCGUUUCGUGCAAUAGAUCUAAGGCAUAUUUCCUUUGAGACAGAAAGAUUCCUCCCUUAGAUCGAGAAACCUCAAUUCCAAGAAAGUAUUUUAAGGCACCUAAAUCCUUCAUCUCAAACUCUCUUGACAAGUACUUAUGAAGAGCCUCUGUUUCUUCCUCGUCGUUGCCUGUAACUACCAUAUCAUCCACAUAGACAAUAAGGGCAGUGAUUUUACCUUGUCGUUUUUUAAUGAAUAAGGUAUGAUCUGAAUUGCUUUGGUUAUAUCCAAAACGAACCAUAGCCUUUGUGAAUUUCCCGAACCAUGCUCUUGGGGAUUGCUUCAACCCAUACAAUGAUUUCUUCAAUUUGCAUACUUUCUGAUUGAGUCGUUCUGGUCCACUGCAUCCUGGUGGCAGAUCCAUAUAAAUUUCUUCAGACAGGUCUCCAUGGAGGAAAGCAUUCUUUACAUCGAACUGUUGCACUGGCCAAUCCAAGUUGACUGCUAAUGAUAAUAAGAUACGAAUAGUAUUAAUUUUUGCUACCGGUGCAAACGUAUCAGUAUAAUCAAUCUCGUAGGUUUGGGUGUAACCCUUAGCUACGAGUCUUGCUUUGUAUCGUUCAAUAGAGCCAUCUGCUUUGUAUUUUAUAGUGUAGAUCCAUCGACAACCCACUAGUUUCUUUCCUGGUGGAAGAUCAACUAGUUCCCAUGUUUGAUUUUUCUGAAGAGAUCUCAUUUCAUCAUUCAUAGCCGCUUUCCACUUUGGAUCUUUUAAAGCUUCCUGCACACUGUUAGGAAUAGAUACAGCAGAUAAUUGAUUCACAAAUGACUGAUUUGAUUCUGACAAGCAAUGGUUAGACACAAAAUGACUUAUAGGGUAUUUGACUAUACUAGAGAAGUCAGGCUCAUAUGUGGGUUUAGGGAUACCUCUAUUUUGACGCUGGGGAAGAAUUCUUCUGAUUGGACUUGUGGUAGGAACAUCCUCUGCAGACGAUUGGUUAGGUAUUUCUUCAUGUGACUCAUUCUCGAUUGCAGUUGUGUCUGAGUUAUUGUGCUCCCCAAAUGUGUCUUCACAUAUCUUAGCCUGCGAAUUAUCACCAUUUGCUUUUCCAGUAUCUUGAAGGUUUACUAUCUCAAUGGAAGAUUGACUUUCUUCAGGUGGAAGAUAUGUAAGAGUAUGAAUUUCCUCUUCAUUAUACUCCCCCUGAAAUUCAGACUCUGACAAGUAGUACAUGAUAUCUUCAUGAAAAACGACAUCCAUGGUGAUGUAUAUUUUUCUUGAUGGUGGAUGAUAGCAUCGGUAUCCCUUUUGAUGUAAGGCAUACCCUACAAACACACAACGUAGUGCUCGAGGAGAUAAUUUUUCUUGUUGCGGCAAAUGAACGAAGGCAACACAGCCAAACACAUGUGGGGGCAGAUUCGGCACAUUUGGUGACAUAAUUGCAUCAUUCAGAACUUGGAAAGAAGUCUGGAAUCCAAGGGAGCUUGAAGGUGUUCGAUUGAUCAAGUAUGUUGCGGAUGCCAGUGCUUCUCCCCAAUAAGAUAAUGGCAUGUGGGCUUGGAUUAGUGAUGCUCGAACAACUUCUAGUAAAUGUCUGUUUUUUCGUUCAGCAACGCCAUUUUGUUGGGGUGUCCCCACACAAGUGGUUUGAUGGACAGAUCCUUGUGAUUUCAAAAACUGUUGAAUUGCUGUGCUCAUAUACUCGCCUCCAUUAUCAGUAUGUAGAACUCGAAUUUGUGUCUGAAAUUGAGUUGUCACCAUCUUAUGAAAUCUUUGAAAUAAAGAGUUUACUUCGUCUUUCGAUUUCAUCAGAAAAAUCCAUGUCAUUCUGCUACAAUCAUCAAUAAAUGUAACAAACCAACGAGCACCUCCAAUUGUAGAAACUUUAGAUGGCCCCCAUACAUCAGAAUGUACUACCAUAAAAGGAACUGGAUUUUUAUUUAAGGACAAUGGAAAAGUAGUUCGAUGGCUUUUUGAAAGUUCACAAACAUCACAUUUAAAGUUACAAACAUCAAAUUUCAGAAACAAACUAGGAAAUAAUUUUUUUAAGUAACCAAAUGACACAUGCCCUAAACGUCUAUGCCAUAACCAAAUUUCUGAUUUCCCUUUUUUUAUGGAACUAUCUGCGACUAGUGCAGGGCUUAGCUUUCCAGUGUUUGUUGAUGACAUCUCCAAGUAGUACAAGUUGCCUCGUCUAAUACCAUAACCAAUCGUUUGCUUCGUUUGGAUGUCCUUAAACACACAAUGAUCAGGCCAAAAAAUUACAACACAUGAUAAGUAAGUGGUUAAUUGAGACACAGAUAAAAGAUUAUAAUCUAAAGAUGGAACAAUUAACACAGCGUCUAAAUUUAAUUCAUUUGUGAGUCGUAAAGAUCCUUCCCCAAUAACUGAGGUUGUGGUUCCAUUUGCAGUGGAAAUAUGUUUUUGUGAAGAUGGUUUCAAUUGAGAAACUUGUCGAGAAUCAAAAGUCAUAUGAUCAGUUGCCCCAGAAUCAGUUAUCCAUGUACUAUUAAUAACAGGUGUAAGAGUUUUAAGGGCCUUACCUGGACUGACAGAGGUUGCGAUUUGCACUGAAGAUUCUUUUUUAAGAUCUGUAGUGGAUGUGGAUUCAGCUACUGCAGUUUUUGAUCCAUGCUUGGUGUUCUUCUUUCGAGUAUCCCACCAGUCAGGAUAUCCAAUGAUUUCAAAACAUUGUUCUUUCGUAUGACCCUUCUUUCUACAAUGAGUGCAAUGGAGUGAUGACUUGUCAACAAACUUCCUUUGAGGUUGCUGUCGUGCUAUCAUAGCAGACGUUUCUGAGUCGACCUUCUUGUUUAGUUUGCUUUGCCAUAUAUCUUCUCUUCGGAUCAGAGAAUAACAUUCUUCUAAGUCUGGAAUAAUGUCUUUUCGUAGAAUUUCUCCACGAACUUGGUCAAAUUCUUCAUCUAGCCCAGCAAGAAAAAUGUGCACUCUCAAUCUUUCAACAGACCUUCUGUAUAUUACAACAUCUUCUGGAUCCUUCAUGACCACUUUAUCUCGGUGAUCAAGUUCUCGAAAUAUUUCGACCAAUUCUCCAUAGAAUUUAGAGAGUGGUUGUCCAUUUUGCUUGGUAGAGAAUGCCUUUUGGUUUAGAGUGAAAACUUGUAAUUCAUCGCUUCCAUCAUAGAAGGCUUUUGAUAAUGCAUCACAGAUUUCGUAGGCUGUAGAAAUUCGUAAAUAUUGCUUCAUGAUCUCCGGAGACAUGGAUAUGAGUAACAAUCUUUUUACUUUUUGGUUCUCACUAUACCAUUUCUCAUAUUCCUUUUAAGAUUCCUCAAAUGGCUUUGUGCUGCUACGAAUAUAUGAGAGUUUUUCUCUUUCUGCAAGAUGCAUUUCCAUUAUUUGAGACCAAACAUCGUAGUUUGUCUCAGUGAGGAUAAUUCCAGCAUUAAAUACUCCAUCAGAUUGAACAGAUUGAAUGACAACAGGACUAGAUUCAGUUGGAGUUUUCUCCAUUUUUUUUGUUUUUGUUUUUUUUUUCUUUUUCUUUUUUCUCUUUUUUUUCUUUUUUUUUGUUUUCUUUUUUUUUUUGUUUUUUUUCCCGUCUAGAUUGAAAGAAGAAAAAAAAAAUAACCUUUUUAGGUAACAAAACGACAGGUCGUUUAGCCACUGCUUACCAAACCGACAUGUCGGUUAUGGUGGAAUAUAAACGACAUGUCGUUUUACUCCUGCUGCACUUCUGGAAACUAAGCGUCACGUCGUUUUAUCUCUAAUUUAGAAAAGACAUAUCGGUUUUAAUAUAACACAAAACGACACGUCGGUUUUUGACUGCUGCACUUCUGAGAUAAAAAUGACAUGUCGGCUGACGUCUUCUUCAACCUCUGGAGCGCGUGAGGGCGCGUGAAUGAUGACAGAGGUGCGUGGUUGACUGGCCGUGGCUUCGGUUGGCGCGUGGGAGCGCGUGGGAAUGUGUUUAAAUGCGAAAGUUUUACAGUUUCCUCACUAAAAACUGAGAAAUUUUAUGGUGUUCUUGGUUUUGGACGAACACACUCUCGGAAAAUUGAUGGGAUUGUUGAUAAAUUUGUAAACUCAAGUUUUUUACGUAUUGGUGGCUUGUUUCUUGAUCGGCAUGGAUAUCUGUAAUGGUAGGAAUGGGUUUAAGAAAGAAAAUGGUGGGAAAAAUGGUUGUGGGAGGAAUUUGGUUUCCUCUGUUUUUGUUACAAACAGAGCAACGGAACUUGAAGAAACUUGAGCGUAUUCAUGGCUCUGAUACCAUGAAGAAACGUGUUUUCAUUUCUUAAAUAAAGCAUUAUACAUUGAGAGUUAUUUAUAGAUGCAGAGGCUACAUUUUUUCAAAGAUUACAUAUGUGAAUACGGAAGGAAAUGUGUCAAUCCGUUCGGCGCGAAUCUUGUCUUUGACAAGUGCAGAUUAACCCUUUGACAAGUGCAGAUUCUGUCUUUAAAAGCUUCAUUCAAUGUUGUUUUAUUUGAUUCUCAACACUUGCACAUAGAGAUUUGCAAGGGGAGCGAGAGAUUCAAUAGCAGCAAUUUAAUUUGACGGGACUUUCAUUGAAUAAUGAAAUUAAAAACUAACGAUUAUUGAAUUUUUUAUAUUCUCUUAACUCUUGUGGAAAUGUCAGCUCUAAAUAGGACAGCUUCAAGAAUCUUUAUCUGAAAGUGUAAUUGGCAGAGCAGAAACUUGUGACACUAUCUAAAUCACAAAGACUCAACGUCUUCAAUUUGCUGAAAACAAUCUCUCGUUUUGAAUUUACAUUUGGAGCUCCAUCUUCUUCUUCGUCACCUAUUACCAUAUCUGUCAUUGCCCUGCAUCCAGCCACCUUCACUGAUACGAGCCGCACUAGACUUUUAGCUGCAGUGGAUUUUACAAUUCUUUGCAAUGGAAAACCACCAGUUCUGUUAGAUUCCCACAAGAUAUAGAUGAUCAUGGCAAUAGACUUAAAAGAUUUUUACAUGCAGUAAUAUACUCUUAAGUGGUGUUUGGUUGGGAGGAGAGAAUAGAAGAAAGGAAAGUAAUUUAAAUGCUCUUUUUAUUUCCAUUAUUUGGUUUGACAAAAUAGAUAAGAAUUUAAUUUCCAUUAGAAUUUGAAUUCCACACCAAGUAGUGAAAAAUUUAAAUUCCUCUUAUGUUAAAAACUAAAGUUUCCAAAAUUAUCCUUCAAAUUUUUAACUUGUUUAAUGUCAUUAAUAAUUAUUAUUUAUAAUUUUAUUUUAUUGAUUUAAUAUUAUAAAUAGACCUCCACCGGUAAGUCGCCGGACCACUGUCGGACUUCACCGGACCACCGCUGAACUUUCGCCAGACCAUUGCCGAACUUCCACCGGAAAGUCGCCGGACUUCCACCGGAAUAUAGUUUUUCAUAGCGAAGAGCUUUACUUUGAUGGCUUAAGGAUUUGUUCUAGGCAUACUGCUGUGAUUAGAUUUCGUUUAUUUUUAACUUUUUUUAAUCUUUUAUCCGAUGAAUGAUUUUCAGCUGUUCUUAAUUAUUUGUUCAUAGGGAAGAGCAUUUUCUAAGUACUUCCUUGCCUUCUAAGUUUCCGAAGAAAGAUAGGUGUGAAGCAAAGCAAACCAAACCAAAUGAACAAACAGAGCACAAACUAAAAUAACAGAACAGCAAUGAUGACAAUAAAUAAUUGGCAAAAAAAGAAAAGAAAAAAGCAUGCACAUUUUCAAGGAAAUAUAAAAUAUAAAGCUUUUAAUGAAAUUUUAUCAUAAAAAGUAUGCAAGUAUUUAACAAGAUGUUUGGAACGAUAGAAAAUGAAAGAAAAUUGAUUAAGAAGAUUCUGGAACAAUCAUAAUUCUUAUUGAUGAAACUGAUCAAAAUCGUACAUUGUGAACGAGCUCAGCACUAUUUAUAGUUACACACAUGCUGAUUAGAAAGUGUAGAGCUCAAAACUGCAAUAUUAACAAACUAAUUAACCUUCCAAUCAUAUUAAGCCAGCUGGACAGUUAGUUACAACCAAUCAGUACAAAUAACAACCUAAUCCAGCUUGGCAACUUUGUUACACAUCAUCAGCCAGCUCAGCUUAGCAAACUUACACUCUUAACAGCAAGGAAUUAUAAAAUUUUAGAAAACAAGGGGAACCCUAAAAAAAAAACUCAAAUUAAACUAGGCUAAAAGACAUUCAAUGAUGCAAAAUCUGUCCAUAAAAUUCUGAACGAAUCAUUAAAAUAGCAUUCCAAAUUUAACAGUAAACCGAGUGACCCAUUCUAAAUAAUUCAGAUGAAAUUGUGAAACAAGCCAUGAGAUCAAAUAAAUGAAAUAAAAAUUCGCAACUCCAAGUCAUAAGAAGCCUAUGAAAUUAGUCGUAAUGCGUAGACAACGACGACGGCACCGCCAACAGCUGAAAAUAAGAUUCUUAUUCAUCAAUUUAAACUUUUACUUUAUAACAAACAUCUUAUCUAUAUUUUAUUUAAAAAAAGCAAAUUUUGUAAAAUUUUUCCAUGGGAGAUAGAGAGUAAUAUGUAUAUACGUACCUUCUCAGCAUGUAAUUGUUGUAUGGUUGUGUUCAGAUCAUUAUUAGCCCAGCGCCGUUGAUCCGCUGUCUCUCCAUAGCAGACGUUUACUCUUGGAGGCGUGAUUGAUUCUCCUGUAGUGAAAAUCUUCAUCUUGGGACAACCAAUCACCCACAAAUCUUGCAAAGAUGGGAAUUUGAAGGUGUAGUUGGCAGAGCUGAAACUUGUGAAGCUAUCUAAAUCAAACAGUUCCAACGUCUUCAAUUUGCUAAAAACAAUCUCUUCUUUUUCAACUCCAUCUUUGUCAUUUAUUACCACCUCUGUCAUUGCUCUGCAUCCACAUACUUGCACUUUGACGAGUUGCACUAGAGUUUUUGCUGUGGAGGAUGUUACCAAGUGUAUCAAUCCCUUGCAACCGAAAGCCACCAGAGCUGUUAGGUUCUGAAAAGAUACCGAUGAUGAUGGCAAUAGAAUUAACAGACUUUGACAAUGAUGUACUUUUAGAAUUUCAAGAUACUGAAAAAUGGGGCCAAGUUUGGAGUCUUGUUUGCACAGGUGCUUCAGAUGAUAGUGCCGUUUUAGCUCUAAUGUUUUUAUCAUUGCCAACUUCCCCACAUGUUUCUCUAAGCUUCCUUCCUCCGAAAAUACCUCUUCGUUGAAUGAAAAAAAACACAGUAUGAGCAUUUCCAGAUUGUGAAAUCUCUCCAGUACGUUCCAGACUGGAAAACAAGCUGAGUCAUCUCCAGCAAUCUCUAGUUGUUUAAGACUGCCAAAAAGGUGUUGUGGGAAAUCGGCCUGCAAAAUCAUCUUCACAUCUUUUCCACUUAGUGAUAGUUCCUUCAAGUUGGGUACGAUCUGAUCAUCAUCAAUCAUAAUAACUAAUGAGGUCAAUUGAUGAUCUACGGUCACAUGCAGUGACUUUAUAGUAUUUGUUUUAUAUUAUAUUUUAAAAAAAAUUGAAUUAUUGAUAAAAUUUAUUUUAUAUGUUAAUUUUAGAGGUAAAAAAGAAAUUAGGGAAAAAAGGUUGAUUUAUACUGACUCGAAAUUAUUUUAUUGCACAAUAAUAAAUUACUAAUUUAUUUAGUAAGUUCUUCUAUAUGGAAAGAUUAAGGAUUCUUUUAUAAAUGCUAUACCUAAAACAGUUCAUAUAAUUAUUAAUCUACCACAUUGAUCCCUUAGUCUAGACUAGCAAAGAUUAUUGUAUAAUAAAAAUUUUUAAUUUAUUGAGUAUUAAUUUAUCGAUGCUUUGUCAUAUUUUUCAAAGUUAAAAAUAAGCUAUUGAUAAAAAAUCUAGAAAAUGACUUCAUACCUUUUCCAACGGCAAUAGGAGCUGUUGUGCAGGAAUACCAAGUUGAUCAUUCUCAUUAUUCUGCGAUAAAUCAGCGAAUAUCUUUAAUUUGUCACAACGAUACACUAAAAGACUUUCUAGCGCGGGCCAUUCCAAAGUAUGCAUUCCAGGGUACAAACAUCUAAGUUUUGGUAGAUGUUGGAGUCUCAGAGUGGUGAGCUGUGGAAAGACAAAAUAAGGGAUCACUUGAUCUGCUCUGUUUUCAGAAAUGAUCUCCUGUAAAUCCUCACAGAAGCGUAUAUCUAGGUGUUGGAGCUGCUUAAGGCUUCCGAUCAUAGACGCUGAAAAUAGGUAUUUUAAUUUGUGACAAUGCCGCACAGUCAAUCGUGUUAAAUUUUGAAAGCGAGGAAACAUGACCGGAAGAUGAUUGUAGUGCCAAAUCUUGUCGACAUUAAUUUCAGAUAUCUCCAAAGCCUCCAAGUUAGGCAACGCAACCUAAAAAAAAGAAGAAUUUCUCGUUACAUCCAAUAUGCAUAUGAGAAGCACUUGUUGAAAUUUUCGUCUUCGAUUACAAAUUAAUGCAAGUCAAAACCAAUUUCUAACUGACAGAUAAGUAUGCAUUCUAAUUCAUACUACUUGUUAAGAGCUCAAUUAGUGAGCGCGUGAGAUUCUUUUUAUCCUUUUUUUUCCAUUUUCUUUCAAUUCUUUAAAUGAUUUAAUUAUUUUCCACGUAUGACAACAAAACAGAACGCAUGAUAGAAUAAAGUCUGUUAUAUAUAUAUAUAUAUAUAAAGAAAAUGUUAGCCUACGCACCUUCUCGUUGAAAAGCAGAGUUGAAGUAUCCAAAGUGAUUUCGCUGGAGCUAUACGUAGUCGUCGAUUCCUCUUGCGACGCUGGUCUGUUUGGUGAUGCUGAAGGAGUCUUUACUUCACGGCAAAAACUUGUAACCUCUGGAAGAUUCCCCAGACUCAAAGAUCUUAAUUGAGCAAACUCUAUCUUCUCAAUUGCAUUAUCAACUUCUUCCCCAAUUGCAAAAAUCUCUUUCAUCUUGCUGCAAUUAAUAACUGCAAUUCUCUCAAGUCUUGGAAGGCAUUUUGUUGUAGAGAGCCAAAAGAUAUUACUCAAUUUUUCACAAUUAUAUGUUUGUAUGAUUUUGAGUUCGUUGAAGGACUCUACUUUGAGCCGAUCAAUACAUAUCCUCUCCAUGUUGAUCAAAUUGUGAAGGCCAAGUGACUCCAAAAGAGGAAAGGCAUCACAAGCGACCAUCGCCCUUGAAUCGACGAUGCAAAAGAAGUCAGGAUUAUUUUGAACCCAGACAAGCUUCAAUUGUGAAAAGCCCUCCGUGUCCAAAUUGAAAAGAACGUUCUUGAUCCCUCGCAGCUUGUCCAACAAUAAGUAUUCAACGUUAUUGACGCCCUGCAAUUUCAUGGAGCAAAUGUCCGUAAAAGCAAGCUUGAGCUUCAAUGCUCUUAAACUCUUGCGAUCACUGUCGAUCAAAAAGUGCUGCCAACUUUCAAACCAAUUUUGUCCAGCAAUCAUGGGAUGUGUGAAUAACACAUUUCCAAUAUUUAUUUUGAACCUUUCGAGCUUUCUGGCCAAAAAGCCUUCUGGUAACAUACUCUCAUUUUUAACAUCAAUUUCUAGAGUGGUUAGCCGAGGUAAAUGCAUCAAUUCAUCAAGGCUAGCAUUACUUCUUUUGCUGUUGGCUCUUUCAACCUCCCAUUCAAUGGAGCAAUUACCCAUAUACAAUUCUUCUAAUCGGAUUAAGCUUGAUAUGACAUUUGGGGCAAUAACUUUCAGACGGAAACAGUCUGUUAAAUCUAACAGCCUUAGCUUAGUCAGUUGACCCAGUGCUUUAGGCAACUCUACAAUAUCAGACCGCACGAAGCUGAGGAUUUCUAGGUUUUCCAACUUUCCAAUAAUGGCUACGUCUAUGCCUCUGAAAAUGCUUUGAUCAAGACAAAGUGUCUGAAGAUUUACUAGAAGACCAAUUGAAGAUGGCAAUGACAAUAACCGCAUUCUAGUCAAAUCCAAAACCCGAAGCUUUUUCGUCCUUUUGAAGAAGUUCUCAGGAAUAUUAGGCACAGCAAAAGAGUUCUUGGGAGACAUGAGUAGAAGUUCAAGUUGUAGAGAUUCGGACCCUUCAGGAAUGUCAUUAAUAACACUAUCUUUUAAAGAAAUUGCAAGAUAUUUUUUUAAUUCAUCUGCAUUUGGCCAUUUCCAAUCAUCCUCAUUUCUCACCACAAAUCCAAUUUUGUCACGACAUGCAAUUGAAAUGGCAACAUCGCGAACAACGUCGUGCAUAGAAAAGUAUUUACUGCCACCAUCCUCAAGCAACAAACAAGAGUCUCUUAGUUGAUGGACCCAUGCAUCUAAUUUGUUAUGUGCAUCUUCUAGCUUGUGGACACUUUUAAAUACACCCCAGAGCAUGCUAUAUUUGAACAAGUCCAUAAUUGGUGCUGGCGUAAUAAGACUACACAGUAAAAAAGUUUUCUUGAGUUGCUCACCUCUUAAGUACUUGUAACUCAGCUCAAUUGUUGAGUAUGCCUCUGCUGGUACUCCUUCGUCGAAGCUUGCCUCUGAAGGCGUUUGGAGUUCUUGCAAGACAUUCUUCCACACAGGCAGCUCUUUUUUUCUCAGUGCCUUUGCUACUGUGGUUAGGGCAAUAGGCAAACCUCCGCAUGCCUUGGCUACACUUGUUGCUGUAGAUUUUAACUCACGAUUUUCCACAUAAUCACCUGCCAUUAUCUUGAACAAUUUCCAGGCUUCUUGUUCAUUUAAAAUGCCAAUCGAGAAGUUUUUUUCAGAUUCCAUCCUUAACAGCACAUCAAGAUCUCUUGUUGUGAAUAAUAAUUUGCAUCCUCUGUGCUCAACUCCAAAAGGAAUUCCAAUAGUCCCCAAAUCAAGAGGUUUCCAGAUGUUAUCCAGAAUCACAAGGAUCUUCUUCUCAUUCUUCAAUCUUUCAUAUAGUCUACUAGCUCUUCUAGACUCAGCUUCCUCGGACAACUGUAGGCCUAACGUUACCGCAAUUUCCUCUUGGAUCUUUUUUAUGUCUGGACUUUGGGUAACCUCCGAAAAAGCCACCAUAUCGUAAAGCUUGUCUUCAAUUGCUCGCCUUGCAAACUCCCGCACCAGUGUCGUCUUUCCAAUGCCGCCCAUGCCGUAGACGCCAAUGAUGCUGACAUCAACAUCGAUCAAUGCAUUUUGUAUGGCCUUCAAAGUAGAAAGUCUUGAUUCGAAGGCCUCGUAGCCUUUGUGAGACUUGAGCCAAAUCUCCUCCGGAAUGGUACGGUAGGAAAUUCUAUCAUCAAAUCUCCCAGCUUCUUCUCGGAGUUUAAAAAGGGCCUCCUUCUCUGUUUCUGCUUUCUUUCCAUGCUGAUAGCGAGUAAUCCAAUUAGGAAACAGCCCCAUGAGACAUCGUUCAUUUGCUUUCUCUUCGUCUUGAAUGAAUUUGGCUGCCUCCUCAAUGCUCUUGUUCGCAUUAACCAGCCAUUUCUCAACCUUCUCUUCAAUCUUUUCACUUUUUCUUUCAGCCUCAGAAACUCUGCGCUGAAUGCUUUCUCUUUCAUCCUUGAGCCCAUCGAGUUCUUCCUUGAGAUUCUCAAAGUUGGCAGCGGAGUUAUACCAAUAACUAAAUUCGCGUUGUGCGUGAGGAGACAAGCAGUUUACAAUGCUUUUCAAAAUGUCCAUUUUUUUUUUUUGGUUGGGGGGGGGGGGGGGGACGAAAUAGAAAUAGAACAGGGUCAACGACCGCGCAAUUGAUAAUCAAGUAGAAGCAAAACUAGGCAAAAUUGGAAAAAUAAAUUAUAUUUGUACAAAACAAGGGGAAAAUCAGUGUAACAGAAGAGAAUCAAAGUGUUUUUGAGAUCAGAAAAUUGAACCAAGAAAAGGGUUGCUUGAUCCAAUGAAAAAGCAAAGAGCUGAUGGCAAAAGGGAACAAAGAUAAAUAAGAAAACGGCUAGUACGAGCAGCGACCACGAUGAACAGAAGCAAAGUGUUUAUGAGAUCAAAAGACGAAAAUCAGGAGAGGUUUUCUUGACUGAGAAUUGAAGGCAAAGAGUAGGAGCUGACGAAUACGGGGAUCAAGAGGGAAAAACUGCUUGCUCGUAAAACUACUUUCAAGCGAAUCUGAUAAAAUUAUUUCAAUACUCAUGGGCGACUCCUUUUUAAACUGCAGAAGGAAAAAAAAAAAAAAAAGAGUUCUGAAUUUCAAUAUAUUAAUUUUUAUCCUAAUUUAUGUUGAGAUUCGUAAUCUCGUCUCAAUGAUUAAUUAGUAGAUAAUCUUUCUAACAAAUAUGUGUUGAAUAGAUAUAUUUCUUGACUAUUAGUAAGUUAGAUAUAUUUUAGCAUAGGAAUGAAAGUACCAAGUUGUGUCAUAUUAGAAUAAAAAUGUGAGCUAAAAAUAAUUUUCUAUGACCUUUUAAUUAUUUGUCAGCAAAUAAUUAAGUCAUAUAAAAAAAUUAAUAAUCUGAAUUAGUCUUUAAGUAUUAUAAAUAUUUUUUUUUAUUUUUAAUUAUAAUAUCAUUAUUUAAAAAUAAUUGCUUGACUUAUAUUAGUAACAUUACGAUUGUCAUAAAACAUGUGAUCCUCAUCCAAUAUCCAUUAUUUGUGAUCCUUAAUCAAUAAAAUAUCUAACAAUAUCUUCACCUAAAGUUUGAGACAUGUGAUCCUUAUUCCACUGCGUCAAAACAAGGAGAAAAUCAGUGUAACUGAAGAGAAUCAAAGUGCUUUUGAGAUCAGAAAUUGAAGCAAGAAAAGGGUCGCUUGAUCCAAUGAAAAUGCUAAGAGCUGAUGGUAAAAGGGAACAAAGUUAAAUAAGAAAACAGCUAGUGCUAGCAUCGACCACAAUAAACAGAAAAUUUGAGAUGGAUUUACAAUAUUUCUGCCUUUCUUUAUGCUUUAACAAAUAUUGCUCUAUCAAAAAAAAUAUUUAGCAUUUUAUUAUUGGAGUCACAAAAGACCUACACAAUAUAGCAAGUGCUAGGAAUAAAUAAGAAUAUAUAACUCUCUCUCUAAUUCUCACUCUAGCUUUUAAUUGUCACUCAAAACCCAGAAUUCAUCCUUAAAGUGUAAGCAAAUCAGAGAUGACAGCGUCUGGUUGUCAUACGUGCCUUUUAGUUUUCGGAUGACAUGGCGUACACUUCUUCUGUAAAUCGAACAUGACAUGUCGUACUCUUUGUUUUGAGAUCAUAUUUCAAACUCUUCAUGCUAUGAAUGAAAGAUAAACUACAAUCAUCAAAAUAUUUAGUGUUUAUUUGGUAAUGUAACAUCAUAGUUGUUGUGAAUUGAAAUUAUUUAUGUAAGAUAAAAGGAUUUGGGUCAUCGUUUGUUAUUCUCUAGCAAUAUUGUUUGGCCGUGACUAUUUGUUAAAUAUUAAAAAAAUAAAUUUAUAUUUAUUAAGUACAAAAAAUAAAUAAACAAACAAAAAUAAAAGGAAAAGUUUAUGCAUUACAUAAAAUAAUAAGAACAAUAUCAAUAUUUCACACUCUAUAAUUGACUGAUGAGUUGUCCAACUACCAUACAUUGGUCCCAGAGACUUAAAUAUUAAAGUCCAAAGUUAUUGUGAUGAUGACUUAUAAUUGCCAAACUUGACAUACGGGUAAUCAUGCAUUAUAUAAGGUGCUGAUUUCUUCCGAUCGGAACUUUAUUUUUCAUUUACAAAUAAAUAAAUGAUGUGACUUAACGGGUGGCGGGGUCCUUUGUGCCAUUUGUGUAUUUCACUGAAUAGUUGAUUCAACUUGAUUGCAGCAGAAAGAUUCCUGGAAGUUGCCAUUUGCCAAUGCUACUAACAUUUUCAAACUUGGAAAACCCUUCAAUCAAUCUUUUAGUGGUAGGCUCUGGUAGCUUGCUUUGAUUAUGACAUAUGAUUAUUUGAUAAUAAAGCUAGAGGAUGUAUUAAUAUAAAAUUUGUUUAUUGGUGUUGAAGUUAAUUAUCUCAUUAAUAAUAAUAUAAAAAGUUAAUUACUAAGAAACACAUAGCAGUAUUCUAGGAUAUAAUUUUAUAUCAUAACUUUGUAAGUGUAUAAUUCCUCAUUAAAUUAACAAAAUUAUUUUAAAAUAUUUAGUUAGAAAAAAUAAAAUAUUUUACAAUACCUCCCUUCAGAUUGCACAAAUUACAUAAAAAAAAAAAAUUGCUUUAUGUAUAAAACUUUCAAACAAAUUGGGCCAAAAUCUAACUUUACCAAGUUUAGAGUAAUUUUGGGCUCUACAUUCCAUUUCCGACAAACGAAUUUUCUUUAUCACCAAGGUAUGAUACUUUUCAUAUUUAUCCAACGGCUCGUCAAUGACAAUACCUUUGUAAAAAGUACUUAUUUUCAAUAGUAUAUUGUGGAAAUGUCUGGUCGGUAAUACAACUAUUUCUUAUAGUGUAAAAAUGAUACACUAAGCGUUCACAUUUUGAUGAGUAAAUUAAGGAUUUCAAGAUGAAGUACAUAAUUAGAUUAAUGCUAAGAAACUGAAGUUUGAUCGAUUGAAAACGAAAAUAAUAAUAAAGGUAAUUAAGAAAAUGAACAAUAUAUGCAGAAGCGGCUCCUUAUUAGGACUUCUAGAUUUUCUCUUGGGCUUUCCUUAUUAUUGUUAAAAAAUGACACGAAGAACUUUGAGUUUAAAAAUCUGGCCCUGAUGCCUGGUAGCCCUCCAACAUAUGAAGCACCAGAUGUUUUGAUGAGAAUAUGACAAGACCAUUUAUCAAAUUUCUUGUGGAUAUAAAUACGUACACAUGGACGAGACCAACCUCCUCAAAUGAGAAUCAGAGUGAUUACAAGACCUUGCAAUGAGACAAUGAUACACCUUCAAAUGUCAAAAUACAAUAGAAAUUCACGACAUAUAUAUAAUAAAAGACCUCUCAUUGAGUCAUAUAUAUUGAGAAUAAAAAUGUUAUAAUACAUACACAAAGCUUAGCUAGAAUAAAAUGUCUUUGAACUUGCGAUGAUCAAAUAAAGAAAACAGACAGGUUGUAACUCACACUAUCACAAGAAGAUCACGAAGAUGGAAAUAGGAACCCGACAGAAUGGAAAUUUUGAAUAGAGGAAAAAAGAAAAACGACCUUAUUCACAUAAGAAGAGUGACUCAAAUCUUCUUCAGUAUCCAGACAUUCUGCAAUCAUAGAGUAGAGAAAUUUUAACAGGAACAGCAGAGAAAAUAUUAUGAAUAUGCUAUAGACCAAUAUACUUGUUCAUAGCUAACGUUUGAUGGUUUAAAGAUUUGUUCUAGGAAUAAUGGGCUGAUUACUUUUUUUUUAUUUUAAUUUUUUUUUAAUCCAAUGAAUGAUAUUCAGCUGUUAAUUAUGUGUUCAUAGGGAAGAACAUUUUCUAAGUACUUUCCUUGCCUUCUAACUUUCCGAAAAGCAAACCCAAUGAACAAACAGAGCACAAACUAAAAUAAAAGAACAGCAAUGAUGACAAUAAAUAAUUGGCAAAGAAAAAAGGAAAAAGUAUGCACGUUUUCAAGGAAUUAUAAAAUAUGAAGGCUUUUAAUGAAAUUUUAUCAUAAAAAGUAUGCAAGGAAUUAUAAAAAUUUAGAAUUUUUGGAAUUUUUAAUGCACCAAAGUUCAUUUUUAGCUUUUAAGGUUUUUAUGUGUGAGCCUCUCAGCAUGUUCCCCAACCUCCUCACGUGAAAAUAUUUCUAUGCACGGUUACAAGCUUUUCCAGAUUGUGAGUAUUCCGAAGCAAUCCAACUUGAAAAACAGCUGGUUCGUAGAAAAUGACAGUUUACGAAGCUGGCCCUGCUGCCAUACAUAUGAUGAUGAAGACCAUUUUGCUUUAUGUCAAUUCCUCCAAGUUGAAAUCUUUCUCGGUCUGGGACACUUCCAACACAUAAUGUACUACUAGGCCAGAUGAUUUUAAAAAAUGUCAAGGUCCUUUAUCAAAUUUCAUUUGCAUUCAAGACCAAUCCCCUUUGAUGAAAAUCAAUAAUUAAAGGCUUUCCAAUGAGAAAUUAUUACGUCUUCAAAUCUCAAAAAACGCCAGAAUAUUAAUUCGCUACAUAUAAUCAAGAUAUCUCAUUGAGACGCAUUAAUAAAAAAUGUCAAAAUGCAUAGAAAGAGCAGACACACGGAUGAUGAAUUUACUCAUCUUUAUUAGUAUUUGAACUUGAGAGACAGAAUGAAGUACAUGUCAAGAAUAUCAUAAAGAUGGAAACCGGAAGUCCUCCGCACAUAAACUUUGAAGAAACUGGAAAACGACUUUAUUCCAGAUAAUGCACACCAGAGUGACCAAAAUUCUCUUCAGUAACUAUAGAGAAAAUAUUAUUUUGCAUGCAUUUCACGUAACUGGAUCAAACUACUCUCCUGUUGGUUUAUCAGACCACAUUUUUAUGGUGCAAUAUAAACCAUCUUUUCAAAACGCUUUUACCAUGUGAGAAAUAUACGCAUUAAAUUUCAUAAACUAAAAACUCCAAUUGUCAAAAAAAAAAAAAAGGGUGAGAAACUCAGUAGAAUUUACAACUUCUCAGACUCACGAAAAGGUGAGAAACAAAUGAUUUUUAUAUAGUUGUUCAUAGCUAACUUUUGAUGGUUUAAUGAUCUGUAGAUUUUGUUUUAUGCUAUUCAAGGAAUGAUAUCCAAUUGUUCCUAAGAGUUCAUAGGCAGGGGCAUAUAUGCAUGAUUUGAUAUAAUUCUUGCAAUUUCUAAGUACUUGCUCUUUCCAUCCCUUCUAAGUUUUGAAAGAAAGGUCGAAAUAAACAGAGAAACAGGACAAACAGAAGAAGACUGAAUUAACAGAUCAACAAAGAUGGCAACUAACAAAUGGAAAGUUCUCUUGUAAUCAAACUAUAGCAAACAGAUGACACCAUUACAAUAUAUCUUAAUGAGUAGAUUGAUUCUAAACAUAUAUGUUAGGAUACAUUUGGUUGUUUAAUAGUUUGAAAUAAGGAGGAUGGGAUGGUUUCCACAUAAAAGUGCUGUCCCUUUCAAUGACAUUUUCAAAGAAUUAUAAAAUUCAAAAUAAAAAAAAAAUUAGCAAAUUAUAAAGCCACACCGUCAAAAAAAUAAAUAAAUAGAUAAGUUAAGACCUUUAAUGAUAUAAAAAUAAAUAAAUAGAGAAGUCACUAGGACCUUUAAUGAUAUAAAAUAAGCAUAUAAAUCUCAGAACAAAACAUUAAAAUUCAUUCUAAAAAUAAACUAGUGGUGUAUUCCAAACAAUUUAGAUGAAGCGAUAAAACAAGCCAAGAGAUCGAAUAAAAUGAAAUGAAAUUGAAUUAACUGGGACUUUGUUUUCCAAAUUCACAACUCGCUUGUAAUUAAAGUAAAAUGCCAAUGCCAUUAGGACAUAUACAUCAUUGAAUAAGAUGAGGACCCCUCCAACAGCUGAAAGUAAAAUUUUCAUUCAUUAGUUUCAAUUAAAAGUAAAGCACACAGAGAUUUGCAGGGAAGCAAGAGAUUUAAUAAAUUUAACAGCAGCAAUUUAAUUUGACAGGACUUCCAUACAGUAAUGAAGUUAAAAACUAAUGAUUAACGAAUUUAGUUUGGUCCCAAAGCUGUUGAUCAUCUCUCUCUCCAUAGUAGAAGUUUACUCUCAGAGGCGCGUUUAAUUCUCCUUUAGUGAAAAUCUUCAUCUUGGGACAACCAAUUAUAGAUAAAUCUUCCAAAGAUGGGAAUUUGAAGGUGUAAUUGGCAGAGCAUACAAAAUCUUCAAUUUGGCGAAAACAACUCUUCUUUUAAAUUUGCUGCUCCAUCUUCGUCAUUUAUCACCACCUCUCUCAUUUCUCUGCAUCCACAUACCACCAUUGAUAAUAGUCGCUCUAGACUUUUUGCUGUGGAGGAGGUUGCUAAGCUCAUCAAAUUCCUUGCAACGAAGAACUAGAAGUUCUUUUAGGUUCCCAAAAGAUACCGAUGAUGAUGGCCAUAGAUAUAACAGAUUUUGACAAUAAUGUACAUUUAGAAUUUCAAGGCAUUGAACAAAGGAGUCCAAUUUGGAGUCUUGUUUCCACAAUUGCUUCAGAUGAUUAAAUUUGUGCAGAUCUAAAUGUUUUAUCAUUGUAAACUUCCUCACAUGUUUCUUCAAGUAUCCUCCAUUCGAAAAUACAUCUUCGCAUGAACAACGACGCCGUAUGAGAGUUUCCAGAUUAUGAAAUCUCUCAAGUAAAUCAAGUGGAAAACAAGUUGAGUCAUCAUCCACUGUUUGUAGUAGUUUAAGACUCCCAAAAAGGUGUUGUGGGAAAUCGCUCUGCAAAGUCAUCCUCGAGUCUUUUCCACUUAAUGCCCGUUCCUCCUAAGUUGGGUAAGCUCUGAUCAUCAUCAAUCACGUAAUAACUUAUUAAGUCAAUUCAUAUUCUCUCAAAUGACUUUUAAUAAUCCAAUCAUACACAGUGACUUUAAUAUAAAUGCAUAAUAUUUUACAAAAAAGAAGAAAAAAUCGAAUUAGAGGUAAAAGUUAUUCUACGAUUUUAUUUUUUAUAUAUAUCUUGCAUGCUAUUCCCAAAAGCAAUCCCAAACGGCCCUUAAAGCAAUUUUACAAAAGUGGCCGGUACAUAUAUUGCCAACUUUGUUAGGAAUGGCAAUGGGAAGGGGAGGGGAAGAGACCGACCUCCCCGUACCCAUUCCCGAUAUUCUGCAUAUAUCCCCAUCCUCUCCCCAUUCCAGACAAAAUUGCUUUAGGGAAUCCCUCUCCCCUCCCCAAAUAAUAAUAGGGGAUCCCUGAAGGUCCUCGAUCCUCGAAUAACUAAUACGUUUUUAGUUUUAAAUUUUAAUUUAAUCAUAUUAAAAUAAAAAAUUUAAAUAAAAAUAAAGUUUGACGAUAUAUCUUACAUUAACAUUAAUCUAUUAAAAAAGUCACAUUACAAAGUAUAAAUCACCAUAAUAAUUAUCUUCGGCAAUCUUCAAAAUCAUAUAAUAAAAAAAAAGAAAUUACUUUUAUAUCAACAAUAAGAUAAAUGAAAUGAAUAUAGAUACUUAAUCAAUAUUUCUAAUAAAAGUAUUCACCUCAUGCGUCUCCUACUCUUCUUGUUCUUCCUCGAGGAAUGUGACAAAUUGAGAGAUAGCCUUAGAUUUCAAGUUUAAAACAAUAAAAAUAAUAUAAGUAAUGUAAAUUCUAAGUGAAAAUAUUAAUAAUUAUAUAAUAUAAUUACAAUGUAAAAUAAACUCAUACUACCAUUGUAAGCUUGUAGUCAACUUUGACAACUUAUUAAAGCCUCCAAUGUGCUUGAAUAAAGCGUGUUACGAUACUCUACCACAGGUGCUAAAAGCUAAUUCAGAAGCAACAUUUGUAAUUAGAAUUGCCAAAAUAUCUCUAGCAAUUCGUGCCAAUAUAGGAUAUCUAUAGACAUUUGUUUUACACCAACUCAAAAUAUUAAAAUCUUUCAUCCGUGGCAUAACUUUUUCAUCCAAAUAUUAAUGUAGUCAAUUAGGCCUAAAGUUUAAUAAUAUAAUUAUUUUAAUUUUUUUAUUUAUACUAAUAUUUAAUAUUUUAUUAUUUAUAUUUUAUUAUUUAUUUACAAAUAAUUUUAAAAAAAUUAAAAUUAAAAUUAAAAAAUUGGAAGGGGAUAGGGAUUCCGCUGCAUCCCCGUCCUUUUUUUGAAUAAGAAAUUGGGUAAAAAAACUAUUUCCGUCGCUUUUCUAAAUAAAAAAUUAAGUAAAAAAUUAUGUACCCUCCUGAAUUGGGAAAAUCUCGAGGGUCAUGUCCCCGCGGGAAUAUCUGCCAUUCCAAAACUUUGUAACAGCCACUUGCUUUUGUGACCGUUUAUGUGACGGCUAGACUGCUCUCACUUAUGUUACUAACCACGUGACGGUAGAGAGCCAAUUGGCAUACUAUUAUUUUGACGGUAGAGUUAUAAAUUUGUUUCUAAAUAGAAAACUAUUUGCUGGAGUCAAUAUUUUGAAGACCAAAGUCCCAAAUUCUCUCUCGUGCCUGGCCAGCAUCCUAAACCUUACUGGUAGCCGGAGAAUGGCGUAAAACGGCGGCGAUCUUCUUCUUCAUCUUAUUCUCUCUCUCAUCGUUUCAGGUAAGCUUGUGAUUAUGAGUUUCUUCGCUUUCUUAGCUUGUAAUUAUAGGUUUUGAUUUCUUUAAUUCGUUUUGUAGCCAUUAAUGUCAAUUUUUGUCCCACCGGCAAUGUUUUUUGUUCCUAGAAGUUGAAGCCCUUCUGUUCUUGUGCCAUUGGUGAGUUUGCUCACUCAAAUUAAUUUUGUUCUGCGGAGUUUACAAAGUUCAAAUGGACUCAUUUGGAUUACUAUUGAAUUUAGCUUUAAUUCCAACAUCCAUUCUAAUGUUUUGCCAUUAGAUUUACUUUAAUUUUAUCUUUAAAGCUUCUACAAUGAAUAGCGGAGCUUGGGUUUUAGUUUCAAUUUCUAAUUAACUUGUUUUAGUUUAUCUUAUAUGCUCGCCAAGUGCUUGUUAUAUUGUCUGAUAAGUUAUAUAACAUUGCUGAUUCUAUAUUAGUAAUGUCAUGUUCCAUUUUCGGAAAUUAUAACACAAAAGUUUUUACAAUGGCUUGCAUCUACAAACUGAAUUGACUUGUAGAGUAAGAGCUUGGAUUAGUGUUAUGUUCUUGAAUAAAUGAAAGUUCAUAUUGUGUAAGAGCAUGUAGAUGUAAAGCAUCACUACCAUUUCUACAAACUGCUUUCAUUCUGUUCAGAUGCUCCUCUUGAACUUUGAAAGGUGCCUCAUUCAAGUCCUAGCUGUAACUACUAGCUCUGAUUGCUUAAGUUCCUGUGCUAGCUGAAACAGAUUUAUUUAAUUAAUUAAUUGUGUAUGUACUAAUUAUAUUGAACGUAUAUGAAGAAAUUGUUUAACAUGAAUGACUUCUAAAUGACUUAAAAGCCUAAAGGAUAUGUGAAAUAAUGCUCAUUUCACUUGAACGAGCCUAUUAAUACUUGUAUGUCUGAUGGUUGUCGAAGCCAACAAAAAUAAAUUCAUACUCUAAAUAAAUUGUGUAUAGUGAUUGAGCAAGGUCAUGUCCACAGAGAUCGGUAAUUAUUUAAAUCCUUUUGAAACGUAAAACGUAAAAUGGGGGAAUUGUUGACAAUAAUAAAAAUCAAAUUAAAAUAACAAGAAUGCAAAUUAAAGUUGUAAUUCAAAUUAGAGAAAGCUCUGGUUGAAGGAAUUAAUUCAGCUUGAUUCGACUACUGAUCAUUGAUUCAAAUAUAGAUUAUUAUUACUUAUGAAUAGACCGGUUAUAGCUACUGAGACCCUCUAAUAGCCAAUCUCUCCUUAACUAGUCGAUAACCAAGGUACGACUGUUGGUUAUUUCCCUAAUCAAUAGACAACCCUAGAUACGAUCAUAGGAUUUAAUCAAUUGACAGCCUGAAAAACCAGAGAGACCCAAAUCCUAAUCAACACAUACGAUGAUUCAUUUAAAUUAGAUUGUUUAUUCUCACAACACAACUCUCUGCUAUGUUAUUUGUCACAAACAUUAAAUUCUUCAUACGAUGAAUCCUUUAAUUGACAAUAGAUUAAGUUGAUAAUUAAAUAGUGGCCAAUUACCUAAUUAACAAACAUAAUCAUGAAAAUAAUUCAGAGAAUAAACAAAUACCCAAAAAGUAAUAAAACAAUUAAAGCAUAAAAUAGAUCUCACAAUAGUGAUGAAUCAAAGCUUCAUUAUCCUUCAACCAGAAAAAUAUAUUUAGUUCUUCAUAGAGAGAAGAGAAAAGUUUAGAUCUAGGGUUUCUUUCUCUUCUCUUCAAAAGUCCCAUUUUUCACAAUAGAUUCCUCUCUUAAAUACUCUCUCUCUCUUCUCCUCUAGAAUUCUAUUUAAAAUAAAAUACUAAUAUAUGAAAUAUUAAAUUCGUAAUUACAAAAAUAACCAAAAAUACAAAACACGUUAAACUAAAAACUGUAGGUCCGUAGUUGCAGCACGCGCCCACGCGUUAUCAACAAAGUUCUUCUGACGCUCAUAAUUUCUCCAAGAAAGCAAUCAUCUUUAAACAUCAUCUUAUAGCUCAAUUUUAUCACAAAUCAAUAGAAUUGCACCUACAAAAGUAAAACACAAGUAAAUUAUCAUUAUUAAGUGCAAAACAUCAAUAUUAAGGGAAGUAAACAAUGCAAAACUAGUGCAUAAAUUGCACUCUAACAAAUUCCCCCACACAAAGAUGAUGCUUGUCCUCAAGCAUAUAACUCAAGACUAAUCCCAAAUCUCCACUCAAUUCUCAUCUCAACUCAUCCAAAAACAAUUUUAAGCAAGUAUACCUCAAGAAAUUAAGUCGAUCAACAUUCGAGAGACAAGGAUUUUAAAGCAUAGAAUCUCAUAAGAUAGAAUAAGAACAUUCAACCACCAAGAAGAUCCAUUCAAAAUUCAAGUGCAACAAGAUUUAAUAGCCCUCUCAUUGACCUCACUCCAUGCACUCAAAGUGUUUAGGGUGUCAUUUAUUCACUCAAAUCAAAUCAAAGAAUGUUAUUACCAUAAACUUGCUUAUAUAUCACAUCUCAAUCCACAAAACAUGAAUUAAAUGCAAAAAUCUAAGGGUCUUAAAAGGUUGUAACGGGGUUAAAUGGGUUAAAUGAAAAAGAAAAGUUUAUGAAAGAAAAAGAGAUCAAAAUGAGAAGAAUGAACUCAUUGAACGAACUUUAUGAUAUCGAAACGCUUAUUUCUACACAAGUCACCAAGAAUGUAAACAUUUUUUUUUCUUUUUCUUUUUUUUUUUCAAUUUUUUUUUUCGAUUUUUCUUUUUCUUUUUCUUUUUUUUUUUGAAUCAAACAAAAGAAACGAACCUUGCACAAUUUAAUUCAGGCAUAAUGCUUGUUGAUCUAAUUGAGAAACUUUAAUACAAGGUAGAAAAAGCAACAAAAUAUAUACAAAAUAUAUCCACACAAUGAGUCCAAAAAUCUCCUUAAAUUGAGGCUCAAAAAGAAGAAAAAUGGUUAAGUAGACGGAGAGAAUUAGAUGGGUAAUGGUUAAGGCUCAAACAAAGAUAGUAAAUCAAGGUCUUCGGGUAGAGAAAAAAAAAUGCGAGAAUAGAAAAAUGGUAAAUGGUUUGCCCUUAUCAUUUUAAUGCAAAAAAUCCGUAAUGUGGCUUCAACAUGCAUAACAAAGCAAGUUCUAGAAUAAACAAACUAAGAUUGAUAUUCACAUAACAAAAAUAAUAGAGCAAAGUGGUUGCUCAUAGGCUCAAAUCCUCACAAAGUUGGUAAAUUUGCCAUCAAAUCAUGUGCACUCUUCAAAUGAAUCAACCAUCAAUAGUGGUGUAGAAUGAGAAGAAGGUAUGAUUGAGAUAUGAAAGGAAAGGUAAAAAGGAUAAUAAGCGAGAAAGAUGUAUGUAGUAAAAAAAAUGAAUGAUAAAAUGUGAGUGAUGAAAGAGUAUGAUAGAAUAAAAAUAUAUGUAAAUAAUUUGAGGUAGAUGGGAAAAGAGUAGUGAGAGAGAAAGGAAAAGAAAAUUAAUAAUAUAUGAAGCAUACUAACUCCAAAAUCAUUUAAGGAUGAGUAGAGUGAAAAUAAUAAUUCCAAACAUCAAUAAUGUAAAAAAAUCCCUCCCCCACACCAAGAACUUACAUUGUCCUCAAUGUAAGAUAAUCAAAGCUCACAUAAAAAUUAAAGCGUAAGGAUAAAAGAUUAAAGACAAAAAAAAAAAAAAACUUCCCUGAAUUAUGAGCUUUGAUCCACAUAACGUCUAUGGGCUUGGCAGAAAUGGUGGGGUAAAUCCCACACUCUCGAAGUAUGCGGCCAAAUUCUGCUCCAUCUUGUUCAGCUUGUGCUCCAUUUUCUCUAACUGAAUGCUCAAAGGUGGUGCGGAUGUAGAAGGAAUAGUUGGCGGGGCAGCAGUGUCGUCGUCAAACUCGUCAUCAGAGGUAGCACCACUCCUAGCAUAAAGCUUCUUCGGAGGUUGAGUGGGUCCUGGUUCAGUAAAAUGAAAUCUCCCCUCCUUGAAUUCGACCAUACCUGUUCUUUCAAACACAGACAUAUCCAAAAAUUCCUUUUUGCAAGCAGGAUGCAAAUCAUUAUUGUCAGGAUCAAGCACACAUAGGUUUAUAGCUAACAGAGUAAUGUAUGGACCAAGAAAUAAAGUUCUAUACCGUUUAAGCACACUUUGAAAUUGAUCCGCUAACCAAAAACCUAAAUUAGGCCUCACAUCAUUUAACAUGCACCAGAUAAAAUAACAUUCAGUUUUAGAGAAAACUCCUGAGUGAUCUUUCUUACCGAAAAAAUUAUAUGCUAAGAAUCGAUGCACACAUUUCAAAACAGGAUCACGUAAGAAAGAACUCUUUGAUUUACUCGGGUCAUAGGCAUUGUGAUCAAUAGAUAAAUUACGCCAAAGACCAUAAGGCUCAAAAUUUUCGCUAAAGUCACAAGUUGUUCCUAAAUAUGCAUCACUAGAAGAAUAAUCAUCAUCAAUGAAUCCUAAAGCUAGGUUAAAAUCCGUGAUAGAGUGUAAAAAAUUUCGUCCCAUUAACCUAAACUUAAUGACAUCCGGGGUAUGCAAAGUAAAAUCAUUCGGCAUAUUAAAUUGAAAAGUAGCAUAAAACUUCCUAAUCAACUCAACAUAACCCAAACAAUCAACAUCAACAAACUUAUGUGACCCAAUCUUAUCUAUCAAAGAAUCAAAAUUAUCCUUAACAUUCAAUUUUUCAAGAGUCGGGUAAUGAAUAUACUUAGCUGGAAGUAUUUUGCGCGUGGAAAUAUCUUUGUACCUCUCUUUCUCUUGUUGAGUCGCGAAUGCGAGGCACUCUUUGAGAUUGGAUUCCGCAAGUGGCAAAACACUCAUGCCUUUUCCAUGUUUCGAUCUUUGUCUCACGGCUUGGCGUGAAUAUGAAAUUGUGUUCCAUGGAACCGUAGUGGGAGCGGCAAUCUUAGAUUUCUUUGCGACGAGUGUCUUUUUAGAUGACUUGGAAGUAGAUGCUUUCCUCUUCGGCAUUGUUACAAUAAUUGCACUCACGGAUUUCGAUUUACCUGGCUGGAAUACAGGGCGUAGGUUGGAUCUGCGUUGCGUUGCUGCUUGGCUGGAGCUUGCUGCGCAGGUUGGGGCUGGUUGCGCGCUGCUGCUGGUUGUGUUGCGCGCUGCUGCUGGUUGUGUUGCGUGAUGCUGCGCGCUGCGGGUGGAAUUGGUUGCGCGCUGCUGGGGCUGGAUUCGGGUUGCGCGCGGGGGCUGGGGAUGCUGGUGCGCGCUGCGGGUGGGACUAAUGCGCUGCGCUGAGGCUAAUUCGCGUUGCUGGGGCUGCGUUGUGGGAUGCUGGUGCUGUGUUGCGUUGCGCGCGGCUGCUGCUGCUGCAUGGCUGCGGCUGCUGCUGCUGCGGGUGAAAACGAUAAUCAACAGUGAAUUUUUAUUUUAUUUUUUUGAAUUAGGGAUUUAUGAACAGUGAUUUGUGAUUUUUGUUUUUUUUUUGUUUUUUUUAAAUAAAAAAAAUAUGUAUAUAUAAAAGAAAGAAAAGAAGGAAAAAAAAUAAUAUUUUUUUUUUUGUGAUGAAUCACUUUGAGACACUAAAAAUUUCAGAAGUACUUUUCUAAUAAGCACGUGGGCACGCCUUAAAACCAUUUUAUUUUAAAAAUCACAGAAGUACUUAUUAGUUAAGACGUGGGCACGCCUUAUCAAAAAUUUUCUUCUGACCAAAAUAAGCAAACACAUUAAAAAAAAAUGAAUCAAAAUUAAAAGAAGAUAUAACAAAAACCAAAAUAAAUAAAUCAUUUGGGUUGCCUCCCAAAAAGCGUCUUUGUUUUAUGUCUUUGGCUAGACACAUUUAUGCAUCAAUCUCCAUAAUUGGGACUCUCGAGAGCCACAUCCUCCACAAUAUUCACAAAAAAACCUUCAUAAAAAGGUUUUAAGCGAUGACCAUUAACCUUAAAAAUUUUGUCAGAGGUCGGACUUCGAAUCUCAACUGCACCAUGAGGGAAAACAUUAGUAACAAUAAAAGGUCCAACCCAGCAAGAACGUAAUUUACCCGGAAAAAGUUUAAGCUUAGAAUGAAAAAGAAGAACUUUUUGACCAACAGAGAACUCCUUUCUCAAAAUCAUUCUAUCAUGAAAUGUCUUCGUUUUUUCCUUGUAAAUAACUUCCUGCACUAUAGGGUUAAUAACAUCCACAGAAAAUACCGAAUGUUCCUCACUAGGAUAUUUCAUGGCAUCAUUCAUAUUGAAUUCUAUAACCUCUCCAUCAAACUCCAUAGUGAGAGUCCCUUUAUGUACAUCCAUUUUAGUCCUAGCAGUCUUAAGAAAAGGUCUUCCUAGCAAAAUUGGGACAAAAUUGGAGGAGUUAUCCUCUUCCAUAUCAAGUGCAUAAAAAUCAGCAGGAAAAACCAACUCAUUAACUUGUACUAAGACAUCUUCUAAUACCCCAUCAGGAUAUGCAUUAGACCUAUCAACUAGUUGAAUUAUCACGCCAGUUUCUUUUAAUGGACCAACAUUCAAAGAUGAAUAAAUGGAACGAGGCAUGACAUUAAUAGAAGCUCCUAGAUCUAACAAAGCCUUUUCAAUUCUAACACUACCAAUUUUACAAGGGAUAGUAAACAUACCUGGAUCCUUGCACUUAGAGGUAGUUUCUUUUGGAGAACUGCUGAAACAUUCUCCCCCAUGUGAACUUUUUCAUCUCCUCUUAAUUUUCUCUUAGAGGUGCACAGUUCCUUAAGGACUUUAGCAUAUCGAGGUAUUUGUUUUAUAGCAUCUAAUAAAGGAAUAUUUACCUCAACCUUGCGAAAUGUCUCAAGGAUGUCUUUCUCUUGUUCCUCCUUCUUGGAUAUUGCAAACCGGCUUGGAAAAGGAGGAGGUAUCACAAUAGGUAGGGGUUUCGCUCUGGUGGGUUGCGCAUCUUGAGAUUUAGGCAUCAAUUCAUUCUUCUCAAGCUCAUCUUCUACAUGCUUUGUCACUUUCUUACUAGGCUCUUGCAACUCCUUCCCACUUCUAAGGAUGACAGCACUAACGUUUUUCUUUGGAUUCACCUCAGAUUGUGAAGGCAAUCUCCCUAAUACUUGAGACUCCAGAAGGCUCACUGUAGUCGCCAAUUGACUCAUUUGGUUCUCCAAAUUCUGAAUGCUUGUUGUAGUUGCCUGCUGAAAUUGUUGAGUGUUAGUCGCAAGUGAUUUAACAAUUUCUUCAAGAGAUAUACCUGACUUAGAGUUUGAUUGUGGAGGUGCUGGUUGUCUUGGUGGAUACUAUUGUGGGAAUCCUGACGGCCUAACUCCAUAGCUGAAGUUGGGGUGAUCCUUCCAUCCCGGAUUGUAUGUUUAUGCAUAAGGAUCAUACCUCCUCUGAGGCAUGCCUGGAAAUCCUCCAACUGCAUUGGUUUGUUCAACGGGUUCUUCUUGAAGUGUAGGACACAUAUCAGUUGAAUGACCCAUAUUGUAACAAAUGCCACAAGUCUUCACCUGUUGCACAUUACCUACAACAAACUUUUCCACAAGAGAAGUAAGUUUAUCUAAACUUUGUCCAAUAGAAGAAAUAUUUACCUCAUUUACCUUCCUUGAAGUGAGAUCUUGCCUGCUGCCAAAUUGUUGUGCGUUGGCAGCCAUAUUUGAUAUCAGCUCCUUUGCUUGAGUAGGGGUCUUGUUCACCAACACGCCUCCACUAGCAGCAUCUAUCAUACUCCUAUCCAUCAAUGACAGUCCUUCGUAAAAAUAUUGAAUAAGAUGUUGAUCAGAAAUCUGAUGCUGAGGACAGCUGGCACACAAUUGUUUGAAUCGCUCCCAAUACUCAUACAAAGUCUCCCCAGGAAGUUGUCUGAUCCCACAAAUGUCUUUUCUGAUGUUAGCAGCUCUUGAAGCAGGAAAGUAAUUCUCGAGGAAUUGCUUGUUCAAACCAUUCCACGUUGUAAUUGAUCCAGGAGGCAAGUAGUACAACCAGUCUUUAGCUAGUCCAUCUAAAGAGAAAGGAAAAACACGCAGCUUAAUCUGCUCUUCAGUCACGCCUUGUGGUCUCAUACUUGAACACACAACAUGAAACUCCUUAAGAUGUUUAUGAGGAUCUGCACCUGCAAAACCAUGAAACUUGGGUAAUAAAUGAAUAAGACCAGACUUUAAUUCAAAAUUUACCUCCAAGUCUACAUAUUGAAUGCAGAGUGGUUGUUGACUCAAGUCUGGUUCAGCUAACUCUCUAAGAGUUCUUUCUACAGGUGCAGGUCUAUCUAUCAUUUGUUCUUCUGAAUCGCUAGAUGAUUCAACUAAAUCAGGCACUGUAUCUAUUUCAGAAAGCAAAGGCGACGAGGAUCGUUACUUAGCUCGCUUCGUCUGCUGUCUCAGCUGGCGAGCUGUCUUCUCAAUUUCAGGAUCAAACGAAAGUGUACCUGUACGAGAAGAACGAACCAUACACCAAGUAAAACGUAAAAAGGAUUAAAUAAAUGACACCAAUCCCCGACAACGGCGCCAAAAUUUGAUGGUUGUCGAAGCCAACAAAAAUAAAUUCCUACUCUAAAUAAAUUGUGUAUAGUGAUUGAGCAGGGUCGUGUCCACAGAGAUCGGUAUUUAAAUCCUUUUGAAACGUAAAACGUAAAAUGGAAGAAUUGUUGAUAAUAAUAAAAAUCAAAUUAAAAUAACAAGAAUGAAAAUUAAAGUUGUAAUUCAAAUUAGAGAAAGCUCUGGUUGAAGGAAUUAAGUCAGCUUGAUUCGACUACUGAUCAUUGAUUCAAAUAUAGAUUAUUAUUACUUAUGAAUAGACCGGUUAUAGCUACUGAGACCCUCUAAUAGCCAAUCUCACCUUAACUAGUCGAUAACCAAGGUACGACCGUUGGUUAUUUCCCUAAUCAAUAGACAACCCUAGAUACGAUCAUAGGAUUUAAUCAAUUGACAGCCUGAAAAACCAGAGAGACCCAAAUUCUAAUCAACACAUACGAUGAUUAAUUUAAAUUAGAUUGUUUAUUAUCACAACACAACUCUCUGCUAUGUUAUUUGUCACAAACAUUAAAUUUUUCAUACGAUGAAUCCUUUAAUUGACAAUAGAUUAAGUUGAUAAUUAAAUAGUGGCCAAUUACCUAAUUAACAAACAUAAUCAUGAAAAUAAUUCAGAGAAUAAACAAAUACCCAAAAAGCAAUAAAACAAUUAAAGCAUAAAAUAGAUCUCACAGAAGUGAUGAAUCAAAGCUUCAUUAUCCUUCAACCAGAAAAAUAGGUUUAGUUCUUCAUAGAGAGAAGAGAAAAGUUUAGAUCUAGGGUUUCUUUCUCUUCUCUCCAAAAGUCCCCUUUUUCACAAUAGAUUCCUCUCUUAAAUACUCUCUCUCUCUUCUCCUCUAGAAUUCUAUUUAAAAUAAAAUACUAAUAUCUGAAAUAUUAAAUUCGUAAUUACAAAAAUAACCAAAAAUACAAAACACGUUAAACUAAAAACUGUAGGUCCGUAGUUGACAGCACGCGCCCACGCCUUAUCAACAAAGUUCUUCUGACGCUCAUAAUUUCUCCAAGAGAACAAUCAUCUUUAAACAUCAUCUUAUAGCUCAAUUUUAUCACAAAUCAAUAGAAUUGCAUCUACAAAAGUAAAACACAAGUAAAUCAUCAUUAUUAAGUGCAAAACAUCGAUAUUAAGGGAAGUAAACAAUGCAAAACUAGUGCAUAAAUUGCACUCUAACAAUGUCUAUGAUUGUCAAUCUUGCUUUAAGUGUUUCAGUUAAGUGGUUUACCUAACAGGGAAAAAAAUUUAAUGGAAAACUUUAGAGUUCUAACAGAAAUAUAGUUGACUGCAGAUAUAGCUAUUUUGCAGUACAUAAAUUAUGUUGUCCUAUUCUCAAUGUCCUACGACCUAUUUUAUUUUAUAUGGUCAUUCAUUUUUGCGAUGGUUUUUUGUGCUUAUGAGUAUGGAAAUAGUGGGAUUUGGUGUGGCAAACAAAAAUAUACAUAUAAUCAAGUUUCUUAAUCAUGUAUAUUGGUUUUGGGUAUGAAUGUUUUCCUAUUCUAGUUCUAGGCAAAGUUUCUUCAUUUUGGUCUUCAGAUUUCCAGUAGGUUAAGUUAAGCAACUAUCAUAACUAGCUAGCUAGUUAUUGCCUGCCUUGUCGCCAUUACAUUGCAUGGCAUAAGGAAUAGUAACUAGGUGAUUAUUGGUGAUUCGUUGAGUUUAUUAUUGGCCAAACUAACAUAUUCGCCUUUACCCACAACUUAGUUUGAUUAGAUAUUAGAUAAUAAAGAGCCUUAAUCUAUGCAUUGCUUUAUUAUUUUUAUUUGGUUUUUCUUUCAACAAUAUUGUUGAUUUCUUAUAAAAAAUAUUCAUUGGUUUUUAAACACCUAAUCAUUGGCUAUGAUGAAGCUAAUUAAAACGAAGGCUUUGGAUCAAUUUCUUCUAACAACAUACAAAUGAGCAUAACCACCCCCUCCCCCCGAACCCAAAAAAAAAAAAAAAAAAAGGAAGACUUUGCAAGAUUCACAACCAGGUUACAUUUAAUUUAUUAAUUGUGUGUACGUACUAGUUAUUUGUUGAUAGAAUAGGAAGAAGUAUUUUAAUAUGAAUGACUUAAAACUUGUUGCUCAGUAAACAUAAUGUGCAUCAGUGCUAGAAAAUGUAUUUAUUGUUUGUAAUUUUUUAUGGUUUUGCUUAAGAAAUGAAAUGUGAAAAAAUGCUACAUUGUAUUAGGAAUAAAUUGAAGAGAUUUAUGAUUUUUAUGUGUUAUUCAAGUUUCAGAUUCAAUUUUAAACUUUUGAUACAUGCAUUGAAAGCUUAAACUCCUUUAAGAAAUUAUUAAUAGACACAUGUUUUAUUAGUGUCAUCUUUUGGAUGAUAGUGAGGAUCUUAUGUCUAUUAAUAAUUCUUGAAUUAUCUAGGCUUGGACAGUUUGGUAAUGCAUAGUUUUCUAUGGUAGCUAGUGCCUGAAAUUUUUUUCCCACGUAAAAAUGGGUUUUUCAGCAGCUGCUCCUCAUGUUCUCUGGGUGCAUACUAGACAAAUGGGUGUCAUGUGUUGUUUUGGCAUAACACAUAAACACUCAUAUAUCUAUGUCGCGUACUUGAAGAACUAUAGGGAGAUGCUUCCGAAGUUUCUAUAAACGUAGAGGAAAACUUUAGAUACUUAAGAUUGAAGAAACUUAUGCAUUCUUGAGUGGGAUAUAUAGGACCACUUACCUUUUGUAAAUAUGAAGGGAAUGUUGGAUAUAUUGAUGGGAGUGGAGGAGCUGAGUGGGAUGAAUGUAAUCGGUUAUGAUUUUGCUGAGUCGACUUGGUUUUGAGUCUUGUAAUUUUGUUUAUAAAUGGAGUACUAUCUCCAAUGUUGGUUUAUAAAUAUGUUUCAGCUGGCUGACCUAAUUUUUUGUUUCUAGGUAACAGGCUUUAUAUAUCUGUAAUUGAUAGCCAAGUGAAGUUCUCAGCAGUGGGUAACAGGCUUUACAGAAGAAUACUAUAAAUAAUUCUUGAAUUAUCUAUGCUUAUUGACCAUAGAUCAAAACAAUCUCUUCCUUUUCAACCCCAUCUCUGUCAUUGCUCUGCAUCCGUAUACAUAAAGUGAUAUGAGUCGCACUAGAGUUUUUGCUGUGGAGGAUGUUACUAAGUGUAUCAAUUUCUUGCAACCGAAAGCUACAAGUUUUGUUAGGUUCCCAAAAGAUACCGAUGAUGAUGGCAAUAGAAUUAACAGACUUUGACAAUAAUAUACUCUUAGAAUUUCAAGAUACUGAAAAAUGGGGGCAAGUUUGGAGUCUUGUUUGCACAGCUGCCUCAGAUGAUAGUGCCGGUGCAGCUUUAAUUCUUUUAUCAUUGCCAACUUCCCCACAUGUUUCUCUCAGCAUCCUUCCUUCGAAAAUUCCUCUUCGUUGAAUGAAAAAUAAACCAGUGCGAGUAUUUCGAGAUUGUGAAAUCUCUCCAGUACGUUCCAGAUUGGAAAACAAGCUGAGUCAUCUCCGGCAAUCUCUAGUUGUUUAAGACUGCCAAAAAGGUGUUGUGGGAAAUCGGCCUGCAAAAUCAUCUUCACAUCUUUUCCACUUAGUGAUAGUUCCUUCAAGUUGGGUACGAUCUGAUCAUCAUCAAUCAUAAUAACUAAUGAGGUCAAUUGAUGUUCUUUCAAAUGAUUUUGAGUAAUCCAAUCACGCAGUGACUUUAUAGUAUUUAUUUUAUAUUAAUUUUACCCCUAAAAAAAUUGAAUUAGUGAUAAAAUUCAUUAUAUGAUUUUUUUAUAUGUUAGUUUUAGAGGUAAUAAAGAAAUUAGGGAAAAAAACGAAAUUAUUUUAUUGCACGAUAGUAGACUCUUGCUUCUCAGUGCCUUUGCCACUGUAGUCAAGGCAAUGGGCAAACCUCCACACAACCUGGCGACGUCUGUUGCUGUAGAUUCCAACUCACGAUUUUCAACAUCAUCACCGGCCAUCAUCUUAAACAAUCUCCAGGCUUCUUCUUCAUUUAAAUUGUUAAUCAAGAAGUUGUCUUUAGAUCCCAUUUUUAAGAGGACGCCACGAUCUCUUGCUGUCAGCAGUAGUUUGCAGCCUUUAUGAUCUUCUCCAAAAGGAAUUCCAACUGUCUCCAAGUCAAGGUGCUUCCAGAUGUUAUCUAAAACCACAAGGAUCUUCUUCUCAUUUCUCAAUCGCUCAAAUAGUUUACAUGCUCUUCUAGAUUCAACUUCCUCGUGCAACUCCAGGCCCAACUUCUCGGCAAUUUCCUGUUGAAUCCUUUUUAUGUCUGGAAUUUGGGAAACCUCUGAAAAGACCACCAUAUCAAAGAGCUCGUCUUCCAUAGCUUGCCUGGCGACCUUCUUCACCAGUGUCGUCUUUCCAAUGCCGCCCAUGCCGUACACCCCAAUGAUGCUGACACUAACAUCGAUCAAUGCGUUUUUUACAACUGACUUCAUCAACAAAGCUUUUGUGAAUAUGCGUUACAUUACAACUGCGAUAUCCUUUCACUGUAUAUUCAUACAGUGGCAGGCCAUGUGACGUUGUGACCCAUGUGCUAGCUUUCACUAUUCAUAUUAUUUUUUUACACGGUGUUUAACAAAAUCUUCACGUAAAGAUUUCAGACGCGUGAUCCUAAUUCAGUAUGCAUUAUUUAUUUAUAAAAUGAAAAUAAAAAGAUAAAAGGAUGUGACUUAACUUGCUAUCAGUGCGGAUCCAGGACUUAAUAUUAUUUCGGGUUAAAUUUUAUAUUUUAAAAUUUAUAUUUUGAAGUGAACAUAAAAAUUUAUAAGUAGAAAGAAGUAUAUUAAAUGAGGGGAGAUAUGGAGAGCUUUAUCCCUAUGAAUAUGUAUUAUAAACGAAAAUAAUUGUAAGAAAAGAGUAGAAACCAAAAGGCAAUUCAAAUAUCAAAACAUUAUUUUUCAAUUAUGGAAUCCGAUAUUGCAACCUAUAAUAACAUGUAAUUAUAUAAGGAUUAAUAAAUCAAUUAAGAAUUUCAAACUAAAUUAGAUCAGUACAUGUGAUUAAAAUUAAUUAAAGAUUACAAGUAAAACUUUUUUGUUUGAAGUCAAGUACUAAAUUACCAAGCUUAAAUAAAUUUAAAAAAUUAAAAUUCAUUCAUUCUUUCGAAUUAUAAAAGUAUUAUUAAUAAAAAAUUUAGUAAUAAACUAAAUUCAAUUCAACAAAAAGUUAUUUGGAUAUCGUUGUUUCAUUGCCAGUGCACUAACUUUCUUUAUAGAAGUAGAUGUUGAUGAUUCUUCUAUUAAAGUUCCUCAAAAUACCUAAAUUUUAUUUUCUAACUUCUUCUCGUAGUUAAUGUAACUAAUAAAUAGAAUCUAAAAAAUCACAUAAAAUGUUUAUGAAAAUGUUGAUAAUUGUUACUAUUUAUUGUUUUCGUAAGUACUUUUAAUGCUAGUGACGAUGUUAUAUUACAUUGAUUUAUAUUUUUUUUCAAUUAGAAGUUUUUUAAAAUAAAUUAAAGCGAUAAUAAUACUUUAGCUCCUAAUGUUUUCAAUCUAUCCACUAAGUAUAUAAUUUAAUCAUUUUAUAAAAUAAGUCACUAAUUUCAAUUGGAAAUAAUACAAUUUAAUUAGGGAUAUAUUUGAAUAUAAAAUAAUAGCCCAAUUGUUAUACUAAAUUGAUGAAAAUAUAAGGGUAAUUGAGUUAGGGAAAUAUUUGAAUAUAAAGUAAAAACUCUAUUGUUAAACUAAAUUGAUGAAAACAUAAGGAUACUUGAGUUAGGGACAUAUAUGAAAACAAAAUAAAAACUCUAUUUUUAUAAAAAAAUUAUAAGAAAACAAGGUGUAUAAAUGAUUUUUUCUGUGCUAGACCAAGCUACAACCCAGUCUAGCCCAACUGUAGGUCCGCCACUACUUGCUAUUUACAUACAGACAUGUAGCCCUUAUUCUAAUAUCUAUAGGAAAAGACACUUAUACUCCAAGAUUUGAAGAAAUGGUCACGUAGAUCUCUAAGUUUUCAGUAACCAAAAUUUCUUUUUGACUAUAAUACUUUUUGUACAUAGUAAAUAAAAAAUGACUUUAAGAUUUUUUUUAAUAAAUAUAAAUAUAACUUAAAUAGUUUAAUCUGUCUAAUAGACUAAUAAUAUUAGAAUAUUUUUAAUAUAUAAAAUAUUUUUUAAAUAAAAACAUUAUAUUUAUUUUAAUAAUAUAUUUUUAUUUAUCAUAAAAAUAUCAAAUAAAUCAUUGGGGUUAAAUAGAAUUUAAAAUUAAUAAAACACAUCUCAUUAAUAAAAUAUAUCUCAUGUAGUAAUAAUAUUGAAAUUAUUUUAUAUAAUAUUUAAAAAAUUUAUAAAAUUUAUAAAAUUUAUAAAAUUUAUUUUAAUAUUAUGUUCUUAUUUAUUAUAAAAUUUAGUCUAAUAUAAUAUAAGAUUGUUAAGUAUAUAAAUAUUUUCCUAAAUUGAAGUUGUUUUAAAAUGUUAAUAUUUUAUGUUUAUUUCAAUAUUAUAUUUCUAUUUAUUAUAAAACAUAGGAGUCAAUUUUUUUGAGUUAAUAGAGUCAAAUGUAUUAUAGUCGAAAGAGGUAUUGGUAUUCCUUAUUAAAAAUUUAGGGGUCUACAUGACUAUUUGCCAAACCUUAGGUGUAACGUCCUUUUCUCCAAAAUUGAUUCUCUAUAGGUAUUUCAUGAAGGAAAAUGAUAUUUACAAUGAAUCAAACCCCGGACUAGUUAAAAUGCAUUAUUUCAGCUUAAAUAAUGGUAAAUAUUUGUUCAGUCUCUAUAUUUUGAAUUAAGUACCGUUUAGUCCCUCAAGACACCUUUGUCAGUAAGCACAAUAUAAUCCUACCCUUACUUUUUCUUUGAUUUUAUAAUAACAUGCUUGCAACAAUAUUCUUAGAUAUGUUAAUGUAAAGAAAAAUUUAAAUUUAUCAAAUCAGCCUUAAAAGUAAAAUACAAAUUAGUUGUUAUUAUUAUUAAUAAAAUAAUAAAAUAAUAAAAUAAUAAAAUAAUAAUAACAAUAAUUAACAUUAAUUAAAAUAAUAAAGUUAAUAUAUUAUAUAACAAAAAAAACAAUAUUUACAUUUAUCAAAUUUUCAUGUGUUUAAAAAAAAUUAUGUGAUAUUACAUUAUUAUCUUUACACAAUCAAUCAUUUUUAUGAUCAAGUUAGGCUAAUGGAUCAAGCUUUAAAAAAUUUAAAACAAUAGGAGUUAUAUAAAUAAAUAUUUAAAAAAUUUUGUUUUAUGAUAUUAUAAUAAACAGUAAAGAUUUAAGUCUUAAUAACCAAUUGAACACAUCUCAACCGUUGACAGUAGCGGCUCGACCUCUAGGCAACUUAAGCGGUUGUCUAGAGCCCCGCUUUACAUUAAGGUCCUAUGAAAUGAUUAUUUUGUAUAUAAAAGGGAAAAGUGAAUUUAAAAGUCAUUACUAUGCAUUUAAUUUGUUAUUAUUUUGUAAUUAUCUUUUUCUAAAUAAACUAUCAAAUUCCUAUAAAGUUUAUUUAAUGUAGUACUUAGUAGUUUUAAUUCCUACAAAACCGAUAAAUUAAUAGUUUCAAUCCUACAAAUUCUCUAUUUAAUUGUUAGAAUUAAUAUGUUAUAAUUAAAAAGUUUUAUAUUCAUUUUAAACCUCUAUAAAAGCCCCACAUUUUAUUACUUAUCUAUUAAAUUUUUCCUCUAAUAAUCAAGACACGAUAUGUUGUUAGUGUUUGAGAGAAAGAAAGACAGAGAUGGAAAAAAUCAUGCUUCCUCUACUUUCCACUCAAGAAGAAAAAAAAAAAUCUAAUAAUUUUCUCUAUACUCUAUGGCUAUUGGUCAUUACUUAAAUCCUCAAAUAAUUAAUAUAAAUAUAAAGUUAAUUCAUGAUUUCAUCUCAAAUUCCAGAUUUUAUCUUUUUAUUAUUCUCUUAAUUAGUUGUGUUAUUUACUUGUUCUUAUUUUUUUUCAAUAUAUUCUUUUAUUCAUCUACUUUUUUUUGUAUGCUUGUUUUAUCUAUUUUGAAAUAAAAUUAUAUCGAAAAACUUUAGAAAAUAGAAAAAUUAGUUUAAUCUAGAAAAGGAGUAGUAAAAAAGAUGUAAUUUGAGUUGAAGAACAAUAAGUGAAAAUAUUAUAAUUGAAUUAAAAUUUAAUAGAUAACCCUAAUUUUUUUAUAAGAACUAAUUAAAAUCAUUUGCCUAGGGCCCCAAAUAUGGUUGAGUCGGCCCUGACCGUUGAACACUUUAGCUAUUAGAUUCAUCAGUUGAAUUAGAAAAAUAUAAAAUUUGGGGUACCGUGCAACUGUUGCAAGGUAGGCGGACACGUUAUAUUUAAUAUAGAAUAAAUAAACUAAAUAUGUGUAAAGAAUAUAGGUUAUUAACCUUGCAAUACUUCAAAAAAUUAUAAAAUAAAAAAGGUGAAAUUUCAAAAUAAGGAACUGUAAAAAGUAUUAGGUUCUAAAAUUUUAUUAUUUUAAUAUUACAAAACUUUACUUUUUUAUAACAUUUUUGUUUUUAAUAUUAGUUGACAUGUUAGUUUAUUUGUAUAUAAAAUAUGUUAAUUUACCUAUAAAAUACUAAUAUUACUCUUGAAAUUUAAGGAAGCCAUUUUAAUUUUUUAAAAUUUUAAAUGUAGCCCAACAAAGUCAUAGAAAUAUAAAUAAAGAAUAGCAUAAAAGGAAGUUAGUUUAAUUUUUUGAAGAAUACUUCAAAAGCAUUUGAGUUUUAUGUUUCUUGAGAAUUAUACCUUUUUGUUUUUUAGAUAUUUGAGCUUGUGAAUCUUGUUGUAAUGAUAAUUUAUUAUUUAUUCUUGAUUAAAAAUAAUUGAAUAGUAAAUUUAUUGGUUUCUAAUUACUCUUUUAAAUGUAGGGCGAUUGCUUAAUUUUUAUUAUGUUACCCUAAAUUUUUUGAUGAUGGCUAAUCAACCACUGCAAAAGACUCUACCAUGAUUAUUUUUACUUUCUCUACAUCCCUCUAGACCAUCAUCACUCAAAGAAUUAAGAGUCCAUUUGGCAUACUGUAUUAUAUUAUACUGUAUUGCAUUAUUUAAUAUAGGUAUAUUGUAUUAUGUUAUAUUACAUUAGUACUAAAUUAUAAUAAUAUUUGUACAACAUUUGGUAAUUGGUAUUACAUUGUACUGCAUUAAUUUUAUAUUAAUAUUAUACUAACAUUAUUUAAAUUUAUUAUUAAUUAUAUUAAAUUAUUAUUUUUAUAUAAAUAUAAUAUGAUAUAAUAAAAUAAUAUGAUAGUAUAAUUUAAUUUUAUAUUUUUAUUUAUUAUUAUAAUAAAUAAAAAUAUAAUAAAAAUAUAUUUAAUGCUUAAUUAAGGUAAAAUAAUAAUAAUAACAAUAGUAUUACUUUAAACAAAAAAAUCUAUAAAGUUUAAAGAUGAUGAUGAUGAUGUUGACGACAUUAAUAAUAACAUAACAAUUAAAAUAAUAAAACAAAUAAAUUUUAAUGAUAUUAAUAUUAAUAAAAUAAUAAUAACAAUAAUUAAAAUAAUAAAAUUAAUAUAUUUUAAUAAUAGUAAUAAAAAUAAUAUUAAUGACAGUAAUAAAAUUAAUAAAUAAUAAUAAUGACUUAAUUAAAAAUAAUCAUAAUAAUUAAAAUAAUAAAUUUUGAUGAUAAUAAUAAUAAUAUUAUUAUUAUUCUUAUUAAUAUAAUAAUAAUGACAUUAAUAAAUAAUACUAAUAAUAACAGUCAAAUGUUUUUGAAAAACCAUUUUAUCCCAAAAAAAGGGACUUAUAUAUAAAAUUUUGUAACUUCUAAUGUCUAUUCAAUUUUUUCAUAAAAUAUAAGGUAGUGCAGUGUAAUUAAUAAAAAAGACAAAAUUCGGUGGUAUGCUGCAAUUGUUGCAACAUAGUUUCAUCUUUAUUUGUGAUCCUAAAGUUUGAGAUAUGUGAUCCUUAUUCUAUUGUGUCAAUUAUAGUCCAGUCCAAUGCCGCCAUCAUUAUCGAACAGUCGAUAUCCAACACUUGCACGAAGAUUCCAAGAAGUUGUGUGGCUGCCGACUUUUAAAUGCUAAGCCUUAUUGUGUCGAAGAUACACAAAACAGAGCAGUCCAGGUAAUUGCCAAAACUUAGAACUAAACAGUAGCUUAGUCAGAAAAUCAAACAAGUACCAAUAAAAUGACUGAUAAAAAUAUAAAGAAAUCAGUCAAAUCACGAAGAUUGAAGAGUAAAUCAAUGGUUUUAGAUUUUUAUUUUUUUUUUUAGAUAAUAGAUAUUAUUUUGAUGAAUUUUUUAAUAUUAGAAUAAUGUUAGGAAUUCCAAUAGUAGAAUUCUAGCUUAAGACCCAAUUAUUAUGUGUCAUUUUUUUAUUGGAUAAUGAAUUUCAUAACUAAUAAAAUUAAUAUUUCGAUCAUUUAAUAAAUGACUACCAUAUUAGUUGAGACUCAAUUAUUAGGAUCAUUAACAUUGCUCUUAGUAUUAAAUUGGACAUCUUAUCCAAAUCAGAUUAAAAAUCAAAUUAGAUUUUAAGCUUUUAUUCAACAUCUCCUUUUUUUUUUUUUUUUUUGGUCUAUUUGAAGUGAACAAAAUAAAAAUACAUUAGGGUCAACGACUGGGCAAUUGAUAGUCAAGUAUUUUGUUGUUUUUGCUACCUUGAAUUAAAUUUUCUCAAUUAGAUCAACAAGCAUUAAGCUUGAAUUAAAUUAUGCAAGGUUCAUUUCUUUUGUUUGAUGCAAAAAAAGAAAAAAAAGAAAAAAAAAUGUUUACAUUCUUGGCGACUUGAGUAGAAAUAAGCGUUUUGAUAUCAUAAGGUUCAUUCAAUGAGUUCAUUCUUCCCAUUUUGAUCUCUUUUUCUUUCAUAGACAUUUCUUUUUCAUUUAACCCCAUUACAACAUUUCUAAGACCCUUAGAUUUUUGCAUUUAAUUCAUGUUUUAUGGAUUGAGAUGUGAUAUAUGAGCAAGCUCAUGAUAAUAGCAUUCUUUGAUUUGAUUUGAGUGCAUAAAUGAUACCUUAAACACUUUGAGUACAUGGAGUGAAGUUAAUGAGAGGGCUAUUAAAUCUUGUUGCACUUGAAUUUUGAAUGGAUAUUUGAUAACUCUAGGAAAUGAGAGUUAUUACAUCAAUUCUAGACUUGAAUCAAGGUCACUUAGAGAACAAAUAAAGUGUUUUUAUUACAUUUUGGGUACCUUUUUGCAUAAACAUUCAUUUUAGUUGAGUCUAAUAAAUUUUGCUUGAAUCAUAGUAAUUUGUGCUAAAAACAGGUUUUAAAUUGUAGGUUUUAAAUUCGUGAGAGGAUGUUGAGGCAUUAGAAGAGCAAGAGGAGGAAGGAAGUUGGCCACAAAAGAAGUAAAGCACAAUCGGGAAUAAAACAGUAUUGUAGCAGCUGUUAGAGCAACCAGUGCUAUAACAAUCUUGGAGCAAUGCGGGAGAAAACUUAGGCGCGAGUCAGCCACAAAAUCGUGAUCUGCAUGUUUCCUAAUUCAAGCAUAUGCACGCUCAUAGGCUUUGGUUUAACCUAAUUUGCAAUAUAAAAAAGAGGCGUGCAGCACAUAGAAAGGCGGCAAGGAAUUAUCAUAAAAAAUAAUUACAAAGGCAAGAAGAAGGAGAUCAAGAUUAAAGAGUGCUAUUCGGAAACAAAAGGAGAGAGCCGUGCAGAAUUAUUUGCCUUUCAUCGUGCUCAACUUAUAUUUUCUCUUUUUCCUUGAAUUGUUGGGAUGUAUUCCGAGUUCAACAUAUUUGUGUUUAUUUUUCUCAUCCAGAUUAUGAACUAAAUUUACUUGUGGUUGAGUGAAAAAUAAUCCAAUGGGUUCUUGACUAUUCUUUUAUGUUGUUAUGGUAAUGUUGUAGCAUUAUACUCUAGUAGUUUUUAUGAAUACAACUGUUGUUUCGGUUCACCACCCAUUUAAUAGUUUCAGUUAAGAUAGAGCAGCAAAAGGGCAUGUCUUAGCGGACAUUAUUAGAGUAUUACUUGUUCUUAAGUCGAGUUUCCUGGAAUAUGUUAUCUUGAAUCCCAUAAGGGCAAUACUUGAAGUUAAGAUUUGUGACACUCUAGACAUAGGUGUUCACCUUGUAGGGUAGAGAGAUUAAAGGUUAUAAUGCCAUACCAUAAAUAUAUGAGCAACUGGUCAUUGUUAGUAGAUUUAAAAGUAUGAAAUUUCCAACAUGCGAUAGCUGCGGAUGCAGAUUUAUUCUACCCAUUGCUGCAGCACUUAUUGAAACAAUUGGUGCUAAUUUGGUAAACAACAGUCACCCCAUUAGGAGAGUUUGAUCAUUCAACUACUAUAUUUUCAAUUGAAUCUUAGACACAUUUAACUUAGUUUACUUCAUUACAGUAUUGUUUUAUUUUCAUCUCUCAUAAUUAUUAGUUACAGCAGAAUUAUUUGACAAUUGUUUGUUUCGAUCUUUAAUUGAUUUGCACUAUUGUGAUUGUUUUAGCAUUUUGAGUAACAGCAAUCCCUGUGGAGACGAUCUUGAAUACUCAUCACUUUAUUACUUGUUGUGUAUACUUGCACAUUGGCAUUGAUAAUAAUUGCUUAUAGAAAUUAACCAACAAGUUUUUGGCGCCGUUGCUGGGGAUUGAUUGUUUAUUUUUGAAGUGUGAAGUAAAUCUUGAUAGCGCCAAAUCUGAUUUGAUUUAUUCUAUUUAUUGGCAGAUCGGUACAUGCAUGUGUAAAGACAAAUCUGUGGUAUUCUAAUUCGAUCCUGAGAUUGAAAGGACUGUCAGGAGAUUACGAAGAGAACAAAGGAAUUCAGAAAUUGCUUCAAGCAUGAAUAAUUUACAAGAUGCAGGAAAUUUGAAUCCUCACGGGCCCUUACAACCAGUGAACAUUCAAGAAGAGCAGAAUGACCAUGCUAACGGGAGACAGCCAGGCAAUAACAAUAUUAUUUACAUGGCUGAUGACAGAGACAGAGCUAUAAGAGACUAUGUUGUGCUAACUCCUCAAGUUAUAUAUCCUGGCAUCAUCAGACCUGAAGUAGACGCUGCCAAUUUUGAGUUGAAGCCAGUGAUGUUUCAAAUGUUGCAAACUGUUGGGCAUUUUAUUGGAUUACCAAAUGAAGAUCCUCAUCUCCAUCUUAAAUUGUUCUUGGAAGUAAGUGAUGCUUUCAAGAUUGCUGAAGCAACACAAGAUGCCUUAAGGCUGCGGCUUUUCCCUUAUUCCUUAAGAGAUCGAGCAAGAGUAUGGUUAAAUUCGUUACCAUCUGAUUCCAUCACUACAUGGAAUGAAUUGGCUGAUAAAUUCUUAAUGAAAUAUUUCCCACCGACAAAAAAAUGCGAAGUUGAGGAAUGAGAUUACUUCCUUCCAUCAACUUGAAGAUGAAAGUUUGUACGAGGCUUGGGAAAGAUUCAAGGAAUUGCUCAGAAGGUGUCCUCAUCAUGGUAUCCCUUGUUGCAUUCAAUUGGAAACUUUUUACAAUGGGUUGAAUCCAAGUACAAGGUUAAUGGUGGAUGCUUCAGCAAAUGGAGCUCUGUUAUCCAAAUCUUACACUGAAGCCUAUGAAAUUCUGGAAAGAAUUGCCAACAAUAAUUACCAGUGGCCUUCAGCCAGGCAACCAGCAGCAAGAGGAUCAGCAGGGGUACAUAACAUUGAAACAAUUACAGCUUUAUCAGCUCAAGUAACCUCAUUGACUAACAUGGUAAAAGCCAUGACAGCUGCUCCAGCAACAGUAAAGCAAGUUACUGAACUUUCUUGUGUCUACUGUGGUGAAGAACAUGAUUUUGAUAAUUGUCUUGGAAAUCCAGCCUCAGUAAACUAUGUGGGUAACUUCAAUCGACAACCUCAGAACAACCCAUAUUCAAAUACUUACAACCCAAGCUGGAAACAACACCCAAAUUUCUCAUGGAGCAGUCAAAAUCGAAAUGCUCCAGCAUUGAAUGGACUAAGUACAAACACACAACCACUUAGUUUUCAUUAGCAAAGUCAAGGGCAAAAGCAUAUUAGUCAGGAUCCAAUCACUUCACUAGAAACACUGAUUAAGGAGUAUAUUGCAAAGAAUGAAGCAAUUGUGCAAAGUCAAGCUGUAUCUUUAAGAAACCUUGAGAACCAAAUGGGACAACUAGCUACAGCAAUGAGCAGCAGAACUCAAGGAAGCCAACCUAGCAACACAGAAGACCCUAGGAGAGAGGGCAAAAAAGAAGUUACAACACCAGUAGUUACAACUUGCACAAAAUCAAACAAACAAAGUUUAAUAUCCCCUGAAGUUACCCAGCAGUUUAGACAUCCACCACCUUUCCUACAAAGGUUCCAGAAGCAAAAAUAAGACAAGCAGUUCAGCAAAUUCCUGGAAGUGCUGAAAUAAUUGCACAUAAACAUACAUUUUGUGGAAGAUUUGGAGCAAACGCCAAAUUAUGUUAAAUUUCUAAAAGAUAUCUUGGCACGAAAAAGAAGGCUGGGAGAGUUUGAAACUGUUGCUUUAACACAAGAAAGCAGUCAUAUGCUCCAGAGCAAAAUUCCCACAAAAUUGAAAGAUCCAGGGAGUUUUACAAUACCUUGUUCUAUAGGAACUAGAUAUGCUGGCAGAGCACUUUGUGACUUGGGAGCUAGUAUUAAUCUGAUGCCAUUAUCUGUAUUUAAGCAACUGGGAGUAAGGGAGUGCAGACCAACAACAGUCACUCUGCAAUUAGCUGACAGAUCUCAUGCAUACCCUGAAGGAAAGAUAGAGGAUGUAUUGGUGAAGGUUGACAAAUUCAUCUUUCCAGUGGAUUUCAUUGUGUUGGACUUUGAAGCCGACAAAGAGGUACCCAUUAUACUUGGAAGACCUUUUCUAGCAACUGGAAAAACUCUGAUAGAUGUGCAGAAAGGAGAGCUCACCAUGAGAGUGAAUGAUCAGCAAGUCACAUUUAAUGUGCUAGAGGCAAUGAGAAACCCUAGAAGAUUGUAAUUUCCUAAGUGUAGUGGAUCUUGUUGUAGCAGACAGAAUGGACAGAUGCUGCAGUAAUAUACUUGACAAAGUCACCACCUUUGAGGAUGUUGAAGAGGAAGAUGUUGCAGCAAUCCAAACAGAUUGGAUGGACAAACAACAAUCUGAUAGGUACAACAGGUUUAUUGAACACCUGAAUCUUUUAGACAUGGAAGUAAAAACAACUUUACCAUCUAUUGAAUCACCUCAUAAUUUUGAGUUAAAAUUGUUACCUUCACAUUUAAAGUAUGCUUAUCUUGGUCAAAACAACACACUCCCUGUAAUCAUUUCUUCUACUUUGGAUGCAGGUCAAGAACAUAGUUUAGUAGAUUUGCUGGGAAAAUACAGAAGAGCAAUUGGAUGGACCAUGGCAGAUAUAAGGGGGAUAAGCCCAUCCAUCUGUAUGCAUAAAAUCCUAUUAGAGGAUUGUUCCAGCAAUUCGGUGGAACACCAGAGAAGGCUGAAUCCUAUUAUGAAAGAAGUGGUGAAGAAGGAAAUCAUCAAAUGGCUAGAUGCUGGAAUCAUAUACCCAAUAUCAGACAGUUCAUGGGUAAGCCCAGUUCAGUGUGUUCCAAAGAAAAGAGGGAUAAUAGUAAUGGCUAAUGAGAAUAAUGAACUUAUUCCUACAAGGACAGUGACUGGAUGAAGAGUGUGUAUGGAUUACAAGAAGCUUAACAAAGCCACAAGGAAAGACCAUUUCCCACUUCCAUUCAUAGAUCAGAUGUUGGACAGACUUACUGGAAAACAGUACUACUGUUUCUUAGAUGGGUAUUCAGGCUACAACCAGAUUGCUAUAGUUCCAGAGGAUCAAGAGAAGACUACAUUUACUUGUCCUUAUGGAACAUUUGCCUUCAGAAGAAUGCCAUUUGGGCUAUGCAAUGCUCCAGCAACUUUUCAGAUAUGCAUGAUGUCUAUAUUUUCUAAUAUGGUAGAGCAAACUUUGGAAGUUUUCAUGGAUGACUUCUCAGUUUUUGGAGAAACAUACAAUGAUUGUUUACACAACUUGGAAGAAGUUCUUAAAAGAUGUGAGAUGACCAACUUAGUACUCAAUUGGGAAAAGUGCCAUUUCAUGGUGCAAGAAGGAAUAGUGCUGGGUCACAAGAUAUCCAAGGAUGGUAUUGAGGUAAACAAAGCCAAGUUAGAGGUAAUAGAUAAACUGCCACCUCCAACUUCAGCAAAGGGUGUUAGGAGUUUUUUGGGUCAUGCUGGAUUCUACAGAAGAUUCAUUAAGAAUUUCUCCAAUGUAGCUAAACCUCUGUGUUCAUUGCUGGAGCAUAACAAACCAUUUCACUUUGAUACAGAGUGCCUUAAGGCAUUUGGAGAAUUAAAGAAAGCUCUUAUCAUUGCUCCAGUAGUUAUAUCUCCAUAGUGGACUUUACCAUUUGAAUUGAUGUGUGAUGCUAGUGAUCAUUCUGUGGGGGCAGUAUUAGGGCAAAGAAAGGAUAAGGUUUUUCAUUCCAUAUACUAUGCAAGCAAAACGUUCACUCCAACUCAGAUCAAUUACACAACUACAGAGAAAGAGUUGCUAGUAGUAGUUUUACUUUUGACAAAUUCAGAGCUUACCUGGUGGGUACCAAAGUAACUGUUUACACAAACCAUGCAGCCAUCAAAUAUUUAAUUUCAAAGAAGGAUGCCAAACCAAGAUUAAUCAGAUGGAUCUUAUUGCUUCAAGAAUUUGAUCUGGAAAUUAAAGAUAGAAAGGGGACUAAGAAUCAAGUGGCAGACCACUUGUCACGGUUGGAAUCAGACACUAGUACAUUGACAAGGAAGGACAUCACCGAAACUUUUUCUGAUGAACAGUUGUUGGUAAUACAGCAAGCACAGAUGCUGCAGCAGUCAGAAUCUCCAUGGUAUGCAGACUUUGCUAACUACUUAGUAAGUGGGUUGCUACCACCUGAGCUGAAGUUUUAAGAGAAAAAUAAAUUUCUUCAUGAUGUUAGAAGUUAUCAGUGGGAUGACUCACAUUUAUAUAAGCUAUGCUCAGAUCAAGUAAUAAGAAGAUGUGUUGCAGCAGAAGAAAUACCUCAUAUACUGGAGUCAUGUCAUGCUGCAGCAUAUGGAGGAUAUUUUGGUGGUCACAGAGCAACUGCCAAAGUUAUGCAAUCAGGUUAUUAUUGGCCCACUAUCUUUAAAGAUGCUUAUGAAUUUGUUAAAUGUUGUGAUAUGUGUCAAAGGACAGGGAACAUAACUAGCAGACAUGAGAUGCCUUUGACUAACAUAUUGGAAGUGGAAGUUUUUUAUGUUUGGGAAAUAGAUUUCAUGGGACCUUUUCCCCCAUCCUUUGGGAACUUAUAUAUCAUUGUUGCUGUAGAUUAUGUCUCCAAGUGGGUAGAAGCUGCAGCAUUACCUACCAAUGAUGCUAAAACAGUGGUGACUUUUCUUCAAAAAAAUGUUUUCUCUAGGUUUGGCACUCCUAGAGCAAUUAUUAGUGAUGAAGGCACACAUUUUUGCAACAAAAUCUUUGCUGCAGCAAUGAUGAAAUAUGGAGUCAGACACAAGAUAGCAACAGCAUAUCACCCACAAUCCAAUGGUCAGGCUGAAGUGUCCAACAGAGAAAUUAAAAAGAUCUUAGAAAAAGUGGUGAACCCAAAAAGGAAGGAUUGGUCUUUACAUUUGCAUGACUCUCUAUGGGCCUACAGAACAACAUACAAAACUCCACUCGACAUGUCUCCUUACCGAAUUGUUUAUGGCAAAGCAUGUCAUUUGCCACUAGAGCUAGAGUACAAAGCCCAUUGGGCAUUAAAGAAAUUAAAUUAGGAUAUGCAUGCUGCAGCAGGGCAAAGGAAACUUCAACUUUGUGAGCUUGAUGAAUUACGGCUGUUUUCAUAUGACAAUGCAAGAAUCUAUAAAGAGAGAACAAAACACUGGCACGACAAGCAUAUUCAACACAGGAAAUUCACCCCUGGUCAAUUAGUGUUACUCCACAAUACAAGACUAAGAUUAUUUCCAGGAAAGCUCAAGUCAAGAUGGUCUGGCCCGUUUAAGUUGUUAAAAUCUUACCUUCAUGGAGCUGUUGAUCUUCUAGAUGAACAAACAGGCCACGAGUUCAAGGUUAAUGGACACAGGGUUAAGCAUUACAUACAUCCAGCAGCAGAAUGUUCAAAGGAGGUGUUACUCCUUAAAGAACCUAGCUAUUGAACAAAGAAGGAAGGUCAUGCUGAAGGACCUUAAAUCAAGCGCUUCAUGGGAGGCAGCCCAUUGAGGAGAUAGCCACUUCAAACCAAGUUUGAUAGCCUUUGGUUUUGUAGACAGCUUUCUCUCUUUGCCAUCUUAUUUAAUUUCUGUUUUUCUAUGAUUAGCCCUUAUUUUCAUCCAUUUACAUUAUUGCAUUCUUUACUUUCACUUUAAUUUGCUAUAUCUAUUUCUUUUAAUAAAUUUUAGACUUAAUGUUAGUAAGUGUGAUAAUUGAAUUUCAUAUUGACAAGUGAGAGUGAAUGGUGGCAGAAUUCAGAGGUGAAUCACGUGUUAGAAGCUUUUAGUGGGGAGUCUGUAUCCGUUGUUAGAAUAAGCGAAUGGGUGCUGCAGCAGCUAAUUUUACCGUUACAGUAAAUUAAAAGCUGGAGCCUUUCACUUACCGUUGGAGAUAAAAUCGUGACAGAUGGAUGCAUGGACAUGGAUAGAAAAUUGAGGAAACCAAUCUAUGAAAUUAAAGCUUUAAUUUCAUUGGCCGAUAAUUUUGGGGAUAUGGACAUUUAAUUCAAAUAUUUUAUUCCCUCAAUUAUCUCUCGUUACCGUAUUUAUCUUCAAAUUAAAGUCCAUUAUAAAAAAGAAUCACUGUGCUUAGUGCUCUACGCCACUAUUCCCCAUCUCCUUCGCAAAGACAACUCUAAAAACUCUUAAACUCUUUUUCUCUUUUUAUUCUCAGGAACAGUAGCUUCAAUUUGUUAUUGCUACAGCAAUGCCGAGAUACAAGAAAAUAGUCAGUCGCCUCAAAGAUCUAUCACGAUUCCAGAGUUACCACGCUGAAGAAAAAUAUGAAGAAUUCAUAGAGCCACGUCGGAUUCUGGAAGAAAAAAGGGUUUCAAUUCCCAGACCAACUCACGGGAAUUGUGCAAACCAUUCAUAAUGCUAUAGCAAAGCGAGGAUGGUUAGAGUUUUGCAACCACCCUCGCGAUCCUGUGUUGCCUGUAGUCAAAGAAUUUUACGCCAAUUUGGUGUUCGUCUUGACGCUAGAGAUGAACAUGUAAAAAAUGAUGGUGCCUGUACGGCACGUACCAUUGAGAGAGUUGCUGGUGAGAGUGCUGGAACAACCACUGAACCAGCUGCUAUCACUGGAGCAAGACGAGCCAUUGGUUUAGAACAGACUAUCCAGGUACUCAGCAAUAGUAUAACUCAAUGUGUGGAAGCUCAACAGAGGGAAAAUGGUCGAUUUUGGAGCUAUCUACAGCACUUGGAUAACCAACUACACCAAUUUGAUCUGUACAUGAAACGCACUCACUGGAACUUCCCUGAUGCACUGCUCCAGCAGUUCCAUUUUGCCAUAAACACCACAGGUGCUCCAGCAGCAGCCAGUGAAGAAGCCACUCCUUCAGAUGAACCAGCAGAGGACGCUGCCACUGAGCUACAAGCAGCAGUCGACUCAGAAGAGGCUGAACCGUCUGAUCCACCUGAGGACGAAGGUGACAAGUCUGAGACUGAUAGCUCACCCUCAGAGGCAGAGGAUAACUCAGAGAAAGAAAGUGAGGAACCAACCAUCCCAAGCUAGCCCAAAACUAGAAAAAAGCAUAUUAUUCAAGAAGAAGAAGAGGAAGACCUUGAAGAGGAGCUGCCUAUUCCAGUCUUUAAGGGUAAGAGGAAGGAUAAGGGUAAAGCAAAAUUGGCAACCCCUCCAGCCUCUGAAGAUGAAAUGGAGCAAGUCGAUGCUGAGUUGGCUGCUGCAGCAGCCAGAGCUAUGCCUACACCUGAGCAAGCCUAGCAACUACUUGCGGUUAUUGCUGCCAUCACCGCUGAGGGCCAGGCAGCUGAUGCAUUGACUCAAAAGCCUCCACAGCAAACUCCUGACCAGCCUAUCCGCACCAGUCCAAGACAAUCCAGCAAAUGAAAAGGCAGUACGUCUACAGGUACUGCUACAACAACCCCAGCCACCACUCCUCUCACCAGCCCCGCAGCGAAAAAGACAAAGACAUUGCCAGCCACUUCCCCAAAAGCUUCACCAAAGGAUAAGCUGCGCAGUGCGUCCAAGAAGCGCUGAUAGCAUCCUGUCAUGUGCUGCAGUCCCCACCACAGGGGAGUACUCUUUCCUUACUAGUGCAUUAAAAAAAAAAAAUUCAAUUUGUGUGUCAUUGUUAUGUUUGCUUGUGAGGACACAGCAACUCUCAAGUUUGGGGCGGGUUGUGUUCCCAAAUGCAUAUGUUUAUGUUUGUAUGCAUGUGUUUAUGUUUGUGUGGUGUGGAGCUCUAUUAUCUAAUAUUUGUGUAUGGAUUUGAAAGCCUAAUGAAGAUAAAUUGAGUGCUAUUCAAUAUAUAUAUGCCAAGUAGAGAUAGUUAUAGAUGAAAGUGAAAUUCUGUCCCGACACUUAGACUUUGGUUGAAUUGUACGAGACUGUUAGAGCAAAGCCAAAAGAAGAGAAAAGAUCUCAAGUUUGGGGGGGGGGGGUAGAAGCAAGUUUGAAUAACUGUGAUAUCUAUGGAAUACAAUUUGUUCCAAUGACUCAAGUUGCUGAGUAACCAUAUCUGAGUAUGUACCCCAUAUGCAGACUUGUGUUCAAAGGUAGCGAGAGUUAUGAGCAAUGCUGCACCAUAUAUAUAUAUAUAUAUAUAUAAAGAAAUCAUCUGUCUAAGGCAUUGAGUAGUUAGGUCUGUUCAUGAGCCCCAUGUUCAGCCUUGAGUAAAAGAUACUUCUAGAUAAGAUUACCUUACAAUUACUGGUGCAGCAACUCUAAUCUGGGCAUGGUUUGAUUAAUUGGGUGUCAUCAUUACAAUUGAUUGACAUUCACAUGAAAGAUAAAUGUUACAGUGAGGAGGUUAAAUAUUUCCUAGUUUGUCAAUCCUAAAAUAAUCACAGUUGAGUAUGUGAAAGUUAUGAUUACCCCAUUUAUGAAUGAAGUGUUCUCACUGUUGAAAUUCAUGCAAUCCCUUGGUGAUGCUAUAGCAUAUCUAGAAUUCAACCGAAAGAGCACACACACACACUAUGGACAGAAAGAAGCUUAAGUCUAGGACUAAUUUACUAUGGUCAUCUUGCUUGAUUGAGAAUAUGAUCUAAAGGUGGAAGAAUCCUUGCAAAGUUGAUAAAAGAGUUAAAUUUGUGUAAAGUGUUAGUAUGUGUCAUUACUUGAGGACAAGUAAUAGUUUAAGUUUGGGGGUGUGAUAACUCUAGGAAAUGAGAGUUAUUACAUCAAUUCUAGACUUGAAUCAAGGUCACUUAGAGAACAAAUAAGGUGUUUUUAUUACAUUUUGGGUACCUUUUGCAUAAACAUUCAUUUUAGUUGAGUUUAAUAAGUUUUGCUUGAAUCAUAGUAAUUUGUGCUAAAAACAGGUUUUAAAUUGUAGGUUUUAAAUUCGUGAGAGGAUGUUGAGGCAUUAGAAGAGCAAGAGGAGGAAGGAAGUUGGCCACAAAAGAAGUAAAGCACAAUCAGGAAUAAAACAGUGUUGUAGCAGCUGUUAGAGCAACCAGUGCUGUAGCAAUCUGGGAGCAAUGCGGGAGAAAACUUAGGCGCGAGUCAGCCACAAAAUCGUGAUCUGCAUGUUUCCUAAUUCAAGCAUAUGCACGCUCAUGGGCUUUGGUUUAACCUAAUUUACAAUAUAAAAAGGAGGCGUGCACCACAUAGAAAGGCGGCAAGGAAUUAUCAUAAAAAAUAAUUACGAAGGCAAGAAGAAGAAGAUCAAGAUUAAAGAGUGUUAUUCGGAAACAAAAGGAGAGAGUCGUGCAGAAUUAAUAGUUUCAGUUAAGAUAGAGCAGCAAAAGGGCAUGUCUUAGCGGACAUUAUUAGAGUAUUACUUGUUCUUAAGUCGAGUUUCCUGGAUUAGGUUAUCUUGAAUCCCAUAAGGGCAAUACUUGAAGUUAAGAUUUGUGACACUUUAGACAUAGGUGUUCACCUUGUAGGGUAGAGAGAUUAAAGGUUAUAAUGCCAUACCAUAAAUAUAUGAGCAACUGGUCAUUGUUAGUAGAUUUAAAGGUAUGAGAUUUCCAACAUGCGAUAGCUGCGGAUGCAGAUUUAUUCUACCCAUUGCUGCAGCACUUAUUGAAACAACUGGUGCUAAUUUGGUAAACAACAGUCACCCCAUUAGGAGAGUUUGAUCAUUCAACUACUAUAUUCUCAAUUGAAUCUUAGACACAUUUAACUUAGUUUACUUCAUUACAGUAUUGUUUUAUUUUCAUCUCUCAUAAUUAUUAGUUACAGUAGAAUUAUUCGAUAAUUGUUUAUUUCGGUCUUUAAUUGAUUUGCACUAUUGUGAUUGCUUUAGCAUUUUGAGUAACAUCAAUCCCCGUGGAGACGAUCUUGAAUAGUCAUCACUUUAUUACUUGUUGUGUAUACUUGCACAUUGGCAUUGAUAAUAAUUGCUUACAGAAAUUAACCAACAAUAUUCUUGGUGGUUGAUUUUGUUUUUUUAUACUAGCUUAUGAGAUCCUAUGCUUUAAAAUUCUUGUCUCUCGAAUGUUGAUUGAUUUAAAUUCUUGAGGUAUGCUUGCUUAAGAUUAUUUUUGGAUGAGUUGAGAUGAGAAUUGAGUGGAGAUUUGGGAUUAGUCUUGAGUUAUAUGCUUGAGGACAAGCAUUAUCUUGGUGUGGGGGAAUUUGUUAGAGUACAAUUUAUGCACUAGUUUUGCAUUGUUUACCUCCUUUAAUAUCGAUGUUUUGCACUUAAUAAUAGUGAUUUACUUGUGUUUUAUUUUUGUAGGUGCAAUUCGAUUGAUUGGUGCUAAAAUUGAGCUACAAGAUGAUGUUAGAGGAUGAUUGUUUUCCUGGAGAAAUUAUGAGCUUCAGAAGAACUUUGUUGAUAAGGCGUGGGCGCGUGCUGUCAACUAAGGACCUGCAGUUUUUAUUUUAACGUGUUUUGUCUCUUUGUUUAUUUUUGUAAUUUUGAAUUUAAUAUUUAGAUAAUAUUUUAGAUAUUAGUAUUUUAUUUUUGGAAAAACUCUAUAAGAGAAAGGAGACGUGAAAAACAAAGGAGGAUGAGAUUUUUAAAAAAAGAAAAAGAAACCCUAGAUCUAAAUUUUUCUCUUCUCUCUAUGAAGAACUAACCUAUUAUUCUGGUUGAAGGUUAAUAAAGCUUUGAUUCGUCAUUACUGGGAGAUCUUUCUUAUGCUUUAAUUGUUUUAUUACUUUUUGGGUAUUUGUUUAUUCUCUAAAUUAUGGUUAUGAUUAUGUUUGUUAAUUAGAUAAUUGGCCACUAUUUAAUUAUCAACUUAAUCUAUUGUCAAUUAAAAGAUUCAUCGUAUGAAGAUUUUAAUGUUUGUGACAAAUAGCAUAGCAAUGCGUUGUGUUAUGAGAAUAAACAAUCUAAUUUAAAUGAACCAUCGUAUGCGUUUGUUGAUUAGGAUUUGGGUCUCUUUGGUUUUUCAGGUUGUCAAUUGAUUAAACCCUAUGAUCGUAUCUAGGGUUGUCUAUUGAUUAGGGAAAUAACCAAUGGUCGUACCUUGGUUAUCGACUAGUUAAUGAGAGAUUAACUAUUAGAGGGUCUCAGUAGCUAUAAUCGGUCUAUUCAUAAGUAGUAAUGAUUUAUAUUUGAAUCAAUGAUCAGUAGUCGAAUCAAGCUGAGUUAAUUCCUUCAACUAGAGCUUUUCUCAAUUUGAAUUACACAUUUAAUUUGCAUUCUUGUUAUUUUAAUUUGAUUUUUAUUAUUGUCAAAAAUCCCCCCAUUUUGUAUUUUACAUUUUAAAAGGAUUCAAAUAAUUACCGAUCUCUGUGGACACGACCCUGCUCAAUCACUAUACACAAUUUAUUUAGAGUAGGUAUUUAGUUUUGCUGGCUUCGACAACCAUUAAUAUUAAAAAAUAAAUUUAUAUUUAUCAAGUAUAAAAAAUAAAUAGACAAACAAAAAUAAUAUGUUACCUAAAAUAAUGACAAUAUCAAUAUUUAACACUCUAUAAUUUAGUGAUGUGUUGUCCAACUGCCAUACAUUGGUCCCAAACAGAGCCUUAAAUAUCAAAGUCCAAAGUUAUUGUGAUGAUGACUUAUAAUCGCCAAACUUGACAUACGGGUAAUCAUGCAUUAUAAGGUGCUGAUUUCUUACUAUCAGAACCUUAUUUGUCAUCUAUAAAUAAAUAAAUGAUGUGACUUCACGGUUGGCGGGGUCCUUUGUAUCUCCUUUUGCAUCUACUUUUGUUGUUAACAUUACUUUCAAAAGCAGCUCGUUAUGUAUGCAACAUUUCAAAAUUAAUCUAAAAAAAACAAAAAUUAGUUCAGCUGACUAAAUUUGAAAGCAUGGAUUUGCUGUCGAUUAAAAACCGUUUUGUAGGGAAAAUUUUUGGAUUGCAAUUCUCAUAUAAUACAUAGAAUUAUCAUAAUUUAUAAAUUUUAUUUUCGCUUUUCUGUGGUAGUAAGUCAGACUCCUUAGUGACAAUUUAAUUUGAAAAAAUAAAAUCAUAAAUAAGAAUUAUUCGAUAAGAAUUAAAAUAAUUGAUAAAUAUUUGAGACGUGCAAUUUUGGAAGAUUCGAUUUCUAAUAGGAGGGGAAUUUAAAUUUUACAGCCUUUGGUGAGGAAUCCAAAAUGCACAAUUUGAUGAAAAUUAAAUUUCAAUAGAAAUUGAAUUCCCAUAUAUUAGUGAAAACCAAACAACAGAAAAGUGAAAUGAAUUUGAAUUUAUUUCCUUCCUCUCUUCUCCCUCCAACUAAAUACCAUUGAAAUCCAAAGGUAUGGGAUUUGUUUCGGAGUUUAAGAUUGAAAUUAAUCCCAAUUGUUGAUUUGGGACUAGAUAAGAAUUUAUCUUGGAACUCCAAUUCUCCCAAUUAUUUUAGUUGACAAUAUGUUUAACAUUAUUUUUUUAACAUUAUUAAUUGCAUAUUAUUUAAUUGUCAGUAUAUAAUAUUCUUUAAUUUUCUAAUUUAUAGGAUUAGACGCAAAAUUGAUUAUGGCUUUUGAAAUUUAAGUGUUAUGUCAAUUGAAUAGAAAACAUGGAGUAAAAAUUUUGGAUGCUUUUGUUGAUUAUCAAUUUAUGCAUGAAUUUUUGUACAUUUACUUUGGUUUAUUAUUAUUACUUUUAAACAUUUUUAUUAGUUUGGUUUAGGGUCAGUUUGGUAAUCCUGUAGCUUUUACAAUAAUUACAAUUAGCUAUGCUGUAGAAAUUGAUCAAUCGUGAGGAGAAUCAGCUGAACAUUUAGUAAAAUUUAUUUUUAAAAGUACUUUUAGUUUUAAAAACAGUCGUAUGUAUUUCUUAAAUCUUAUUGUUAAACUGGUGCAAGAAUAUAAAUGAUGAAUUGGACAUAAUGCGAAAUAAAAUUUAUUUACAAACAUGUAUAUAAAAUAUUUUUAUUAUGUACAUAUAAUUAUUGAUAACUAAAAUAAAUAUUUUAUAUUAUUAAAUUUUAUUCUCUAUUUUGUUAUCUCAAUAUAAUUGGUAAUAAUAAUAAUCUUUUUAAAGUUAAUGAUUUUAUUUCUUAAUUAAUAAAGAUAAUUUUGGAUUUUUAUUAUAUAAUGAGAAUAUAUAUAUAGAAUUGGAUUAAGUAUAGAAGUGAUUCUCAAAACCAGAUUUUGAAAAACUAUUCAUUCCCUACUUUUCAAAAUCUAAUGUAUGAUGAAAUGAUUUUGCCAAAACUAAUUACUAAAAAAAUUUAUAAAACACUAAGAAUUAACUUUUACUUUUUAAAAUCACUUUUAAGCUUCCCAAAAACAAUCCUAAGGGCCUUUAUUUGGGUGGUGUUGGAACUUGUAACUUUUGGAUCUUUUAGCUUUUAUUGGUUUGACACAACUGUUACACUAAAAAUUAAAUGCAUCUUAAACCCCAAACUUCUUCUUCUUCUUUUUUGAUUGCACAAAAUUAAAAACAAUAGUGAACACAUUCUUUAAUAAACAAUAAGUAAUAACUAAAAUUGCGUUAAAGAAUUUAGUUGAUAUAUAAAUUGAUUUCAAUGUUGUAUAUGCUAAAUUUCUUAAAAGUUUUCUUUCACAAUCUGCUGCAUAGUUUUAUUAGUAUUUUGAAUAAAUAAAAAUAAUUGAUUUAUAUUUUUUUAAAGAAACUUAUUAGGUUCAUGUAAAGAUGUUUUUUUUUUUAUUUUAAAAAAGUGUACAAAGUAAAACUUAAUUUUUUAAAUUUAUUAGAUGAGUGCAUAUAAUAUUUGAGUGUUCAUAGUAAUUUUUAAAGCAUAGAUAGUCGGGCCCUAAUAUUUUUAAUAUACGGAAAUUUUGCUAAUAUGUUAAUGAGAAUUAAAAUGAUAAUUAAGGGAGGCAUUCGAGACAGUCAGGAUAGUUAGGAUGGGACAUCAUUGUGAGCGGUUUGAGAUUGGUCCUAAUUUUGAUCACAAAUAUAUAAACUGGAUGAGUGUAUCCAUACUUACAUUCCAUUUGAUAAUUAAGAUAAAUGUGGAAUUGUCAAAUCCCAAAUCAUCCCAGACCAUUGCCACCAAAGGUACUCUCACUAAUAAUAUCUAAAGAAUAAUCUACAUCUAUUUCAUACUUUUUUUUUAACGGAAAGAGCCCUCAUGUGGCUUGAAAUGUUAUCCUAAAUAAUAUUCAGAAUAUCAUACCAUGAUUGGGUUUGUGACAAACAAAUAUUACAUAGUUGGAAUACGUAGUUACUAGUGUCCCAAUUUAUGCAGUAUCUAUCAUUUAGUGCACAUAUAAAGUAUUAAUCAGCUUAAUUAAUUUAUAAAAUUUAAAUCUAAUUAAUAAGUGACACAUAAAUGCCAAGUGCAAUAUAUGCAAAUCAUGUUUGUCGAUCAUUACAAAACUGGCUCUUGAAAACAAGCAAGAAAGCUUAAUUAAGAACUUAAAACAAAAAGAAUUAGAUCGAGAACAGUCAAGCCUUAUUUUUUCAAGGAUGGAGCUUAUAAAUCUUCAAGUACCAACAUAUGCUUGCCCCAGUUGUUGUUAUUAAAAUUUUAAUAUAUAUAUACACACACACACACACACACACACACAUAAAAAAGUAUGACAUAGCAAAAAUUUGAUGGUACAUAUGUCGGAAUAUACUAGUUCAUGGAUGCAUUUGAUUAUUGUUUCCAUAAAUUUGAACCAAGAAGGAUGACUCGAUAAAAAUUGAUUUUACGGUAUGGUUGAUUUCAAUCUCAUGCACUCAUUUCUUAAGAUAAUCAAAUUUUCUCUGGCAUCUUUUGCAACUGUGGAAAUAUCAAUUAUGAUCAAUCAAAAGGAUUUCAAAAACUUUCAACGAGACAUAUUUAUAAUACAAUAUUGUGAAAAUUACACCAAAAAUUUUAUUUAUUAUAUAUUAUUAUCCAACCAGCACACAAAAAUGAAUUCGUACAAAUCUAAAAUACUUAGCAAUUUUCAAAUAGAAUUUACCAUGUACUACAAGAAAAUAGGGUAUAUGUGACCCCUAAUGUGAAAAUAGGGUAUAUGUGACCCCUAAUAGAAUUUGUUGAACCUAGACCAGACUUAAUAUCCAAUCAAGAAUCUCCAGGAUCUAGCUGAACUCUCUAAUCAAGAUCUAAAGAAUGGUUAAUCAAUUCACAGAAAAGAAUCACCCAGAAACAGUAUGCAAAGAACAACAAAUAUAAGUGGUUCGGCUGAAAGAGCCUACAUCCACUGAAGAACAGACCAACAGCUUUUCACCAUUAACAAAGAACAAGUUACAAGUUUAGAGAUGAAGUUACAAGCAAUACAUUCCCUGAUUUUCCAGUCCUUAAGACUACUUAUACUAGCUUAAAGGCCCUCACAAAGACCCCCUGUCAACCAGCUGUAAUCUAGGUUUGUUAGCUAACAAACCCAGAAUUCUCCCGCCUAUUGUAACUGACUUUAACAGCUUCCAGGACACGUGUUGAAUUCUUACAAACAGCAAGCCCCAAAACGACAUUCUUUCAUGCCGUUCAGAGUAAGUGGAAGCACGUGACAUUUACGUGCUUCACUUAAAGCUUUGGGUGACGACCAAAGUUUGUCAUACAGGCUUGUAUCCUUUACAGCUGACAUGUCGUAUACCAACAUGACCACAAACUGACAUGACGGUUGAUCUUCUGGAAAUCAGUUUAAAGCUCAUACUUUAACAUUCUCCACCUUGAGCUUGAAACUCUCAUGACCUGCUCAUCUUCUCUCCCACCAUCUGUAUUUUAAUUAUCACAGAUGCCAGCCAAAUCCAAACAGAAUUUGAAUUUAGCCCCUGAAAUAGCUUUAGUUAACAUAUCUGCAACAUUGUCAUCUGUAUGGAUUUUCUGAAGCAUCACAGUUGCUUUUGAGACUUCCAGCCUGAUGAAGUGCACCUUAAUGUCAAUGUGUUUGGUUCUUUUAUGGUGAGUUUGAUUCUUACUUAGACAUAUAGCACUUUGGCUAUCACAAUGUAUCACCACAGACCUCUGAUUGACUCCAAGCUCCUUCAACAUACCCUUCAGCCAUAUUGCCUCUUUUAUGGCUUCAGCAUCUUUUAUGGCUUCAGCAGCAGCUGUGUACUUUGCUUCAGUUGUGGACAAAGCCACAACACUUUGUAGUUGUGAUUUCCAGUUUAUUGUGCAGUUGUUGAAUGUGAACAGAUACCCAGUUAGAGACCUUCUUCUAUCCAAGUCUCCUGCAUAAUCAGCAUCCACAUAUCCUACAAUUAAACUGUCAUCUCUUCUCUGUCCCCCAUAUAUCAGACCAUGCCCAGAAGUUCCCCUUAGAUACCUGAGUAUCCACUUUACAGCCUUCCAAUGUUCUUUUUCAGGAUUGGACAUAUACCUACUAACCACACUGACUGCAUGUGCUAUGUCAGGUCUGGUGAGUACCAUAGCAUACAUUAAGCAGCCUACAGAACUUGCAUAAGGAAUUUUCAUCAUUUUAGACUUGUCAGCAUUAGCUUUUGGGCACUGCUGCUCUGAUAAUCUGAAGUGGGCUGGUAAUGGUGUUUGCACUGGUUUGGCAGUAGCCAUGUCAAACUUAUCAAGUACUCUCCUGAUGUAUUCCUCAUGUGUAAGAAACAAGGUGCCAGAUUUCCAAUCUCUGAUUAGUUGCAUUCCAAGUAUUUUCUUAGUUGGUCCCAGAUCCUUCAUCUCAAAUUCACCUUUGAGUUGUUGUUUCAGAACUUUAUUUGUUCCAUGCUCUUACUAGCAAUAAGCAUGUCAUCCACAUAUAGAAUCAGAUAAACCAUUUCCCCUGAUAUCUCUUUGUAAUAAACACAGCAAUCUAGAUUACAUAUUUGAAAACAAAUUUUCAUCAUAAAGCUGUCAAACCUGAGAUACCAUUGUCUUGGAGACUGCUUGAGGCCAUAAAGUGAUUUCUUCAGAAGGCAUACCCAAUCACCAUUUGACUAGUCUUCAAAGCCUUCAGGUUGAGACAUUAUUAUUUGUUCUUCAAGCUCACCAUGUAAAAAUGCAGUCUUAACAUCCAUCUGUUCAAGAUGCAUGCUAUGAACUGCAACCAGUGCUAGGAUCAUUCUUAUUGAGGUAUGCCUAACUACAGGUGAGUAGACUUCUGUAAAAUCUAUCCCUUCCUUCUGUGUGUAGCCUUUGGCAACCAGCCUAGCCUUAUAUCUCAUGGAUUCAAUCCCUGGUAUACCCUGCUCGACCUUGUAAACCCAUUUGCAGCCUACUACCCUUUUGUUUUCUGGUCUUUUUACAAGCUCCCAAGAGUUAUUCUUGUGUAAUGACUCCAUUUCAUCCUUCAUAGCUUUUAUCCACUUGUCUGCAUCUUUUCCUGAAACAGCUUCUCUGAAGGUUUUAGGUUCAUCAUUGUCUAGUUCAUGGGCUGCUGUUAGAGCAUAUGCUAUCAAAUCUGGAUAUGCAAACCUCUUAGGUGUUUUGAUAAUUCUCCUUUGUCUGUCUCUUGCCAGCUGAUAGUCUUGAAUAUCUGUAUAAGUUCCAGAAGUUUCACUAAUAUCUUUAGUUUCUUCUCUCUCCAUGUCUUCAGCUUCAUCAUGGUAGUUCAGAGUUGAUUUACCUUUCAACUCCAUCUUCAAAUGUUGUCCCUGUGAGUCCACUCCUCCUUCUGGUUUAGCAGGAUCUUUUUUAUGUCUUUUCAUCAGCAUCUCUGACUCAUUGAAGACUACAUCUCGGCUAACUAUACACUUUGGUGGCCUCAUUUCAGUGCACCAGAGCUUAUAACCUUUGACACCUUCAGGAUACCCUAGGAAUACACAUUUCAGUGCUCUUGGCUCCAGCUUCCCUUGCUUGACAUGUGCAUAAUCUGGACAACUAAAAAUCUUUAGAUUUGUAUAAUUUGUUGUUCUUCCUGACCACAUCUCUACUGGUGUCUUGAAGUUUAAGGCACUGGAUGGGCUUCUAUUCACUAGAUAAUAUGUUGUCAUCAAAGUUUCAGCCCACAAUGUUUGAGGAAGCUUUGAAUGAAUCAGUAAACAUAUGACCUUAUCCAUCAAAGUCUUGUUCAUUCUUUCUGCUAACCCAUUUUGCUGUGGGGUGUAAUUCACUGUUUUGUGUCUUGCUAUGCCAUUGAGUUUAUAGAAAUCAUCAAACUGUUGAUUGCAGAAUUCAAGCCCAUUAUCAGUCCUCAGUCUCUUAAUCUUCCUACUACUCUGAGUUUCUACCAAUGCUUUCCAUUGUUUAAACCUCUCAAAGACUUCAUCCUUGCCUUUCAAGACAUAAACCCAUACCAUUCUCGAGUAAUCAUCUAUAAAGAAGAGAAAGUAUUUUGCUCCACCUAGAGAGACAGUAUGUGAUGGCCCCUACAGAUCUGAAUGGAUGUAAUCUAGGGUCCCUUUUGUGUUAUGCACUGCAGUUUUGAAACUAGUUCUUGAGGAUUUGCCUAGGACACAUACCUCACAGAACUCCAGAGACCCCAACUUAUCAUCCCCUAAGACUCCCUGUUUUUCUAAAAUUUUUAGCCCCUUCUCACUCAUAUGUCAUAACCUUAGAUGCCAUAUGAGAGUUUUAUCCAAACCCAGACUUGCUGAAAUACUGACAUCUCCAGUUACAGUAGUGCCUUGAAGCACAUAUAAGCCAUUUUGCUUAUUCCCUUUCAUUAUCACUAUAGACCCUCUAACAACCUUCAUUACUCCAGAUUCAACUUUAAUGGAGCAUCCAACCUGAUCUAGAGUGCCUAGAGAUAUUAAAUUCCUCUUUAAAUCAGGAAUAUGCCUUACCUCUCUUAGCUCCCUAAUCAUCCCAUCAAACAUCUUAAAUCUAAUGGUUCCUAACCCAACAACCUUACACAUUGUGUUAUUCCCCAUUAGAACCUCACCUCCAUUAAAAGAAUUAUAAGUAGUAAAAAGAUUUUGAUCAGGGCACAUGUGAUAUGAACAUCCAGAAUCAUGAAUCCACUUACUGUUUGUCUGAGUUUCAGAAGCCAAAAGUACACCAGCUGAGUCAUAGCCCUCAUCCUCGGAUGCAACAGCAGCAUCACCAUUAUUUCCAUGCCCUUCCUUACCCUUGUUCUUUCUGUCUGGACAGUCCCUCUUGAAAUUCCCUUCUUUAUGGUAGUGAAAGCAUUUCAUAUUUUUAUUCUUGGACUUUGACUUGUCUCUUUUCUUCCCUUUGUUGUAUUCUCUCUUUUCAGGUCUUCAUCUUGCCAUCAGACCUUCCCCAGCUUUUGUUUCUGACCUCUUUGUGACUUCUUUAUAACUGAGAGAAUCCUUUACAUCAGCCAUCGAUAUUGACUGCCUUCCAUAGAGCAGUGUAUCUACAAAGUGUUCAUAGGAUGGUGGGAGAGAUGAUAAUAAGAUUAUUGCCUUGUCUUCAUCCUCUAGACUCACAUUUAUAUCUUCAAGAUCCAGGAUGAUCCUGUUAAAGCUAUCAAUGUGAGUUGCCAAAGAACUUCCUUCCUCCAUUUGCAAAGUAUAUGGCCUCUUUUUGGUACAAAGUCUUUUGGUUAGAGACUUCUUGGUAUAUAGGUCUUCAAGCUUUUUCCAGAGGCCUGCAGCAGUAGUUUGAUCUCCCACUUCCCUAAGAACUCCAUCUCCCAGACUCAAGAUUAGAGUGUUAUGAUCUUUAUCCAAAGCAUCUAGCAUUUCUUCAUCAAAAAGCUUGCUGGGUUUCUUUUCAGAUCUUGGAUCACCCAAAGUAUCCUCCAGCCCCUGAUGAACCAACAGAGCUCUCAUCUUGAGCCGCCAUAGAUGGAAGUCAUUUUCUCCAGUGAAUUUUUCUACCUCAAACUUAGAGGUUCUCAUUUCUUGGAUCAAAGAUCAGAGAUAAGGCUCUGAUACCAAUUUGUUGAACCUAGACCAGACUUAAUAUCCAAUCAAGAAUCUCCAGGAUCUAGUUGAACUCUCUAAUCAAGAUCUAAAGAAUGGUUAAUCAAUUCACAGAAAAAAAUCACCCAGAAAUAGUAUGCAAAGAACAACAAAUAUAAGUGGUUCGGCUGAAAGAGCCUACAUCCACUGAAGAACAGAGCAACAGCUUUUCACCAUUAACAAAGAACAAGUUACAAGUUUAGAGACGAAGUUACAAGCAAUACAUUCCCUGAUUUUCCAGUCCUUAAGACUACUUAUACUAGCUUAAAGGCCCUCACAAAGACCCCCUGUCAACCAGCUGUAAUCUAGGUUUGUUAGCUAACAAACCCAGAAUUCUCCUGCCUAUUGUAACUGACUUUAACAGCUUCCAGGACACGUGUUGAAUUCUUACAAACAGCAAGCCCCAAAACGACAUUCUUUCAUGCCGUUCAGAGUAAGUGGAAGCACGUGACAUUUACGUGCUUCACUUAAAGCUUUGGCUGACGACCAAAGUUUAUCAUACAGGCUUGUAUCCUUUACAGCUGACAUGUCGUAUACCAACAUGACCACAAACUAACAUGACGGUUGAUCUUCUGGAAAUCAGUUGAAAGCUCAUACUUUAACAUAUAUCACUAACUUCUAACUUUGUAACCCCGAGUUGCUUUUGUUACCCUUUAUGUGACUGCCACACUGCUGUCACAUAUGUUAUUAACCACGUGACGGUAAAGAGCCGUUCGGUAUACUACUAUUUUACAAUUUUAAAUUUAUUUCCAGUUAGAAAACUAUUCGCUGGACUCCGUGUUACAUAUGCCACCAUCGUAAACCUAACUGGUUGCCGGCGAACGGCGUAAAACACCGGCCAUCUUCUUCUUCAUCGUAUUCUCCCUUCAUCUUUUGUUCGUAUUAUAGCCGUUAUUGUCAAUUUUUGUCCCGCCAGCAAUAUUUUUUUAUUCCUACAAGUUGAAGCACCCGUGCUCUUGUUCCAUUGAUGAGUUUGCUCACUCAAAUUAAUUUUGUUCUGUAGAAUUUACAAAGUUCAAAUGGAUUCAUUUGAAUUUAGCUUUAAUUAUGUAUGUCAAUUAUGUAUUUAGAUUAUGAAUUUAGCCGUUAUUGUCAAUUAUGUAUUUAGAUUUACUUUAAUUUUAUGCUUAAAGCUUCUACAUUGCUGAUUCUAUAUUAAUAAUGUUAUGUUCUAUUUUCAGAAAUUAUAAUACAAAAGUUUUUACAAUGUUGUGCAUCUACAAACUGAAUUGACUUGUAGAAUAAGAGCUUGGAGUAGUGUUAUGUUCUUGAAUAAAUGAAUGUUCAUAUUGUGUAAGAGCAUGUAGAUGUAAAGCAUCAUUACCAUAUCUACAAAGUGCUUUCAUUCUGUUCAGAUGCUCUUCUUGAACUUUGAAAGGUGCCUCGUUCAAGUCCUAGCUAUAACUACUAGUUUUGAUUAAUUAAGUUCCUGUACUAGCUGAAACAGAUUUAUUUAAUUAAUUAAUUGUGUAUGUACUAAUUAUAUUGAAAGUAUAUGAAUUUUUUUUUUAAAACAUGAAUGACUUCUAAAUGACUUAAAAACCUAAAGGAUGUGUGAAAUAAUGCUCAUUUCACUUGAAUGAACCCAUUAAUACUUUUAUGUCUAUGAUUGUCAAUAUUGGCUUAAGCAUUUCAGCUAAGUGGUUUACCUAACAGAGAAAAAAAUUUAAUAGAAAACUUCAGAGUUCUAACAGAAAUAUAGUUCACUAUGCAGAUAUAGUUAUUUUACGGUAUACAAAUCAAGUUGUCCUAAUCUCAAUGUCCUAUGACCGAUUUUAUUUUAUAUAGUCAUUAAUUUUUGCCAUGGUUUUUUGUGUUUAUGAGUAUGAAAUAGUGGGAUUUGGUGUACCUUAGCAUCUUUUGAAAAUUCUCUUUAUGUGUGGCCAACAGAAUAUAAUCAAGUUUCUUAAUCGUGUAUAUUAGUUUUGGGUAUGAAUGUUCCUAUUCUAGUUCUAGGCAAAGCUUCUUCAUUUUGGUCUUCAGAUUUCCAGUAGGUUAAGUUAAUCAACUAUCACAACUGACUAGCUAGUUAUUGUCUGCCUUGGCGCCAUUACCCAGGCCAUUAUAUUGCAUAGCAUAAGGAAUAGUGAUUAGGUGAUUAUUAGUGAUUUGUUGAGCUUAUUAUUGACCAAACAAACAUAUUCGCCUUUGCCCACAACUUAGUUUGAUUAGUUAUUAGACCUUAAAGAGCCUUGAUCUAUUCAUUGGCUUUAUUAUUUUUAUUUGGUUUUUCUUUCAACAAUAUUGUUGAUUUCUUAUAAAAAUAUUCAUUGGUUUUUAAACACCUAAUCAUUGGCUAUAUGAAGCUAAUUAAAACUGAGGCUUUGGAUCAAUUUCUUCUAACAGGAUACAAAUGAGCAUAACCUAUCUCCUCUAAGUAAAUUUUUUUAAUAUCCUUGAUUUGUAAGGAUCUGGAGGCCUGAAAUCCUCUAGAUUUUUUUUAACACUGUCAAUGUUCUUUUUAUUCUGAAAAGGAAAUAAAAGGUUUUAUCUUUCAUACCCUAAUAGUAAGCUGACCUUGUCUUACCCGAGGAUUUGCAAGAUUCAUAGUGCCCCCCCCCCCCCCCCCCCAAAAAAAAAAAAAACACAAAUAGGAAGAUUUUGCAAGAUUCACCACCAGGUUUUUUUUCAUUUAUUAAUUGUGUGUACGUACUAGUUAUAUGUUGAAAGAAUAGGAAGAAGUAUUUCAACAUGAAUGAAUGACUUAAAACUUAUUGCUCAGUAAACAUAAUCUGCAUCAGUGCGAAAAUGUAUUUAUCGGUUGUAUUUUUUAUGGUUUUGCUUAAGAAAUGAUAUGUGAAAUAAUGCUACAUUGUAUCAGGAAUAAAUUGAAGAGAUUUAUGAUAUUUAUGUGUUAUUCAAAUUUCAGAUUCAAUUUUAAAUACGUGCAUUGAAAGCUUAGACUUGUUUAAGAAAUUAUUAAUAGACACAUGUUUUAUUAGUGUCAUCUUUGGAUGAUAGUGAGGUUCAUAUGUCUAUUAAUAAUUCUUGAAUUGUCCAGGCUUGGGCAGUUUGGGAAUGCAUAGUUCUCUCUGGUAGCUAGUAGCUGAAGUUUUUUUCGCAAGUAAAAAUGGGUUUUUCGGUAGCUGCUCCUCGUGUUCUCUGGGUACGUACUAGGUGAAUGGGUGUCAUGUGUUGUUUUGGCAUAACGCAUAAACACUUAUAUAGCUAUGUUGUGUGCUUCGAGAAUUAUAGGGAGAUGGUGCCGAAAUUUUUAUAAACGUAGAAGAAAACUUUAGGUACUUGAGAUUGAAGAAACUUAUGCAUUCUUGAGUGGGAUAUGUAGGAUUACUUACCUUUUGUAAAUAUGAAGGGAAUGUUGGAUAUAUUGAGGAUAGUGUAGGAGCUGAGUUGGAUGAAUGUAAUUGGUCAUGAUUUUGCUGAGCUGACCUUGGUUUUGAGCUUGUAAUUUUGUUUGUAAAUGGAGUGCUAUCUCCAAUGUUGGUUUAUAAAAAUGUUUCAGGACUUGCUGACCUAAUUUUUUUUUUCCUAGGUUACAGGCUUUAUAUAUCUGUAAUUGAUAGCCAAGUGAAGUUCUCAGCACUUGGCGAGGAUAUUUCUUUACAGAAGGUAUUGGAAACUGUUUUUUACAUUAAUUAUUGUUGUAUAUAUACUUUGAUUUUCACAUCUUUUUCUCUGAUUCUUGUGGCUUUGCUUGCUUUCAUAUAUGUAAAUUCUAAUGAAAUUAACCAUAAAAUUGUAAAAUGAUCUUUUUAUUAUAUUGCAAAACCGUGCACACACGAAAAUAUCUUGUUUAGUAGUAGAAAUGAAGAACUAAAAUGAUUUACUUAACUAAUUUUUGUAGCGCAUUAAAAGGAGAUAGUCAUGGACAAGUGUUGGGCUGGUUUGCCAAAUAGAUAUCCAAGUCAUAUACUGAUGGGGUUGAAAAUUUUAUAGAUUUUGCAUUUGAGAAUGUUGUUGAUGAUGAUAUGAUUGGAAUGAUACACUGCAUCACGUAAUCAAAUGUUCAAGUUACACGCAGCAUUGUUAUGGAUUAUCAGUCACUUUCUAGUAUUGCCAACUUGUCUGGGUGGAGUAUUAAAGGUAAAUAAGCAUGUCUUGUUUGCCAACAAAACACUAGAUCUAAUUGGUUGAUACAUAGUAGAAAAUUUUGUCACGUGGGUCACCGUCGAUUUUUACCAACAAAUCAUAGGUUUCGAAAAUAUAGUUUCUUUUGAUAAAACUAGAGAGUAGGGACAAGCACCUUCUUGGUUGUCUGGAACUGAAGUGAAAAAGCAGUUUAAUAUACUUACUGAGUAUAAGAUUGAAGACUUGAAAAGAGAAAUGAUAAGAUUACUUGGAAGAAGAACAGCAUUUUUUUAUGAACUACCGUAUUCAUCAUGAUCUUGUUGUCAUGCACUGCUUUGAUUUUUGUUAUGAACUCAGAUCAAAAGUUUAAUGUGAUCAAAAUUUCUUAAAAAUAGUGAAAACGACUCCUCCUAAUAAUAUGGAAGAUGGCUAUAAAAGAUAAAAGGAAAGGCUUAAAAAGAAAAGCCAUGCCUGUCAAAAAAAAAUAAAAAAAUUGGCAGCGUCAAAUUUAUAACAAAAAUCAAAACGGUUUUGAGAGUGUAUUAAAAUACAUUUAGAGUGGGAGCUGUGUUGUUUUUUGAAGGUAGAAUGAUUGUGAGAUAUUUGUCGACGAAGCCAAAACCAAAGAUGAAGCCCAUAGAGCUCAAAACUCCACCGGAGCAAAUUCAGACAAUUACGAGGGUUAUGUUUGACAUAGUCAAGGAACACAGUCCUCUCACCGUUGCCGAAACUUGGGAAUGCGUCAAGGUGUGUGUAUCUGUUAAAUUGAAUUUCAACCCGUUUGAUCUGUAAUUAUAAUUAAUCCAAUCGAUCUGACAGUGAUCACUAGUAGUUGUUUUACAUUUUCAGCAAGCUGGAGCGAGUGGAUUGACGGCCAAAAGCCACAUGAAGAUUGUGUUGAGAUGGAUGAGGGACAGACAAAAGCUCAGGUUCGUCUGCAAUCACGUGGGCCCUCAUAAGCAAAUCCUGUACACAACUUGGUUCACCAAACCCGACAACUUGAAGCAGCCAAAAUCAGGGAAUGAUGCUUCUAUGUCACAACCCUAGAAAUUUCAAACACGGUGAAGAUGAAGUAAAGCAUAAGUAGAACAAUGAAGAUGGUAGCCCCUCAGCAUGUAAACUUUUCAACAGUAACACAGCUCUUAUUCCAGAGGCUGCACAGAAGAGCGACCUGAGUCCCCUUCAAAACUUUCAAAUUUUUAUCAAGUAAAGCUUUCAAAUUUCUCAACAAAUUGAUUAUUUGUGUGGUUGCCACAUUUUGUGCAACUGCCAUUCGUGUUCAAGUUCAAAUUCCUUGCCUAGUAAGUUAGGGAAGAGAGAUGUGAAGCAAACAGGGAAACAGAACAAACCGGCCAAAUUUAAAAUGACAGAACAGUAAUGAUGGCAAUUAACAAACUAAUAGCAAUAUUACAUUUGAUUCUUUAGCCCAAUUGUUCCUUCUGUCAGCAUUCUUCAAAAGUUUUUGAAAAUUAGAUGUGAAGCAAACAAAAUAAAACAAAUUUAGACAACAGAAGCCCUGUAUUCAGCAUCAUAUAUAUACCUUGAAUACCUAAUAUAAUAAAUUUCACAUCUAAAAUACUAGAAAUUUCAAACAGUACCAGCAAUAGAAUAAUGACAACGACAACAAUAACAGAAAAUUACAAGAUUGCUGAUAAAAUUUCAUUUGCAUGGAUGUAUAACAAAAAUUCUGUGAUUUAAUGUGCGUUCAUGCAUGCAAGUCCUAACGUUCCUGUGAUCACAAAAUGAAACUGAAGAUAAAUCAGAACAACUACCAAACCUCUGACUGAAAGUUCAAAAGAAUUUAUAUUCAAAAUGUCAAAAUAUACUGGAAAUUUAUUGCACAUAUUACAAGAAGCAGUACACACCAAUGGUAAAUUGAUACAUCGUUUUUGAACUUAACAAAGUCAAAUGAAAGAAACACGACGGAGGGUUAAUGUAAAAGUGAAUACCCUCAGCAUGUAAACUUAACUUCAAAGGACGGAGCACAAGUUUCACAGAAAAGUAGCUCUUAUUCCUGAUGCUGCAAACACACAGGAGUGACCUCAAUCUUCUUCAUAACUUGGGAAUUCUGCAAUUAUAGAGCACGACAUUGAGCAUGAACUAGAAAAAAUAUUUAUUUUGUACAAUUUUCAUAUAACUUGACUAACCAAGAUUAAUUUCGUGGUAAUGUAUUGAGUCAUUAAUUCAUAUGUUUUUAAAUAUUUUUAAAAAACUAAUUUCUCAAUUUGAAAUGGCCCAUAAAAAUUAUUCUCAUAUAAAAACUAAAUUUGACAGACCCCUCGAUUAAAGCAGGGGAAAAGGCUUUCCACAUGAAAAUGUUGUUUGUCACUUUGAAUGAUAUUUUGAAGGGAUUUCAUUCUAAAAAUAAAAUACCUGGGACCUCAUUCUUCAAAAUUGACAACUCGCCAGGUAUUAAAAGCGUAUGAGAUCAGUACUGCGACGAGUAAGAAGACGACCCCUCCAACAGCUGAAAACAAAAUUCGCAUUCAUCAAUUUAAAUUAAAAUUCAUAUUAUGAAACUAAAACUAAUGAUUAGUGAAUUUUCGAGGAAUUUAAUAAGAUUCUCAGAUAUAAACGUGAUAACAAAUUCACUCAUCAAUAACAAAUAAUCUAACAGUUAUCCGUACCUUUUCUUGAUGUAAUUGUUGUAUGGUUGUGUUAAGGUCAUUAUUAGACCAACGCAGGUUGUCCUCUCUCUGCCCGUACCGGACGUUUACUCUGACAUGGGUACUUAAUUCUCCUGAAGUGAAAAUCUUCAUCUUGGGACAACCAAUCACAGCAAGAUAUUCCAAAGAUGGGAAUUUGAAGGCGUAAUUGCCAGAGGAGAAGCUUGUGAGACUAUCUAAAUCAAACAGGGACAACGUAGUCAGUUUGCUGAAAACAAUCUCUUCUUUUAAAUUUGCUGUUUCAUCUUCGUCACUUAUUACGACUUCUGUGAUUGCUCUGCAUCCAAAUACACCCAAUGAUACGAGUCGCUCUAGACUUUUUGCUGUGGAGGAUGUUAGUAAGUUCAUCAAUUUCUUGCAAGCACAAGCUUGCAGGCGUGUGAGAUUCUGAAAAGAUACCGAUGAUGAUGGCAAUAGACUUAACAGAUUUUGACAGUAAUAUGCUCUUAGAAUUUCAAGAUGUUGAAAAAUCAAGUCCGGCUGUUUGGAAUCGUGUUUCCACAGUUGCUGCAGAUGAUUAAGUCUGGUCAGGUGUAACAUUUUUAUCAGUGCCAGCUUCCUCGCAUGUGUCUCCAAAUAUCCUUCAUUUGAAAAUACCACUUCGUACGAACAAUCCGACAGGUGGAGAAAUUCCAGAUUGUGAAACCUCUCAAGUAAACCAAGUGGAAAGCAAGCUAAGUCAUCAUCCCCAACCUGUAGUCGUUUGAGACUGCCAAAGAGGUGUUGUGGGAAAUCGCCUUGCAAAAUCAUCGUGAUGUCUUUUCCACUUAAUGCCAGUUCCUCCAAGUUGGGUAAGAUCUGAUCAUCAUCAAGCACAAAUUAUUAACUUAGCACAUUGAUCCCUAAUUCGAGACUGGCAAAAUUCAUUGUUAUAUACACACACAUAUAUAUAUAGUAUUUAUUAAAAUUUCUGGUCUGUGAGUAAGAAACAACAAAGACAACUGACAAAAAAUCUAAAAGUUGGUUUCAUACCUUCUUGAACGAGAAUAGGGGCUGUUGUGCCGGAACACCAAAUUGAUCAUUCUCGUUAUUCUGGGAUAACGUCAUUUUAUCACAAUUACACGCCUCCAAUAUUUUUAGUGCUGGCCAUUCCGAUGUAUGCAUUCCAGGGUAUAAACAUCUAAGUUCUGGUAGACCUUCGAGUUUCAGAGUGGUCACCCGUGGAAAGACAAAAUAAGCGGUCACUUGAUCUGUUCUGUUUUCAGAAAUGAUUUCUUGUAAACUCUUACAUAACCGUAUCUCCAGGUGUUGGAGUUGCUCAAGGCUUUGGAUCGUAGAAGCUGAAAAUAUGUAUUUUAAUUUGUCACAGCCCCACACUAUCAAUCGUGUCAAACUUCGAAGGCAAGGAACCAUGGCCGGAAGUUGAUUGUAAUGCCAAAUCUCGUCGACAUUAAUAGCAUUCAGCUCCAAAGCCUCCAAAUUUGGCAACACUACCUAAAGAUAAUUUUGUCGUUAGAUCCAAUAUCCAUAUAAGAAGUGCUUAUUGAGAGCUUAAUUAGUGAGUGUAUGAGAUUUUUUUUUUUUGCAUUUUCUUUUUCUAAAUGAUUUAAUUUUUUUUCACUUAUGGCAUCAAAUGCAAGUUCAUGAUAGAAUAAAAAAAAAAAUGCAAUAUCCAUAUGAAAAGGACUUGUGUGGUCCAGUUUGGGAUUAUGGAUGCUGAUUAAAUAAGUUGCUCCUGCUGUACGGAUGCAAUAAGUAGUUGAUUAAAAAAGCAGUUAGCUGUUUGGUAAACUGUGUUGUUGCAGUUGCUGUGAGUUUGAAAAGCAAUGUACAUGCGUUUGGUAAAUUUUAUUACAAACGUGUUAUUUUAUCAUAUAAUGACCAAAAUAUAUAUAAGUUUAAAUUUCCGUUUAUUUUUUUUAAGCAUGUUUAAUAAUCUUUAGAUAUGUCAUUUUCUUUUUAAAAUACGUAAAAUUAUAUUAAGUGAAAAAACUUAAUAAUUUGUUACAUAAAAUAUGAUAAAAAUUUAUACUAGUAUAUGAUCCAAAUAAAAUAAAAAAAGUAAUAUGCAUUACUUUCACAUUAAACUUGUUGCAAUAAACACCAUGACUAUAGAAAAUAUAAAUAGAUUGAAUGUUAAAAGCUAUGGUUAUAAAAUUGAUUUUAAAAGUUAUGAUUAAUUUUCAUGUGAAAUUGUUUAUAGUUCAAAAAAAAUUUACAUAAUUACAUGCAAGUCUUUUUUAAUCUUAUUAUAGAAAAUACAAGUAUAAUAUAAAAAAUAUGAACUUACUAAAUCAAAACUUUGAUAUUAGAGAGAAUAUAUAGUAGUUGUGGUGGUAAUAUGAUAUCUAAUAACUUAUAUAUUAGAGUGUAUGGAAAUAUAUGACAUAAUUAUUUUUGUUAAAAUAUUAAUUAAGGUUAUAAUAGAAACUUUAAAAAGAUGUGAUAGCUUAUUUAAUAAGCUGCUUAUGAAAAGUAACUCCCUAUCUGCUUUUAAAAGUUAAUGUCAAAAUAGAGAAAAUUAUAAAAUAAACAGUUUUUACAAAAUUUAACAAAUACUAUUUUUGUCACAGAUUAUGAAAUAGACAGUUUAUUGAGUUUUAACCUCAAUUCCAAACAGGGGCCACAAUAUCCACAUGACAAGCACUUAUUGAGAGCUUAAUUUGUGAAUAUAUGAGAUUUUUUUUUCUUUUUCUAAAUGAUUUAAUUUUUUUGCACAUAUGGCAUCAAAUGCGAGUGCAUGAUAGAAUAAAGGAAAAAAAAAAAAAAAGAAUGCAUUACCCUACGCACCUUCUCGUUGAAAAGCAGAGUUGAAGUAUCCGAACUGAUCUCGUUGGAACUAGCUAUCAAUUCCUCUUGCGACUCUUGUCUGUUUGGUGAUGUGGAAGGAGUCUUCACUUCACGGCAAAACCUUGUAACCUUUGGAAGCGUUCCCAGACUCAAAGAUCUUAGUUGACCAAACUCUAUCGUCUCAUCAACAUCGACAUCAGCUUCUCCUCCAGUUGCAAAAAUCUCUUCCAUGCUGCUGCAAUUGAGAACUGCAAUCCUCUCAAGUCUUGGAAGGCAUUUUGUACUACUAGAGAGCCAGAAGAUAUUACUCAUCUCAUCACAAUUUUCCACUUUUAUGGUUUGGAGUUCAUUGAAGGACUCUAUUGUGAGUCGAUCAAUACAUAUCCUCUCCAUAUUGAUCAAAUUGUGAAGAGUAAGGGACUCCAAAAGAGGAAAGGCGACACAAGGUUCUCUCUCCAUUGAAUCGGCAAUACACAGGAAGUCUGGAUUAUUUUGAACAUGGAGAUGCUUCAAUUGUGAAAAGCCCUCAGUGUCCAAUUCGAAAACAACAUUCUUGAUUCCUUGCAACUUAUCUAAACAUAAGUAUUCAACGUUAUUGAUGCCCUGCAACUUCUCGGAGCAAAUGGCCAUAGAAUCAAGCUUGAGCUUCAAUGUUCUUAAACUCUCAUGAUUACUGAUUGUUAGAGCAGCUCAUUAUGCUGAACAGAAGAAGGUGAAGACUAAGAUGAAGAAAAUACAGAGCAAGUUACAGGGCAAGUGUGUCAGCAGUGCCAGCUCAGCUAACAGCUCAGCAGAUUAGUUAAAGAUGGUUGUAAGCAUGAUGUGCAUUGUACUGAAGUUAGUUAGCUUUGAUUACAGUUAGUCUUUGGAUUAGUUAAAUGAAGUUACCGUGAUUGCAUUGUAUAUAAACAGGUGAUGCUUUGUAAUCAAAAGUUAAGCAAAAUAAAAAUCAAAGUUUGUUAAGGAAAUAUCUCCAGAAUUAUCAAUUCAUUUUCUUAGUAACCAAACAACUUUAUUUCAUUUUUCUUUCAUGGUAUCAGAGCAAGGUUAAUGGCUAGUUCCAGUAGCACAACAUCAAAUCCAAAUCAAAUGAAUAUAAAUCAAUCAUCACAUAUCUCCUUUUCGUUCAGCACUCCAGUCAAAUUGGAUCGAUCAAAUUUCAUGAUUUGGCGAAAGCAAGUUCUUACUACAAUAAGAGGAAAUCGUCUUGAAGAUUUUAUUUCUGGAAAUCAAAUCAUACCAGAACAAUACAUUUCUAAUACAGUAGCUGAUGGAUCAGUACAGAGAAUCACGAAUCCAGCUUACAUCAACUGGCGAGCUCAGGAUCAAACUUUGCUUGGCUGGAUUUUGUCAUCCAUAAGUGAAGGUAUCUUAAAUACUGUUCUUAAUUGCGAAAAUUCAUUUGAAGCAUGGAGAUCAAUUGAAAAACAAUUUGGAGUACAAUCUGAGGCUAGAGUAUUGCAAUUGAGGUAUGAAAUGAAUGUCCUUAGAAAAGAGAAUAUGUCUGUUGAGGAGUACUGUUUAAAAGUAAAAGCUGUUGCUGAUAAGCUUGCUUGUGCUGGUAGCCCUGUGUCUGAGAAAGAUCUGCUAAUGCAAAUUUUGAAUGGCCUAGGACCUGGAUUUCUAGAUCUUGCUUCAAUAAUUACUGCUAAUAGAAUGUCGUAUGAUGAUGCUUAUGCAUUACUCUUAACACAUGAGGCAAGAAUGGAACAAAAUCAUAAUACUAAAGAUCUUUUUAGUGCAAACUAUGGGAUGAUGAAUGCUAACUACUCUCAGUUUAGAGGAAAUAAUAAGAGAGGUGGUUAUAGUGGAUAUCAAGGGCAAUUUAAUGCUGGAAAUAGGAAUCAAAAUGGAGGAAGAGGAAUGUUUUUCAAUUCAUUCUCAAGAGGUUUUCCAGCUGGUGGAUAUACUGGUAAUGCUGGUGGCAGAGGACAGCAAAUGAAUGCAUAUGCUUAUAAACCUGUGCUUAACAACAGGCAUAAUUUCAAUAUGAAUCAUGGCUCAACUUCAAUGUCCAAUGGAAAUGGAUCUGAUGAUAAUGUGCUUAUCUGUCAAAUCUGUCAUAAAGCUGGACAUGCAGCUGAUGUUUGUUGGCACAGACACUUUGAUGGCUAUGCUCCUCAACCCAGACAAUUUGGAAGGGGCAGAGGGCAUAAGUCUGCUUAUAUGGCUAACUUUGAUCCACAAAUUGGCUUUACUUCACAAUUUGAAGAUUCGUUUGCUACAGAAUAUCCUGGUUAUCAUGGGUACCAUCCACCUGAUAUGAAUGCAUCAGUUGCAUCAGUAAGUCAUCACUCAUCUGAUAUGCAUUCUGUACCUGGAGCAGCUUAUAUUGCAAAUUUUGAAGGACCAGCUGAUGAAGGGUGGUAUCUUGAUAGUGGAGCUACGCAUCACAUCACUAACAACAUGGCCAAUAUGCAUAUCAGAGAUCAAUUCAGUGGAGCAGAUCAGCUCAUUAUUGGAAAUGGACAAGGUUUGCCCAUAACUCAUGUUGGUGAUGCAUCCUUUCUCUUUAAAAGUUCCAAUUCUACACACAAACACUCACCUAUAGUACUUAAAGAUAUUCUGUUGGUGCCUUCCAUUACCAAAAAUUUGUUAAGUAUCUCGAAGCUUACCACUGAUAACAACUUGUCUGUUGAAUUUCUUGGAAAUGUUUGUUUUGUGAAGGAUUCUCUGAGGGGACAGGUACUUCUGCAGGGUCUUGCUGAGAAAGGGUUAUACAGGCUGUUAUUGAAAUCAUCAUCAUCCUCUCAGUUAUCAUCAUCUUUUCUUUCUCACAUGUGUUCCAAUAAACCUUUGUCUAUGCUUUCUUGUUGUUGUUUCAAUUCUGUUCCUUCUGGAGUUGUUACAGAAUCUCAGAAAUCAUGUAAUCAAACUGAUGAUUCAUCUUGUAAAACUUCAGUUAAUAAAGCUAUUUUGCUUCAUAGAAAGUUUGGUCAUCCCAAUCAUCAAAUAUUAACUCAUAUACUCAAAACAGCAAAAUCUAUUCAUUUACCUGCAUAUCAAAAGCAACAAAUGCAUCAGCACAUCUGUGAGGCCUGUCAAAUGGGCAAAACACAUAAACUUCAUUUUCCUAUUACUGAAACCAAAACCUCCAAAACUCUAGAACUUAUACACACUGAUUUAUGGGGUCCUUCUCCCAUUAUUUCUAGAGAUGGUUAUCAGUAUUAUAUAAGUUUUGUAGAUGACUACAGCAGGUAUACAUGGAUUUAUCAUUUGAAGCUAAAGUCUGAGGCAUUAGAAGUCUUUAAGCUCUUUAAACUGCAGGUUGAAAAUCAGUUUAGCACAACCAUUAAGAUGAUGCAAUCUGAUUGGUGGGGAGAGUAUAGACCAUUCACUGAGUUUUUAAGCCAAUUUGGUAUCAUCUUUAGACAUCCUUGUCCUUAUACUCAUCAUCAAAAUGGGUUAGUUGAAAGGAAGCAUAGACAUAUUGUUGAAUUGGGUCUGACUCUCUUAGCUCAAGCUCAACUUCCCUUUAAGUUCUGGUGGGAUGCAUUUCAUACUGCUGUAUAUCACAUCAACAGACUUCCAUCUCCUGUUUUGCACCUUUUAACCCCAUAUGAAAAGACAUUCAAACACAAACCUGAUUAUGAUUUUCUCAGAUGUUUUGGGUGUUCUUGUUAUCCUUACUUGAGAGAUUACAAUAAACAUAAAUUUGCCUACCAUUCUAGUAAGUGCAUAUUCAUUGGUUACAGUCCUUCACAUAAGGGCUACAAAUGUUUACACCCUUCAGGUCGAGUCUAUGUGGCAAGACAUGUUACCUUUGAUGAAUCAGUUUUUCCUUAUGCCACUGAGUUUGUUUUUCAUAGUCAUGCUAAAACUGAUUCUCAAAUUUCUCAUUCCCAUACACCACAGCAAAUCCAUCAUAUCUCUUCUUUGCCUGUCAAUAACAGCACUGGUAAUCUGAACUCUGUAAGAUCUGGAAGCAGCAGUUCAAGUCACUCAGAUCAUCUAGAACAGACAGCAACUGAUCAGAAUUCACAACAAGCUACCAUAAAUGACAGGUCACCUUUUCAUACAUGUCCAACAAUUGUUGAAUCUAUACAAAAUAUUCCAGAACCUCCACAUCACUCUUUGCCUAUACAAAGUCACCAUCCUAGCAACACCUCUUUCUAUCCAUAUACACAACCAAAUACACAUCAGAUGAUAACCAGAAGUAAAGCAGGGAUUUUCAAACCCAAAAUUUAUACUGCUGUGCUUACUCACAAGGAACCAGAUACUGUGCAAGAAGCAUUAAAUGAUUCAAAGUGGCUACAAGCUAUGAGGGAGGAAUAUGAUGCCUUGAUUAAGAAUAAUACAUGGACAUUGGUUCCAAGACAAGCUGAUCAGCAUGUGGUUGGAAAUAAAUGGGUGUAUAGAAUCAAAUAUAAUACAGAUGGAAGUAUAGCUAAGUAUAAAGCUAGACUUGUUGCAAAGGGUUUUCAGCAAGUGGCAGGGAUUAACUAUUUUGAGACAUUUAGUCCAGUUGUGAAGUCAGCUACAGUUAGAGUAAUACUUAGCUUGGCAGUGAUGAAUCAGUGGAGAAUAAGGCAAGUGGAUGUCAAUAAUGCCUUUUUGAAUGGAGAGCUAACAGAAGAAGUUUUCAUGUCUCAACCUGAUGGCUUUAUUGAUGCUCAGAGAUCUGAUUUUGUAUGCAAAUUACACAAGUCUCUGUAUGGGCUCAAGCAAGCUCCUAGAGCCUGGUAUGACAAGCUUAAAGGAUGCUUAAUAAGCUGGGGUUUCACUACUACUAGUUCUGACACCUCAUUGUUUGUUAGGAAGAUCAAGACAUCUAUGAUCAUAGUUCUUAUAUAUGUUGAUGACAUACUGAUCACAGGUCCAAACACUGAGGAGCUGGAAGGUUUCAUAACUGAAUUCAGCAAAACUUUUGCUCUAAAGGAUCUGGGAGUGUUAUCUUAUUUCCUUGGAAUUGAGGUAUUAUAUGAUGCAGAUUGUAUGUACUUGUCACAGAGAAAGUAUAUCAGAGAUUUGUUAUCGAAGGUAGAAAUGACUGAAUGUAAGGGCAUUGAUACACCCAUGAGUACUGGCUCUAAACUGCAAAAGAUAGUUCAGGGGGAACUUGGAUACUAUCUUGAAGAUCCAACUCAUUAUAGAAGCAUAGUUGGAGGAAUGCAGUACCUGAUACUUACCAGACCUGAGAUUGCGUUUGCUGUAAACAAGCUCAGUCAGUAUGUAGCUGCACCAACACUACAACAUCUAAUGGCAUGCAAGAGAGUUCUAAGAUAUCUGAAGGCAACUCAAGAUUAUGGUUUAAAAUUUUUCAGAGAAGGAAGCUUAACACUCACUAGUUUUACUGAUGCAGAUUGGGCAUGUGACUUAGAUGAUAGGAAAUCAGUUGGUGCUUAUUGCAUUUAUUUAGGCAAUAAUUUGAUAUCCUGGUCUUCUAAGAAACAAUCAGUGAUAACCAGAUCAAGUGCCGAGAGUGAGUAUAGAGCUUUGGCAUCAGUGAGUGCAGAGCUGACAUGGUUACAAUCCUUAUUUUCUGAGUUGGGAUUAAGUUGCAUAGAAAAGCCAAUCAUAUGGUGUGACAACAUUAGUGCCACUGAACUAGCAAAGAAUCUUGUGUAUCAUUCAAGAACAAAGCAUAUCGAAAUUGAUAUGCACUUCAUUAGGAAUAAGGUUCUUGCUGGUGAGUUGAUUAUUCACUAUGUACCAAGUGAAGAACAGAUUGCAGACAUAAUGACCAAGCCUCUCUCAUUUGUAAGGUUUAACUACUUGAGGUCCAAACUCAAUGUCCAUCUUUGUCCUCUGAGUUUGAGGGGGGCUGUUAGAGCAGCUCAUUAUGCUGAACAGAAGAAGGUGAAGACUAAGAUGAAGAAAAUACAGAGCAAGUUACAGGGCAAGUGUGUCAGCAGUGCCAGCUCAGCUAACAGCUCAGCAGAUUAGUUAAAGAUGGUUGUAAGCAUGAUGUGCAUUGUACUGAAGUUAGUUAGCUUUGAUUACAGUUAGUCUUUGGAUUAGUUAAAUGAAGUUACCGUGAUUGCAUUGUAUAUAAACAGGUGAUGCUUUGUAAUCAAAAGUUAAGCAAAAUAAAAAUCAAAGUUUGUUAAGGAAAUAUCUCCAGAAUUAUCAAUUCAUUUUCUUAGUAACCAAACAACUUUAUUUCAUUUUUCUUUCACUGAUCAUAAAGUGCUGCCGACAUUCAAACCAGUCGUUCCCAAUAACCUUGGUAGAGUCGAAUGAUGCAUCUCCUAUUGAUAUAUCAAACCUUUCCAGCUUUUUGGAAAAAAAGCCAUCCGGUAAAAUGCUAUCGUUUUUAACAUCUAUUUCUAAAGUGGUCAAUCGCCUCAAAUGCAUCAAUUCGUCGAGGGUGGCAUUACUUCUUUCACUAUUGGCUUUUUCAACUUCCCAUUCAACAGGGGAAUUACCCAUAUACAGUUCUUCCAAUCGAGUGAAGCUUGAUAAGAUGUUGGGCAAAAUAAAUUUUAGUUGCAAACAAUCUCUUAAAUCUAGCAGCCUUAACUUAGUCAGUUGACCUAGUUCGUAAGGCAACCGUACAAUAUCAGACCUUAAAAAGCUAAGGAUUUCUAGAUUCUUCAACUUCCCAAUUAUGGCUAUGUCUCCCAACAUGCUUUGUACUAGACACAGUGUUUGAAGAUUUGCUAGAAGAUCGAUUGAAGAUGGCAAUGAAAAUAAUCGCAUUCCUGUCAAAUCCACAACUCGAAGCUUUUUCAUCCCUUUGAAAAAGUUCUCAGGGAUAUUGAGCUCGACAAAAGAGUCUUUGGGAUGAAUAAGUAAAAAUUCAAGUUGCGGACAUUCCAAUUCCUUAGAAACUUCAUGAAUGCUACUAUACAGUAAAGAGAUUGCAGAGCAUUUUUUAAGUGCAUCCUCAUCUGGCCACUCCCACACAACCUCACUUCUCACCAAGAAAACAUGUUGUUCUCGACAUGCAAUUGAAAUGGCAACAUCGCAGACAACAUCAUGCAUAGAAAAUUGUUCAUUACUAUCACCCUCAAGCAAAAAACAACAAUCUCUAAGUUCAUGGAGCAAUGCAUAUAAUUUGUUUCGUGCAUCUACCAUCCUGUUGACUCCUUGAAAUAUGCCCAAACCCAUAGAGUACCUAAACAAGUCUAGAAACCAAAAACUGUUACCUAUUAGACUACAGAGAAGAAAAUUUUUCUUGAGUUGCUCACCUUUUAAAUACUUGAAACUCAGCUCAAUACUUGAAUAAGUCUCUGCAGGCACACCUUCGAAGUUUACCAUUGAAGGCGUUUGGAGUUCUCGCAAGGCAUUCUUCCAUUCAUGCAGAGUCUUGUUUCUCAGUGCCCUUGCCACUGUAGUCAAGGCAAUGGGCAAACCUCCACAUGCCUGGGCUACAUUAAUUGCUAUAGACUUGAACUUACAAUUGUCAACAUCAUCACCAAUCAUUAUCUUAAACAAUCUCCAAGCUUCUUCUUCAUUUAGAUUGCCAAUCAAAAAGUUAUCUUUGGAGCCCAUACUUAAUAGUACAUUAUUAUCUCUUGCUGUGAGCAAUAGUCUACAUCCUUUAUGAUCAUUUCCAAAAGGAAUUCCAAUCGUCUCCAAAUCAAGAUGUUUCCAGAUAUUAUCUAGAAUCACAAGAAUCUUAUUCUCAUUCUUCAAUCGUUCAUACAGCCUGCUGGCUCUUCUAUAUUCAGCUUCAUCGGACAACUCCAGACCUAACUUCUCUGCAAUUUCCCCUUGUAUCUUUUUUAUGUCUGGAGUUUGUGAAACCUCUGAAAAAACCACACGAUCAAACAGCUUCUUUUCCCUGGCUUGCCUAGCAAACUCCUUCACCAGUGUCGUCUUUCCAAUGCCGCCCAUGCCGUACACCCCAAUAAUGCUGACGUUCACAUCAGUCAACACAUUUUGUAUAGACUUCAAAGUAGAAACUCUUGAUUCGAAGGCCUCGUAACCUUUGUUAGACUUAAGCCAUAUCUCCUCCGGAAUGGCACGGUGGGAAACGAUAUCAAACUUCUUAACUUCUUCUCCAAGUUCAACAAGGGCCUUCACCUCUGUCUCUGCUUUCUUGCUAAGCUGAUAGCGGGUCUUCAAAUUAGGACACAAGCCCUUGAGACAGCGCUUAUUUGUUGACUCUUCAUCUUCAACGAAUUUGGCUGCCCGGUCAAUGAUGCCGUUAGCACUAACCAGCCACUUCUCAACCUUCUCUUCAAUCUCUUCCCCUUUUUCUUUCGCCUCUGAAACUCUGCGCUGAAUGCUCGUACGUUCAACCUUCAACUUCUCCAUUUCCGCCUUGAGAUUCUCAAGGUUGGCAUUGUAGUUCCGCUUGCGCAAAUAAACAAGUUGGCGUUCUGUUGGAGGAGCCAAGCAUUUUACAAGUUCCAAAAUGAGAGUAACAAUGAUUUCCAGCAUCUUGAAUCCUGACAACAAUGUAGAAAUGAAGAAGGCCAAAGGACAGUAAGAACAGAGAGACAACGAUACGACAAGCAGUUAUGGAGCUAAAAAUAAAUAACAAACAAACAGAAGCAAAGUGUUUUUCGAAUGAGAAGAAGGAAGCAAGAAAAGGGUUUCUAUUUAGAUUAAGAAUGAAUGUAAAGAAGUGACAAAGAUGUCACAUAAUGUAAUUAAGUACUGAAUCCAAAUCCUAUCCUAAAUGGUUAGAUAAAAAUAAGGGAAUGAAAAGAGUAAUGGUAGAUUAAUUUAUGAGGCCAAUUAACGAAACGACAGAUCUGGUUUCCAUGUUUGUAAUUUAAGUGUAUGAGUACGAGGUGAACCAACUCUUUGUCGAGUCAAGCAAUUAGAAGGAGAAAUUACUAAAACAAGAACCAGCAACUUUUACUCACACAAGAGCUAAUAAUGUAUUGAGAUUGUGCAGAGUAAUACAAAACCUUAAAACUAGUAUAAUAAAUUUGUCAUCAAGUUUUAGCCUUCUUCUUCAACCAAUUACAGCACUAUCUUGAGCUCUGAGUUUCUUUUUUUAAAAUUUUUCAAAAGAUCUUUGUCAUUAGUUUUUCAAUGAUAAAAAUUAUAUUUUUAUCUCAUAAAAUAUAAAAUUUUAAAAAAAUCAAACAUAUAUUAUAGGUUUGUUUGAGAUUAUUUUUAAAGGCUCAAAAGUCACUUUUUAAAGUUAAAUGUUAAUUUUGGUAUUUGGUAAAAUUUUUAGAAAUCACCUUUGGUAAAAUCACUUAUCCCACAACAAAUUUCGGAAAGCAAAAAAGGAAUAGUUUGUCAAAAUCUAAUUUUGAUAACCAGUUUUAUACUUAAUAUAAUUCUAUAUACAACCUUAUAUAUAUUAUAAAAAAAAAAUAUCCUUAUUAUUUAGGAAAUAAAAUUAUUAAUUUUAAAGAUAUUUUAACAAUUACAUUGAGAUAACAAAAUAAAAAUAAAAUUAAUAAUAUAAAAUAUCUAUUUCUGUUAUCAAUUAUUAUAUAUACAAGAUAAAAAAAAUAUGUUAUAUACAUGUUUAUAAAUGUAUAAAUAAAUUUUAUCUAACAUUAUGUUCAAUUAAGUCAUUUACAUUAAUAGCACUUUUACAAGUAAAUUUUCCUAAAUGUUUAACUGAUUAUCUUCACAGUGAUUAUUUCCACAACAUAACUACCAGAAAUUAUUGUAAAAGAUACAACAUUACCAAAAAAAUAUUGAGGUACAUUUUAAUUAAGUAAUUGACUUAAUUAUGAAUCAAUUUAUUAUUUUCAUCUGUGUUAUCUAAACCAGCUCAUUAAUGAGAUCACUCUUUUUCUUAAAUAAAAUAUUCCUGCCAAACAAUUGUUGCAAAAUUUCAAAUAUAAAUUACAAACAGCAAAAUUUUCUAAAGUCAUAACAAUUAUUUAUGUUUUGAAGGGUCCAGCUAGCUUGCAACCGUGAUUUGGUACCCCAUUUUUUGUCUUUUUGUGAUCCAACCAUUAGAUCCAACCCAAAAGUUGUAAAAGCUAUUCCAACGGCAAGGAUGCAAUUACUUAGUUAUUAACGCUGAAGCCCCUCUUGUUUCAUAAAAAAAAGAAAAGGUUAAAUUUCAAGAUUUUGACACAUAAGUCCAUCAAAAUAUUUUAUGAUUUUUAUAUGAGUCCAGGUAAUUUAAUAAAUGAAUAUAUUUAGAUAUACAAAAAUAUGGAUGGAUUAUUUUAACUUGCUAAAAUACUCCCCACAUCCAUUUAUUUAAAAUAUCAAUUACAAAAAAUCCCAUUUUUUAGUAUAAUUUUUUUAAAAAUAAAAUACCCAUUUAAUGUUUUACCAUUUAAGAUAGUGUUACUUAUAAGGAUAAAUAAUUAUUUUAACUAAAUAAAUGAAACUUAACUUUUAUUUCUAUAAAUUUGCUCAACAUCAUAUAACCUUAUAAUUGUUAGCAUAAGAUAUAAAUUUAGUCUAAAAAAUUUAUUCAAAGGGUCCCCUUAGGGCAAAAAAUUAAUUAUCAUAUGAUAAUUUGGUUGGCACAAACUCUAUUAUUCUUAAUUUACUUAUCCAUGCCAAACACUAUAUUGGAAUUAAAUUUUAGUAAAAUAAACAUAUGUCAACAUCUUUAACCGCAUUCAACUGACCCUAAUUGUUUAGAUUUUGUUAUAGAGAGCAAGAUAUAGUUCUUUUCUUAUUAUAGUAGUAAAAAUAAAUAAAAAUAAACACAAUAGAUUUCUUUUAAGAGAAUGCAAGCAUUAUUUUUAUGAGAUUUUGUGUUCAAGAAAUUAAUCUAAUUAUGUGGUUAGAAGACUCUCUAUUUUGUGAUAUUUUAGAAGAAUUAUAUGUUGGAUAAAUGAAUAAAUUAAGAUCAAAGCAAAACAAAAAUGAUUGAGAAGAAAACCGAGAGAGAAUAAUUUUUUAAAUUUUAAAAUUUUCAUUUUUUAAUUGGGGUUUAUUUUGUAAAAUUAUUGCAAUUUAUAGUUUUUAAUAUUACCAAAAACAGUAGAGAUUGCUAAAGAAAAUGCCAAACAAAUUUUUUAGAAUUAUAAAAUUAUUAUAUUUUAAUUAGGGCUUGUUGUGUAAAAUUUUUAAAAUUUAUAGUUUUUAUUAUUUACCAAAAACAAUGAGGAUUGUUAAAGAAAAUGUCAAAAUUGGGUGUUUGGUAUAACGGAGGCAAAGUAGUUUCGUCCUGUUUUGAAUACAUGUAACUAAACCACAUUGAAAGUUGUCAAAACAGGAGGACCUAAUGUUAGUAAAAUUAUUUUUCAAGCAAAUGCAGUGACGAAUUUGGUUUCAUGUUUCACCCUCGAUAACUUAAUUUUCAUAUCUAACAAAUCAUCCAUAUUAUUAACAAUAUCAUCACCAACCAUAAUCUACCUAAACAUAAACUAAACAUAACACAUACAUAUAACUAUAUACAUACCGAAUCAGGAAAACAAUGAGAGCUACACGUAUCCGGCUCCACAAUUCCUUGUUGAUACCCUUGUGCUUCUAAAAUUAUCAACCAAUUAUAAAAAUUAGCUUAGGCGCAACUUUACCCCUUUUUUUUGGAAAACUUAACUAUAAAUAAAGUAUACAAAUCUCUAAAUUAACUUUUUUCCCAUGAAAUUCAGCAUAAAUAGAAAUAGAAUUAUAGAAAUCUUACUUCCUUUUAUGAGAAAUCCAACUUAUAUAUUUGAGACCUCUCUCUCUAAGCACGCGCUUCCUCUCUCUGUAUACUUUCCACCUUUAAAUUCUCCUCAUUAAAUCUGUCUAAAUGAAUUUAGCAGUCUCCCAGUUUCUUUAGCAUUUUUCUCCGUGAAAAUAAGUGAAAAGCGAAAGUGAUUUGAUUAUUUUAAUGUAUGACAGAUCUGGUUUCCCAUCUCCGUAAUUUAAGUGUAUCAAAUUGUCGAGUCAGUCAAAUAUAAAAGACAAAUUACUAAACCAAGCAGAGCCAAAAAAAAAAAAAAAUUCCAAUUAAAUAAUCAUCAAGUCUUUUUCAAUUAAAAUAGGGAGUGCAGAACAACUGUCGAGAGAUAAUCAUUGUUUAUGGAGCCAUAUUAUAUUUUCGAUUAAAAUAUUUGCGCGUGAACAAUUGGCAGAAUUCGUAUAAAUUGUUGUAAGGUCUAUUAUAAUUAACAAGCGGAAUGGCCAAUGGAUGAAGAACCACUGUAAUUUCGUUUAUGAAUUUAAAAUGCUAAAGAAACUGGACAUCAACGCUAAAUGUUAGCCUGCGGUCCUUGCCUCAGUUUCUUUCAGGCGUUACUCUGGGUAGUUGAUAUACUGACCGUCCCUUUAUCAAUUAAUAAUCGAAAUAGGUUAAAAUAUGAAUGGAUUGGAAUGGUAUGACUUGGAAAUGGGAUGACAAUCAGAUUAAUUUAUUCAUUUAAACUGAGAAAUUAGAAUCAAAAUAAAUUAUAUUGUUAUUGAUAUAUUUACUUUAUCUUAAAAUUAUGAUAAGUUGUUACGAGUUAUUAAUAUGCCUUAUUUUUUAUUAUAAUAAUUAUUAUUUAUUAUAACAUUUUUCAUAUAAUAAUAAUAAUAAUAAUAAUAAUAAUUAAUAUUGAAAAAAUUUUAUUGUUAAUAAUAAAGUAUCAUUAGAGUACUAGACAAGCUCACCACGUCUAAGCUAAGUGAAGAAAUAGACUUCAUCAACAAAGCUUUUGUGAAUAUGCGUUACAUUACAACUGCGAUAUCCUUUCACUGUAUAUUCAUACAGUGGCAGGCCAUGUGACAUUGUGACCCAUGUGCUAGCUUUCACUAGUCAUAUUAUUUUUUUACACGGUGUUUAACAAAAUCUUCACGUAAAGAUUUCAGACGCGUGAUCCUAAUUCAAUAUGCAUUAUUUAUUUAUUUAUAAAAUGAAAAUAAAAAGAUAAAAGGAUGUGACUUAACUUGCUAUCAGUGCGGAUCCAGGACUUAAUAUUAUUUCGGGUUAAAUUUUAAAAUUUAUAUUUUGAAGUGAACAUAAAAAUUUAUAAAUAAAAAGAAGUAUAUUAAAUGAGGGGAGACAUGGAGAGCUUUAUCCCUAUGAAUAUGUAUUAUAAACAAAAAUAAUUAUAAGAAAAGAAUAGAAACCAAAAGGCAAUUCAAAUAUCAAAACACUAUUUUUCAAUUAUGAAAUCCGACAUUGCAACCUAAUAACAUGUAAUUAUAUAAGGAUUAAUAAAUCAAUUAAGAAUUUCAAACUAAAUUAGAUCAGUACAUGUAAUUAAAAUUAAUUAAAGAUUUCAAGUAAAACUUUUAUGUUUGAAGUCAAGUACUAAAUUACCAAGCUUAAAUAAAUUUAAAAAAUUAAAAUUCAUUCAUUCUUUCGAAUUAUAAAAGUAUCAUUAGUCAAAAGUUUUAGUAAUAAACUAAACUCAAUUCAACAAAAAGUUAUUUGGAUAUCGUUGUUUCAUUGCCAGUGCACUGACUUUCUUUAUAGAAGUAUAUGUUAAUGAUUCUUCUAUUAAAGCUCUUCAAAAUACCUAAAUUUUAUUUUCUAACUUCUUCUCGUAGUUAAUGUAACUAAUAAAUAGAAUCUGAAAAUUCACAUAAAAUAUUUAUGAAAAUGUUGAUAAUUGUUACUAUAUGUUGUUUUCGUAAGUACUUUUAAUGCUAGUAACGAUGUUAUAUUACAUUGAUUUAUAUUUUUUUCAAUUAGAAGUUUUUUAAAAUAAAUUAAAGCAAUAAUAAUAUUUUAGCUCCCUAAUGUUUUCAAUCUAUCCAAUAAGUAUAUAAUUUAAUCAUUUUAUAAAAUAAGUCACUAAUUUCAAUUGGAAAUAAUACAAUUGAAUUAGGGACAUAUUUGAAUAUAAAAUAAUAGCUCAAUUGUUAUACUAAAUUGAUGAAAAUAUAAGGGUAAUUGAGUUAGGAAAAUAUUUGAAUAUAAAGUAAAAACUUUAUUGUUAAACUAAAUUGAUGAAAACAUAAGAAUACUUGAGUUAGGGACAUAUAUGAAAACAAAAUAACAACUCUAUUAUUAUAAAAAAUUUAUAAGAAAACAAGGUGUAUAAAUGAUUUUUUCUGUUCUAGACCAAGCUACAGCCUAGUCUAGCCAGCUGUAGGUCUCCCACUACUUGCUAUUUACAUACAGACAUGUGGCCCUUAUUCUAAUAUCUAUAGGAAAAGACACCUAUACUCCAAGAUUUGAAGAAAGAUUUGAAGAAAUAGUCACGUAGAUCUCUAAGUUUUCAGUAACCACAAUUUCUCUUUGACUAUAAUAUUUUUUGUACUUAGAAAAAAAAAUGACUUUAGAUUUUUUUAAUAAAUAUAAAUAUAAGUUAAAUAGUUUAAUUUGUCUAAUAGACUAAUAAUAUUAGAAUAUUUUUAAUAUAUAAAAUAAUUUUUAAAUAAAAAAUAUUAUAUUUAUUUUAAUAAUAUAUUUUUAUUUAUCAUAAAAAUAUUAAAUAAAUCUUUGGGGUUAAAUAGAAUUUAAAAUUAAUAAAACACAUCUCAUUAAUAAAAUAUAUCUCAUGUACUAAUAAUAUUGAAAUUAUUUUAAUAUAAAAUUUAUUUUAAAAUAAAAAUAAAUUUAGAAUAUUGAAAAAUUUUAUAAAAUUUAUUUUAAUAUUAUGUUCUUAUUUAUUAUAAAAUUUAGUCUAAUAUAAUGUAAGAUUGUAAAGUAUAAAAAUAUUUUCCUAAAUUGAAGUUGUUUUAAAAUGUUAAUAUUUUAUGUUUAUUUCAAUAUUAUAUUUCUAUUUAUUAUAAAUCAUAGGAGUCAAUUUUUUUCAGUUAAUAGAAUCAAAGGGUAUUAUAGUCAAAAGAGGUAUUGGUAUUCCUUAUUAAAAAUUUAGGCGUCUACAUGACUAUUUCCCAAACCUUAGGGUGUAACUUUCUUUUCUCCAAAAUUUAUGAUUCUCUGUAGGUAUUUCAUGAAGGAAAACGAUAUUUACACUGAAUCAAAUCCCGAACUAAUUAAAAUGCACUAUUUCAGCUUAAAUAAUGGUAAAUAUUUGUUUAGUCUCUAUAUUUUGAAUUAAGUACCGUUUAGUCCCUCAAGACACCUUUUUCAGUAAGCACAAUAUAAUCCUACCCUUACUUUUUCUUUGAUUCUAUAAUAACAUGCUUGCAACAAUAUUUUUAGAUAUGUUAAUGUAAAGAAAAAUUUAAAUUUAUCAAAUCAGCCUUAAAAGAAAAAUACAAAUUAGUUGUUAUUAUUAUUAAUAAAAUAAUAAAAUAAUAAAAUAAUAAUAACAAUAAUUAACAUUAAUUAAAAUAAUAAAGUUAAUAUAUUAUAUAAAAAAUAAUAUUUACAUUUAUCAAUUUUUCAUGUGUUCAAAAUUUUUUAUGUGAUAUUACAUUAUUAUCUUUACACCAUCAAUCAUUUUUAUGAUCAAGUUAGGCUAAUGGAUCAAACUUUAAAAAAUUUAAAACAAUAGGAGUUAUAUAAAUAAAUAUUUAAAAAAUUUUGUUUUUAUGAUAUUAUAAUAAACGGUAGAGACUUAAGUGUUAAUAACCAAUUGAACACGUUGAACACUUUAGCUAUUAGAUCUGGCUAAAUUAGAAAAAGACAAAAUUUAGGGUACCGUGCAACUGUUGCAAGGUAGGCGGACCCGUUAUAUUUAAUAUAGAAUAAAUAAACUAAAUAUGUGUAAAGAAUCUAGGUUAGUAACCUUGCAAUACUUCAGAAAAUUAUAAAAUACAAAAGGUGAAAUUUCAAAAUAAGGAAUUGUAAAAAGUGUUAGGUUCUAAAAUUUUAUUAUUUUAAUAUUACAAAAAUUUACUUUUUUAUUACAUUUUUAUUUUUAAUAUUAGUUGACAUUUUAGUUUAUUUGUAUAUAAUAUAUGUUAAUUUACCUAUAAAAUACUAAUAUUACUCUUGAAAUUUAAAGAAGUCAUUUUAAUUUUUAAAAAUUUUAAAUGUAGCCCAACAAAGUCAUAGAAAUAUAAAUAAAGAAUAACAUAAAAGGAAGUUAAUUUAAUUUUUUUAAGAAUAUUUCAAAAGCAUUUGAGUUUUAUGUUUCUUGAGAAUUAUACCAUUUUUUUUUAGAUAUUUGAGCUUGUGAAACUUGUUGUAAUGAUAAUUUAUUAUUUAUUCUUGAUUAAAAAUAAUUGAAUAGUAAAUUUAUUGGCUUCUAAUUACUCUUUUAAAUGUAGGGUGGUUGCUUAAUUUUUAUUAUGUUUCCUUAAACUUUUUGAUGAUGGCUAAUCAACCAUUGCAAAAGACUCUACCUGAUUAUUGUUUCCUUAAACUUUUUGAUGAUGGCUAAUCAACCAUUGCAAAAGACUCUAGCAUGAUUAUUUUUACUUUCUCUACAUCCCUCUAGACCAUCAUCACUCAAAGAAUUAAGGGUUCACUUGGCAUACUGUAUUAUACUAUACUGUAUUGCAUUAUUUAAUAUGGGUAUAUUGUAUUAUGUUAUAUUACAUUAGUAAUAAAUUAUAAUAAUAUUUGUACAACAUUUGGUAAUUGGUAUUACAUUGUACUGCAUUAAUUUUAUAUUAAUAUUAAACUAACAUUAUUUAAAUUUAUUAUUAAUUAUAUUAAAUUAUUAUUUUUAUAUUAAUUAUUUUUAUAUAAAUAUAAUAUGAUAUAAUAAAAUAAUAUGAUAGUAUAAUUUACUUUUAUGUUUUUAUUUAUUAUAAUAAAAAUAAAAAUAUAUUUAAUGCUCAAUUAAGGUAAAAUAAUAAUAAUAACAAUAGUAUUACUUAAAAAAAAAUCUAUAAAGUUUAAUGAUGAUCAUGAUGUUGACGACAUUAAUAAUAACAUAACAAUUAAAAUAAUAAAACUAAUAAAUUUUAAUAAUGUUAAUAUUAAUAAAAUAAUAAUAACAAUAAUUAACAUUAAUUAAAAUAAUAAAGUUAAUAUAUUUUAAUAAUAGUAAUAAAAUUAAUAUUAAUGACAGUAAUAAAAUUAAUAAAUAAUAAUAUGACUUAAUUAAAAUAAUUAUAACAAUUAAAAUCAUAAAUUUUAACAAUAAUAAUAAUAAUAAUAAUAUUAUUAUUAUUAAUAUAAUAAUAAUGACAUUAAUAAAUAAUACUAAUAAUAACAUUCAAAUUUUUUUUAAAGCUAUUUUAUCCCAAAAAAGGGACUUAUAUAUAAAAUUUUGUAAAUUCUAGUGUCUAUUCAAAAUUUUCAUAAAAUAUAAGAUAGUGCAGUGUAAUUAAUAAAAAAAAGACAAAAUGAUAUGCUGCAACCGUUGCAACAUAUUUUCAUCCUUGUUUGUGAUCCUUAAUCAAUAAAAUAUCUGACAAUAUCUUCGCCAAAAGUUUAAGACAUGUGAUCCUUAUUCCACAGCGUCAAUGAAACUCCAGUCAAAUGCUGCCAUCAUUAUUGAACAGUCGAUAUCCAGCACGUGCACGAAGAUUCCAAGAAGUUGCAUGGCUAUCGACUUUUAGAUGCUAAGCCUCAUUGCGUUGAUGAUACACAAAACAGACGGUCAAGGUAAUUGCCAAAACUUAGAACUAAACAGUAGCUUAGUCAGAAAAUCAAACGCCAGUACCGGUAAAAUGACCGAUAAAAAUAUAAGGACAUAAAAAUUUUAAAGUUUUACUUUAUUGCUUUUUUAAUCUUAUUACUAUUUCUCCUUGCACUUCUAAAGAAACCAAAGCUUUAAAAGAAAUCAGCCAAAUCACAAAGAUUGAAGAGUAAAUCUAUGGUUUUAAAUUUUUAUUUUAUUUUUUUAGAUAAUAGAUAUUAUUUUGAUGAAUUUUUUAAUAUUAGAAUAAUGUUAGGAAUUCUAACAGUAGAAUUCUAACUUGGAACCCAAUUGAUAUGUGUCAUUUUUUCAUUGGAUAAUGAAUUUCAUCACUAGUAAAAUUAAUAUUUGGAUCAUCUAAUAAAUGACUACCAUAUCAAUUGGGACUCAAUUAUUGGGAUCCUUAAAAUUGCUCUUAGUAUUAUAUUGGACAUCUUAGCUAAAUCAAAUUAAAAAUUAAAUUAGAUUUUAGGCUUUAUUCAACAUCUCUUUUUGUCUUUUUUUUGGUCUAUUUGAAGUGAACGAAAUAAAAAUACAAUAGGGUCAACGACUGGGCAAUUGAUAGUCAAGUAGAAGCAAAUCAAGGCUAAAUGGGAAAGAGAAAUUAUAUUAGUGCAAAACAAGGAGAAAAACAGUGUAACAGAAGAGAAUCAAAGUGCUUUUGAGAUCAGAAAUUGAAACAAGAAAAGGGUCGCUUGAUCCAAUGAAAAUGCAAAGAGCUGACGGCAAAAGGGAAUAAAGUUAAAUAAGAAAAUAGCUAGCGCUAGCAGCAACCACAAUAAACAGAAAAUUUGAGAUGGAUUUACAAUAUUUCUGCCUUUCUUCAUGCUUUAACAAAUAUUGCUUUAUAAAAAAAAAGAAAUUGAGCGUUUUUAUUAUUGGAGUCACAAAAGACCUACACAAUAUAGCAAGUGACUGGGAAUAAAUAAAAAUAUAUAACUGAUAAGUGCAUAUUUUCCAUAUAUUUUGUUAUUAAUUUCUCCAUCUUUUUCUUGAUUUGAUCUUAAAUAUUCUAGUUAUUUUAGUUAAUUUUUAAUUAAUUGUAUUAUUUUAUUGAAUAGGGAAUUAAUUGGAGAUUGUGGAUAAAAAGGGCAUGAAGAAAUUCAAAUUGAGAAGGAAUAAGGAUUAAAUUGGAAAAGGAUUUCAAUUAGAAUGGAAAAAGGAUUUCUUUAUUCUUGUUGGAGAAGAAUUCGGUCAACUAGCUUUAUAAAAGGGGAGCUGCUGGAUGAAAAAAAAGGAGGAGAAUAUUCGGCAGCCAAGAGGAUUUGAGGAACUAGCAGCCGAAAGAAGGAAAAGCAAGGGAGAAACCGAAAAGGAAUUGAAGAAAAAGGCAGCUGCUUGAAUUAAUCUCCAUGAUUGGUUUUGUCAAUUCUCUUAUUUCCAAUUCAAUUAUGUUAGGCUAGAUUUUUAUUUGGUUGAGGGUGAAUUCAAAACCCUAAACAUGCUAUGCAAUUAAAUUUAAAUUCUAUCAUUUAAUUUAUUUAAUUGAGAUUGUUUAUGUUCUUCUAUAAUUAAUGUUCAUGGUUUGUUCUUGUUUUAUUUGAGUGGCCAAUUAGAUAGGACUUGAAUAAAUUUUAUUGCUAGAUUAAAAUUCUUGAUCCGUAAUUAUCUUGAUAUUUUAAUUAUUAGUAACAUGUUGGAAUUAGUGAUUUCAAUUAAAGAACAUAACCUAGGUUAAAUAAUCCGAGCUUGUGUGUUUAUUGCCUAGAUCAACCUAAUAUCUUUCUCUGUUUAAUGCUUCCAUUAUCUUAAAUUUAAAGAGCUUGUUUUAAAUUAUUUAAUGGUUAGAGAUUAGGUGAAGAGCUUAUUUUGCCUAACGACACACUAAGGAAAGAUUGAGACUAACAGAGCUUAUUGUUGUCUACGGUUGAUAGUUUUAAUAUAAAUUAAUGAUAGAAUUGAUAUAUUAUGUGCAUGUUUGGUGGUGGCGAAUGAUCCUUUAACCAAAGUUUUCAUCAUUAAUAUUUCUUUCUCCUUUAAUUAGAGUUUUUAUUAAAUUCUUGUUCGUAGUUUUAAUUUCUUUACUUCUUACUAUUUAGUUAAAAAUUCAUAAACCCCCUCUUUUAUUUAUAAUUGGUAAUUUCCUUAGUUAGAUUAAUUUAUAUUAUUAUUACUACUAUUAUUUUAUUUUAAAUCUUGCUUUAGAGUUGAUAAUAAAUAUAACUACAUAGUCUUUGUGGGAUCGAUCCUUACUCGCUCUGUACUAAUUAUUUAUAUUAGUGGUAAGGUUAUAAAUUUGGUGCACCUUAACGACACUACCAAAUUUUUGUAACUCUCUCUCUAAUUCUCACUCUAGCUUUUAAUUGUCACUCAAAACCCAGAAUUCAUCCUUAAAGUGUAAGCAAAUCAGAGAUGACAACGUCUGGCUGUCAUACGUGCCUUUUAGUUUUCGGAUGACAUGGCGUACACUUCUUCUGUAAACCGAACACGACAUGUCGUACUCUUUGUUUUGAGAUCAUAUUUCAAACUCUUCAUGCUAUGAAUGAAAGAUAAACUACAAUCAUAAACAUAUUUAGUGUUUAUUUGGUAAUGUAACGUUAUAGUUGUUGUGAAUUGAAAUUAUUUCUGUAAAAUAAAAGGAAUAUUUAUAAUAGUAUAAAAGGAAUAUUAAUAGAGGAUGUAUUAAUAUAAAAUUUGUUUAUUGGUGUUGAAGUUAAUUAUCUCAUUAAUAAUACUAUAAAAAUUUUAAUUACUAAGAAACACAUAGCAGUAGUUAAUUGGUGUCAUAUUAUUGGGAUUCAGGGAUAUAAUUUUAUAUCAUAACUUUGUAAGUGUAUAAUUACUCAUUAAAUUAAGAAAAUUAUUUAAAAAUAUUUAGUUGGAAAAAAUAAAUUAUAUUCUUUUUAUUUCAAAUAAUCUAUAAGUUAACUCAAAACAUAAUCAAGCUGAGAAUUAAAAUAAUGCUACUAUAUGAGAGGAUUUUUAUUUUUUCCCGAAGUUUCACUAGGAAAUUAUUGAUAUAUAGCUUUAUUCGGAUCAUCUCAGUUCAAACAACAAAUAAUUGAAAGACUAAGCUAAAUAGACCAGCCAACAACUUUGUGCAAGAGAGUUCAAAAAUUAAGGUCAUGGUAUUGAGGUGUUCUGUCUUGAAAAGUACAGCAUAGUGAUAAAAUAAAAACUAUUAAUCUAUGGUAAGGUAUGACUUUUAAAUAAUAAUUUUCACAAAAAUACAAAGAAUAUUUAUAAAGUACUUCUAUAGUGAGGAGAUCCUUACUUUGUUAAAGUAAAAAUAUCAAUAAUAUAAAAAAACAUAUAUUUUAACACAUUAAGAACUGUAUUUUCUUAAUCUAUUGGUGUAUUGAAAUAUGUGUUAUUUAGUUUGUUAGUGACAUCAUCACUUUGUUAAAAUAAAGAUGUCGUCACUAGAGAAUCAUUAUAUAUACAUAUAUAUAAAGUGUUUCUCUCCAAAACCUAGACUUUAUUAAAAUUUAAGAAAGCAAAUAUAUUUUAUAUGGUAUAAUAGUGUAAUAACAUCACACAAUUAUAUCAUAUAGAGUAAUAGUUUUUGGAACUUUAAUAAAGUUCAAGAUUAUAGAAUGAAUGAUUUAUAUAUAUUAUAAUUUUUUUAUCAUAGAGUGGAGGACAAAAUUAACAUAUUUUCUAAAUUAUAAUAAGUAAUUAUCAAAUAAUUUAACAUUGUAUUUCUCCUAACUAGUAUAGUAAAUAUGACCUAGGAGGUACAUUCAAAGCAUUUCAUAAGUUAGUUGUUAAUAAUAAAUGAUACAUGCAGCUCCAAUCAUCAUUGUACGGUGAGUAAUUUCCAGUUAUAAAUAGAUAUUACUCCCUUCUCAGCAAUUUUUUAUGGCUUAAUUUAGUGGGAUCAAAUCAAAAUCAACAUUGAAUAGUCAAAAUAUUAAUGACCAAACAGACCCAGAUAGAAUAAUAUUAAAUGUAGUUAUCUCAAACAAGAUAGAAUAAUAAUUGAUAAGGUAGGUGUAUGAGUGUGUGUGAUGUGUACUCUUUAUGCCAUUGUGUAUAUAUAUAUAUUUGUUUUUUUUUUCUAUUUCGCGUGGUUCCACCAUGCAUAAUUGAAGGGCUUCAAAUUCUUAAACGUUCGGUCACCGAAAUUGAAAUCCCAAUGGAACAAGUAAUUAAGCAUGUUAAUUCAACAAGAUUCACUCCCUUUAUUACUUAAAAGUUAUUUUCGCUUUUGAUAUUGAUACUUAUUUUUACAUUUGCAUGCACUAGGGCAGACGCGAAGCUAAAGGUGGGCUAACCCAGGCAGCAGCCUCGGUUAGCUUUUUGAAAAAAAAUAAUUAAUUAUAAUUUAUAAAUUUAUUUUAUUAAUAUAUAUAAAAAAUAAAAAUAAAUCUAAUAUUUGAUAAUAUUUUUCUUAUUUACAUUGUAUUUUUAUAAUUUUAUGGUUAGAUUUUUAUGUAUAUAGUGUGCUUAAUUUCGUUUAUAUAAAACAAAUUUUUUGAAAAGUAAAUUUCAUUUUUUAAAAAAAUCUAGCCCACCCAAAAAAAUACGCUAGCUUCGCCACUGCACUAGGGACAUAUUAAUCAGGUGGGUUAUAUUACAACCAGAGGAUUUAAAUUUGAUUUAAGAUAUGUGGGGUCUGCUUUUGGAUUUAGAAAAUUUGCCCAUUAAGAGUUGAAACCAAGUGACCUACCGUUAGAUUAGAUUAAUAGUGAUUUCUUGUAGUAAACAUUUGUGAAUUUGAAAUAUGUGAAUUCUAUCCUGGUGAUACAAAACAAGCUUCUUGUACACGAGAACUAUUUGUUUUUAUGAUUUGGAAACCAAUCUAUAAAGAUGAAUUAAGUUGGCAUAAUGGUACAAAGCAACUUUAAUUUUUCAAUAAAUUCAAAAGUUGGCAGGUUGGUUGUGAUUAUUAUCUUUUCUUUUUUACUAUUUAAACUACAAUUAAUUGAAUCCAAAGACUAAAGGGUUGGAUCGAGAAGAAACUAAUUUUAAGUAGACAUUCCGGCGAAAAUCACUCCCAUGAUCGAGACACUCAUGCAAUCAAUACAAAAAAUGGACACAAAAAUUGUCUACUUAAGUUUGGUUGAAUGAUUUUAAAAAUAGUUUUAUUUGUUUCACACUCGAAUUUGUAUUUUGAAAAAGAGUGGGAGUUAAAAAUUGAUUUACACUUUAUCAAUUACUCUAUUUUAAAAAGAAAUAAAUAUUAAAAAAAUAAAAACAUUAAUUUCUUGUUUGUUUGUACUUACCAUUGUAGGAUAAAUAAAGUGGUUGACAAAAAUUAGAUAUCUUAAAAAUAAAUUCUAAAUUUAUAACUAAUGUAUAAUGAUUUCAAUUCACAUGUUUCAAUCCCAAAUAAAUUCUCCUUUGGUUAUUUGAAUCUUAGCACGGUAAGAUUUCAUUCUCUUGUAUGCAUUUGUGUAAACUUCUCCCUUUACCUUUAUCAUUUUAUCAACUGUAUUGAUUGCCAAACAACUUUAGGGUUUAGGCAUGAAUCACACAAGGGAAUGAUAUUGUGGCAAUUUUUUCCCCCUUCUUUCUUCUUUUUGAAAAAAAAAAUUAAUUAUAGCUUUGCUUUGAUGGGUAGAAGACUAGAAGACCAAUUAAUUUCUUUUUGUUGCGUGGUGAUAAUAAUGGUGAAAAUUGCUAUGUGCGUGUUGGUGAUUGCAUUGCUAAUCACAUAUUGCUUCCCAUCAUGGAGACAAAGGGGACCCCUCUAUCAAAGCUAGCUGUUGAAAUAUCAUACCCAAAAUCACAUGAAUUCAAAGGUUGAAUGGGAAAACGAUCUUGCUUCUUUGUAUGUUUUAUUUUAUUUAAAGACUUAUUUUUCCCAUAAGAGAUAAGCUUGGAUCUAUCUUUCCUUUUAAUCAUUUUAGCCUCCAACUCCCAUCUUUUUCAAAAGUUUCGUUUAGCCCAUUUUGAAUGGCAAGGUAAGCUUCAAUCAACGCUACAAGUUCUAGUGAUUCCCGUCAAUAUUCGAUUGCAUGUAUGUAGCUUUGAAUGCUCAAAUUUAUUUUAUUUAUUAGUUGUUAUCACUUAUCAUUUUCUUUUUAAUAAUGAGAUUUGGGCAUUUUCUUUUUAAUAAUGAGAUUUGGGUCCCUAGAUGGUGAUUAGCCAACAGUCUAGUUAUGAGAAAUUAAUGUCUUAAUUACAAUGACAAAAAAAGGCAAGUGGGGAUCUCAUUUGCCAUUAGGUAACACAACAUCUUCAGCAUUGGAGCUUUUCUUCCUUUCUCUCCUUCUUUCUUUCUUUCUCAAAAUAAUUGAAAAUCUAAUGCAAUACAAUUAAAUUGAUCAACGAUCUAAUUUAAUCAAUACAUUAUAUUAAGAUAUUUAAAAUAAAAUCGGUUCAAAUGGAAUGAGAAAUUCUACUCACAAAAUAACAACAUUUAUUCCCGAAUUCAAAUAACCUUGGAUUCCAAAUGCAUUCAAGACUAGCCAGGCUGCAUAUCCAAGAAGAAAACAAAAUCAAAACUUUAGCCACAAACAUAUACGUGUGUGUGUAUGUGUGUGUGUAUAUAUGUGUGUGUGUGUCUGUGUAUAUAGAGAGAGAGAGAGUUCUUUCACUAGGUUCAUUUGCGUGAAACUUUUUGAUCAUUUAGGUUUAAGACUAUAUCAUAUAUCCUAUUGCAUGAACAUUGAUUAAUAUGAAUGAGUCAAACCCACUAAGCUUGUAACAAAAUCUUUUCAUAGUUACUAGAGAAUAUUUAUAUUUUUUUCAAACAUUAAUAAAAUUAUUGAAUUGCUUUAUUUAUAGUAUGUAUACAAUUAAUAGUGUAUGGAUUUUUUUAUCUAUUGGUAUAUUGAAAUAUGUGUUAUUUAGUUUGUUAGUGAUAUCAUCACUUUGUUAAAAUGAGAAUGUCCUUACUAGAGAAUCAUUAUAUAUACAUAUAUAAAGUGCUUGUGCUUCUAUCCAAGACCUAGAUUUUAUUAAAAUUUAAUAAAGCAAAUAUAUUUUAUAUGGUAUAAUAGUGUAAUAACAUCACACUAUUAUAUCAUAUAGAGUAAUAGUUUUUCGAUUUUUUUAAAGUUCAAGAUUAUAGAAUGAAUGAUUUAUAUAAAUUAUAAUUUUUUUAUCAUAAAUGGAGGCGAAAAUUAACAUAUUUUCAAAUUAUAAUAAGUAUUUAUCAAAUAAUUUAACAUUGUAAUUUCUCCUAACUAGUAUAGUAAAUAAUAUGACCUAGGAGGUACAUUCAAAGCAUUUCAUAAGUUAGUUGUUAAUAAUAAAUGAUAUAUGCAGCUCCAAUUAAUCAUCAUUGUACGGUGAGUAAUUUCCAGUUAUAAAUAGAUAUUACUCCCUUCCCAGCAAUUUUUGAUGGCUUAAUUUUGUGGGAUCAAAAUCAACAUUGAAUGUCAAAAUAUUAAUGGCCAAACAGACCAGCUGCCAACAACUUAUUCCAAUGUGAGUAGUUCACAGUGGGUACUGCACAUGAUGCUUGUUUCUCCUUUUGCAUCUAUUUUUGUUGUUAACAUUAAUUUCAAUAGCAGCUCUUUAAUCCCAAUUGUUGAUUUGGGACUAGAUAAGAAUUUAUCUUGGAACUCCAAUUCUCCCAAUUAUUUUAGUUGACAAUAUGUUUAACAUUAUUUUUUUAACAUUAUUAAUUACAUAUUAUUUAAUUAUCAGUAUAUAAUAUUCUUUAAUUUUCUAAUUUUAUAGGAUUAGACACAAAAUUGAUUAUGCCUUUUGAAAUUUAAGGGUUAUGUCAAUUGAAUAGAAAACUUGGAGUUAAACUUGUGGAUGUUUUUGUUGAUUAUCAAUUUAUGCAUGAAUUUUUGUACGUUUAUUUGGCUUAUUAUUAUUACUUUUAAACAUUUUUAUUGGUUUGAUUUAGGGUCAGUUUGGUAAUUCUAUAGCUUUUAAAAUAAUUACAGUUAGCUAUGCUGUAGAAAUUGAUCAAUCGUCAAGAGAAUCAGCUGAACAUUUAGUAAAAUUUAUUUUUAAAAGUACUUUUAGUUUUAAAAGCGUCGCAUGUGUUUCGUAAGUUAUAUACAUUGCUGAUUCUAUAUUAAUAAUGUUAUGUUCUAUUUUCAGAAAUUAUAAUACAAAAGUUUUUACAAUGGCGUGCAUCUACAAACUGAAUUGACUUGUAGAAUAAGAGCUUGGAGUAGUGUUAUGUUCUUGAAUAAAUGAAAGUUCAUAUGGUGUAAGAGCAUGUAGAUGUAAAGUGUCAUUACCAUUUCUAUAAAGGACUUUCAUUCUGUUCGGAUGCUCCUCUUGAACUCUGAAGGGUGCUUCAUUCAUAACACACAUAAUUUAUGCCAGGGAAGAGAAGAUGCCAAAAAAGUUGAAGGUGAUCAUUCAUAACUUUUCAGAAAGUUGUUGCAAAACAGAAAUCACCCAUCACGAUCGGUCGUACAAGUGUCUGCUACGAGUGCAGCAAAACGUUUGUCACGCUAGUUGUGCUAAAUGGACCUCUCCUGUGUGCCUCUAAAAUCAAUGCAUGUGAUCAUGUCGGUGAUUCAAUGGCUGGUGGGGAUGAGUCCACUCAAAUUCUGAAACUAAUCAGGUGAAAUAUAAACCCUUUUUGUCUCCUUCUUUAAUUGUAUGUUUUACUAUCCAUGUUUUACCCAAAAAAAUUGUAGGUUUACACUUUGCAAUCAAAUUUUGUAGUUGUGCUUUUUUCUUGCUUUUAUCCUAAUAAGCAAAAAAUCUAAUUAAUCCUAAUUAAAGGUGUUUUAAAAUUUAAAUAGAGAAAGUACCAUUGAGAUUUGAGAGAAAAUGAAUCGAUUGAUUUACUUCACAGUAUGAAUACACAGAGAGUUCGCUUGCUUUAUAUGCAGUAAUCUAACCAACUUGUUAACUAAGCUACUAUUCCCAGCAAAUCAAGCUAACCAAUCCCACUACUCAGCUUGUCUACUACAGAUCACAGAACCACUUGGGCUGAGCCGUAAUUCCAUGUCAUCAGUCUGUGCAACAACCUCAUUGAUCACUUGUUGUGCUGACUAUCGAACAACAGUGUGCCUCUUUAACAUAAUAGACUAAGCUCGUAUGCAUAGGAAUGGAUCUUUUAUUAUUGUCAUUAACUAUCUGUCCCUAAGGGUUUGGUUGAGUGAUUUAUUCCUUUAGUUGGCCCUCCCAAUCUUUUGGAUUGUUAUUGUCAUUAAAUAUCGGUCCCUAACUGCGUGAUGUAAGUACUUUCUAGAAGAUAUCUAAAUGGUAAAGCGACAUUACCAUUUCUAUAAAGGACUUUCAUUCUGUUCAGAUGCUCCUCUUGAACUCUGUAAUUCAGAUCCUAGCUAUAACUACUAGCUUUGAUUAAUUAAUUUCCUGUACUAGCUGAAACAGAUUUAUUUAUUUAAAUAAUUGUGUAUGUACUAAUUAUAAU